GAGCAGCUCUGCUCCAGGCAGGCAUGGGCUAAACCUUUAACAUAUUAAUCACGAGCCUUGCUCGCACCAUCCUUCAUUCGACCCUGCUCCAGUGGCAACGGAUGAUAGUGAAUUGGAGAAAGAAGAGGCAAACCAGACAAGCGUAGACCCCACCUAGUAUGCUGCUCUAUUCUCAGCUUUACACCCAGAUUCUGGUUUCAAGCUUCACGUGGAAGGACACCAGUAGAUGCUGAUGGGCGAAAUGGUUAAAAAGGGAAAAAGAAAAAAACUGAGCCUUUCUCGGCCUUCAGAUGUUGUGAACAUAGAGUUAUAGCCACGCAGUCCACGUCAAGGCUGAAAUUGCAUUCGCUGCAAGGGGGAAACCAGAUGGCAGGCAUUACAUUGGAGGUCUACCGAUUGAUCGAAAGCAAGAAAAAGGGUUGAUUAUGAAGGGAGGGGUGUCGCUUCUCUGGGGUAGAUUCGGUGCAGCUCUCCUGAACGAAGAAUAUGCGCCGUGUAGCAUCCAUAGACCUCCUCGCAGGCUUUGCAUUUGAUUCUACUUUUCGUGCCAAAAUGGAGGGAUGUGAGCAGAUGCGAAUGAGCAAGAUGCAGGAUGGAUUCUCAGAAUCCCCAUCAGGCUUAGUUGUGACUAGGCAGACGAAGCAAUAUCCGGCCAUGCACUAACGCUCAACCAUCCGAAUGGCAAGAAGGAAGCCUGUUCACACACAUGGUAACUCCGAUGAUCCUCCUCAUCGUUGGCAGCUGGGCAGUCAAGGCGGGGCAGUGGGUGAGACAGGUGUCCUAGUGUGGACAGCAUGCUAAAUUCGGCAUGACUCGUAAAAGAAGAAACGGCGCGAUUCACAGUGGUGAGCUGAGCUGCGGAUUGGAGAUCAGCACGCAUGACAUUCCAAGCAAGUACAGGCUUCUUCGCUCAGGUUUCGCAGAAUCAAUACAUGAUCACCAAGGAAAAUUAGGAAAUAAAAAUGCGUUUUGAAUGGAGUUAUAGUUGUUAUCAACACGAAGUAAAUGUGGUGAAAUUAAUUGAGUUAAUGCCUUGAAAAACCCCAAACUGAUACACCUAUAACAAAUUUAUGCUAAAAUAAUUUUUUGAUCAUAAAAAACUUCAAACCGGUACACAUUUGACAAAUUUACCCCAAAUCUGUAUAUUUGUGACAAAUUUACCCUCUGUUGAUUUCCGUUAAAUUUUACUAUCGAAUUACUAAAUUAAAGGACACGUGAAAGUUGACUGGUGUAUCGAUUUGUAAAAUUUUUUCUCUGUUUGUCGCAGUUAUACAAUUUUUGUAAUAUUUUGUAGUAUUAUUCCAAUUUAACGGAUGACAUAUUUAUCACAAAUGUGUCAGUUUCAGGUUUUUGGUGAUCGAAUAAAUUAAUUUAGGAUAAAUUUGUCACAAGCAUAUCAGUUUGGGAUUAUUUAUGAUCGGUUAUGGUAAAUUUGUCACAGGUGUACUAGUUUAUAAUUUUUCAUGGUCAAAAAAUUAAUUUAAGAUAAAUUUGUCAUAUGUGUAUCAGUUUGGAGCUUUUCAGGAUAUUAACCCAAAUUAAUUUUACCGCACUCCCACAUCAUUUGAUGUUGUGUUUCAGUGCUAAUUUGUACAAUUUUUUUUAAUGCUUUAAUGCAAUGGUUAACGAAACUAAAGUAGCCCAUGAAAAGUUUCAUAUCUUGUUCAUUUAAAGUCAGCUGCAACAAUCUGACCAAAAAAUUAAAAUCAGCCACAACUAUAAUUAAUUUUCCAUAAAUUAACCAAUAAAUAAAACUCCAAACAUUGGUUAAGAUCAUAAAGGUGCAUCACCUUGGGCUAGUCUAUACAUUUAUUAGAAAUUCUUAUCCAACUUACUAUGAAUGUUACUUACUUAACACAAUAUUGCAAUGACUUUUUUAUAAAUUACUAAAGUGGAAUUAACUUGACAUGACUUUAUAGUUUAUAAAACUAAAUUCACCUUAUAUGUAAAAGUAAAGCUUACAUAUGCUGGGUCAUGUCAUUUUUCUGAGGGAAAAAAAAACUCUCUCUCUCUCUCUAUGAGAGUUUCCAAAGGGUCUCAAGGGAGGCUUCGAUGUUCACACAAAUAUGGCUGGGCCAUGCGGUAUUACAUGAUAAUCUUAUGUCUACUCGUGGGCAAAAAUGGGACUACCGUGAAAGUUGGGGUUUUUUUAAACAAAAAAAAAACAAUUCGAGGCAAAAUUAAGAUUUUCCUGAAGUUUUGCUCUGCGACACUUUAAAUUUCUUUACAACAUUAUUUCACAAUUUAAAAACCUCUAGAAUCAGUCCAACAACGUAAAAUCCAUACAAAACCUAAUUUACAGUUUAACUAAGAAAACUUCUUCAAUUAGAUAAAUAAAAGUUUAAAAUCCUAACCAAUUACUAAGAAAUAUAAAUAAUCCGGCUUGACCCAGCCUCUCAAACGUGCAUGUAGCGAGAGCCCCUCGUCUCAUCUUGGCCAGACUCUGUUCUCUCUCUCUCUCUCUCUCUCUCCAUUUGCUCUAGUUAUUCCUUCGCAAUGGCAUCAACUGAAGCAAGACCAAAGAAAGUGCUAAACGAGACACUUGGGCUUGGGCUUAAUGUUUUGCUCUUAUUUAUAAUUUUUUGCCAGCCUGGUUAUUGCAACUUUAAUAGGAAAGUUCAAAGGCGUUCCUCCACUCCAGUGGUGAAGGCAGGGACAGCAGACUGGCAUAAAAGACGACAGCCUGAAACUGGAGGGAUCAUUGUCAAUUUGGAGUCUGCUCCGGUUUCAGACAGUCGUCCUUUAUGCCACUAUGCAUAAAAAGAACCUCAACAAUUGUUACUAGAAGAAGAACGGUCAAUUGUAGUAGCUAUAUUAAUCAAAUAUUAUUCUUGACAUUGAAGCUUCUAACCACUUUGAAAACAUUAUGAGUGUUAUAGACUUCCUUCUUUUUCCAAUAAAUUUCUCGAGAAAAUUACAAAAAAAAAAAAAAAAUCUUAACUCUUUUAAUGAUUUGUUUCUCAGCUAAUUUAGCUUGAAAAGUGCUUAUGUGAAUGUCAAAUAAGCAACUCCCAUCCUACUUGGCCGGAUUGGCAAAAGGCCGACGCUAACAUAAUCACUAGAGAUCAAAACGGCGGCGUUUUCCACAAUAAUUUUAAAAGAAAAAAAUCAUCGCUGAGCUAUUUUCUUAUCCAAAUCCUCAAACGCUCACCGACCCCUCGUCCAAAGAAUUCUAACCUGAAUUCAAUGAGAUCUCACUCAAAUCUCUUCAAAUCUCAACUCAAAUCGAACCAUUCUUGCUUGAACCUGAGUCGUUUCUUUCCACAAUUAGGAGAAAAUGCAGAUGUUUUCUCCCAUCCCAAAAGAGUUAUUUUAUAGUAUAAGUUUAUAACCCCAUAACUGCUUUGCUUAAUUAGAGCAGAUUCUAAAUGUGAGGCUAUAAUGGUAAACAUGGGAUAAGACAUCAAAAUUUGAGAUUUUGCUCAUACAGAAUAUUAAUAGAUAAAAUAGAAAUACGAAUAAUCUGCAGCAUUAAUUUUUUUUACUUUUGAGAAUACUUUUAUCCCGAUAAAAAGGAAAUUGAAAAUUCUCAAUACGAAUAGAAAUUUUAAAAUCAAGCUUUAUCGUAUGCCAAUUUGAACAUUUUGACAGUAACCGGUGCUAUUUUCCCUUUUGACCGAACCAUUUUUUACGCGACCUUUCUCGUUCUAAAGGAUGCAUUUGCAAAACUGAAAUUGAUUCCCAAAGGAGCAUGGAAAAAAGCGUUUUCCGAAGGAUUUCAUCAAUAUACGAAAAUCGACGGUCGCGAUUGUUUUGGCGUAGGAACCAAAACUAGAGACAGCUUAUACGGUGGCAUGGUAUGGGAAGUCGCCACGUGGCGCGCCGUGGAGCUUGGCCUUUCAGCUUCUCUGCUGGGGCACUUCCGACUCUGAUAGAGAGAGAGAGAGUGGUCGCCGGACGCUGGUGGUUGGCGACGGCGGAAGAGAGGAUGGCCGUGGCGGCGAGCCUCUGCAACCGCAUCCCCUCUCCGUUCCUCGGCGGCUUCCCUCCUCCUCCUCCUCCUCCUCCUCAUCCCCUCGCCGUCGGUCUCUCUCUCUCUCUCUUCGUUUCUAGAGUUUCGAGCUGACUGCGCGUCUUCCAUGGAGUUCGCUUUUUACUGUCUUCAUGUUGCGGAAUCUUCUUGAACGAAUCCGAAUGUUUUGCCAGAAAAGCUGAUUCCUUUCUUGUGUUUCGCGCGCCUGCUUCUUCAAUCUCACGACGAUUUCUCAUUUUCUCCUUCUUCUUCUUCUGCACCUGCGUUUUUGAAUGGAGGAGUUGUCGGUUGAUGAUCGGAGAAUGUGAUGCUGUCGCCCAAAUCCAAACCCCUCGCUCGCUCGCGCAGUCGCCCGAAUCUCCCCCGAACCUCAACUCAAAUCUCCCCCAAACCAUAGGAAGCACAGUUCGGAAGAUCAAAAUUAAGAAAGAGUAGAUGCUCGUGGAGGAGAUGUUUCGAAGUGGGCCUUUCAAAAGUGCAUGGAAUGUUGAAGUCGUAGUCACUUUCCAUGCAGCGAAAGACAGAGCGUCUACACUCUUCACGGCAAAUGUCGACAGCGCUCCUUCUGAUGCAAGAAGAAAAAGGAUGUGCGGGGUAAUUUAUCGAAAAACAAUUACGUAUAAUAUGAUGCACCGUAAGCUAUGUGGAUAAGGUUCACCAAAGUAGUAGUUACAAUUAAACUUGUAUUUUUAUUAUCUUUGAAUAAAACUCAAUUUCAGUUUAAAAAAUUUAAUAAUUGUCCACAUUGUUUAUCUUGAAAACAAAAUAUAGAUCUAAGUUGUUAUAGACCUAGUUCACAUAUACAACCUAUGGCUUCCGCUAGUUAGACUAAAUUUAGAUGCAUAGGUCAAAAGUUGGCAUUUGUAUAAAUUAUGGCGACUAAGAUCCAUGAGAACAUUUCAAGAAAGGACAAACAAAAUAGGGAGGUACUCUUUCGAGUAAUUAUAAGUAAACCAAUUGAAAUGUUAGAAAGAACUACAUUUGAAAAAAGGAAAACCAGAGCAGUGUAGAGCUCAUAUAAAAAGGUUCUUGGAAACCAUUCUACUCUAACCUAACUUUACUAGGAACUAUAAUAGUAAGAUUGUGAACUAAGUAGUCCUAACAAUGACACACGACACACAACAUAUCAUUUUUCAAAAAAUAGAGAAUUUCCACAUGUCAUGACAUGUUGUAUAUAAAAUGAUAACUUUUUCUUCAUUAUUUUGAUUUGAUAAAUUCAAUUGCAUUCCAUUCCAAUAAUCCAUAAAAGUUGAAGGAAGAAAAAUCAAACAAUCCACAUUCCACUAUUAAAUUUAAUAUUUAACAAAAAGUAGAAAAAUAAUAAUAAUACACGUUCCACCAUCAAAUAUAACAAGAAGUCUUUCUUUCCCCAUUUUUUUUUUUUUUUUAUAUAUAUAUUUACAUUUUGACCUAUCAUUUAUUGAAAAUUUUGAAAUUAACCUCAUGCAUAUCAAAAUCACGUGUCGAAAUUCCAUACUCACAUGUCAAGAGACUUGACCAUGUGUCGGAUUUUUCGACACUCAUUCAUCACGUGUUGGAACGUAUCGGAGUGUCAAACACAACACGAAGGCUUCAAUAUUUCUUAAAUUGUGAACCAAAUUCUAGUAGUACAAUUGCUUUUGCUGCCAAUGUCAUCUCAGUAGCAGAAAAGCCAUGGAAAGAUCGGGAGGUACAUUACAUACUUCAAAACACCAACUUACCCGAAACAAAUAAAUUGCAACGAAUAUCAGAACUUCUGGAUCAAAUUAUUCCCUCCGACUUAUCAUUCACGAGGAAAGGAAAGGCAUGAGGAGAAUCAGAAACGCAAUGUGGUCAUAGCAAAACCAAUCGCAUAAUGACAAGUUAACAGGGAACAUGCAAGAGCAAUUUAGCAUAAAUAUUGCAGUACUUUCGGCUAGUUUCGGGAAACGAAACACAUUCCAGAGAACAUGAAGCAUCCCAGAACGUCUUAUUCUCUUUUGUUGUCUACACUGCAUAAUCUGAAUAAUCAUAAUUUACGGCUUAAUUACGAAAAUUCCUGCACUUAGAUAAAUAAAAGUUGUUGCUACCAGCUAGAAUUAAUCCGUCUUGUCGAGUUCUCCCAAGCGUGCAUGGAGGGAAAGCCCCCUUUGUUUCCUCUCUCUCUUUUUCACCGUUUCUUUCCUUCUUUUCUUUUCUUUUCUUUUUUGUUCUUCUUGGCUAGGCUCCGUUUUCUCUCCUUCUUUCUGCUCUUGUAAUUUCCCUUGCAAUGAAGCAAGACUAAAGAAAGGGCUAAAACGAAACACUUAGGCUUGGGCUUAGGCUUGGGCUUAAUGUUUUGCUCUUAUUUAUUAUUUUUUGCAAGCCCGUUUCUUGCAACUUUAUUCAUGAAGAUAAAUAUAUUAGGGUAUUAUGUGCUGAUGGAUCCUAUGCGAAGUGAGGAUAAGGUCACUCGAAAUUAAAGUUGGGCAUAUAACUUUUUUAUGAAAAAUCAUAAAUCUAUUAUAUUUAUGUCAAUUCAGUCAUUUUGACUAAUUUUCAUUAGAAAUUACUGAUAUGGACAUUAGUUGUCCUGCAUGGCACACCUUGCCCUAAUAUGGAUAAUUUUUUUAUAGUAAUUCAAUUUUUUUAUUUGUUAUUCUUUUUAUUCUUUUUUUUCUCUCUUUUUUCUCAUCACCCAGUUCUUCCAUCACCAUGUUCCAAGACAUGGAUUUUUCUUCUCUUGCAUGAGAAAACUCGAAACUUUCAUUCCCUGCUCUAGAAGAAUUCAUCGAUCCACAAGGCAGAUAUCGACAUGCUCCCAAAAUACCUACCUCCACUGAUGUAGACGAACAUGGAAAACAAAAAAGGACUCAUGUUACUGAAGCCAUCUUGAAUUGGCAAUUGGAGACUUUGUUGGCACACAACAAUGCGUUCAAAAUCACCUAGGUGAGGGUCGCCGUUGCCCACCAUAGGCUAGGCUAGGCUAGGCCAAGUGAGAUCGAUCCUAAGAAAGACUGCCUUGGCUUGGGCAAGGCCUUACGAGGGUUAGCCUCGCCUAGGCCAAAUUUGGUGAGGCUAGCUCGCUCGGCUAUUGCCUAUGAUUAGCAAAAGGAGGAAGAAAGGAAAAGAAAAAAAGAAAAAAAUUAGAGAAAAUAAAAAAUAUAUAUUAAAUUAUUAUUAAAAUUUUUCCAUGGCCAUCCAAUCAGUAUUUAGUCAAAAUUAACCAAAAUAAUUAAAUUUAUACAAUUAUAAGGUUUAAGACUAAAUUAAUAUAAAUGCGAUAAGCUUAUGGCUUUUCUCCCUUGUCAAUAUAAACAUUUGAUAUUUAUUUUUUUCAUGGAAAGUGACACGGAUAUCAAUUUAAUAAUCUUUCUUUUGACAUCAAUCUAAUACUCUUUAUUUUUUAACGUCCCCCAUGCAUUCACGUGCUUCAAAGUUGUGUCUCGACUUUUUUUAUUUUACUUCUUCGAGAAAAUAUUAUAUAAACUUAUAAGUAAUCCGAUGGAUGGAAGAAAUCAAUUAAAAUACGUUAUUAGUCUUUUUCAGUCCUAAUUUAUAUUGAUUACAUAUAUCCGUGAAAUGUAAUUAUUUGAUCUAGCAAACUUAGUUUAUGUAAUACUUGCCCGCGGGAUAAUUAUAAAAAGGGUUUUAAAUCUAUUGUACUUAUGAUAAUUUAGUUUUAAACCUUUGAAUUUGACUAAUUAAGUCCUCAACUUUUUGACAAUUUGUCAAUUCAGUUCUAAAUAUUUCAAUCGGGUCACUUUAGCUCUAGUCAUUUUGAUAGUCACAUCGACGUUGCCUAAACCUCGAUGUCAACGAUUUCCAAUUAAAAUGGUCCAAAAGGAUUAAAUUGGUCAAUCGUAAAAAAAUUUAUGACUCUAUUAAUACAAUAUAAAGGCUUAUGACUUAAUUGACACAAAUUUAAUAAGUUUGAACUUUUUUUUUUUUUUGGGUAACUUCUCCCUUGCCCGUACUUCUUACAUAUUCUUCUCCCUCGAGAUAACCUUAAAAAUGUUAACGAUUAAAUAAGUGUAAGUAUCAGCUCUCCAACAACUUAGUGUCGUUGGCAAAAAAUAAUAAAAUACUAACUAAAAAAGUGAGUGUGACCGAACUACAUAGCUUUUGGAUCUUAGGCAGCUUUUUCCGUGUUGGCAUCUUAUUUUAAGUUUUGCGGCUAUAAAUAAUUCAGACGGUAUCUUCUUUACCAAAAAAAUAAUAAUUCAGACGGUAUCUUGACCCAUUGGAGUCGCCUGGAGACAUCACAUGCUCUUCUGUAAGGGCAGCACGCUUGUGAGCUGAGAGAAAGAUCCAAUCUCUAGGCCUCGAACGCGGAACAGUACUGAGAAUAUUUCUCCCGCUUAUAUCUUCUUCUGCUCAUGAUUAGAGAAAUAUUCCUACAUCUAUAUCUUUUACGAAUAGGUUAUAAAUUAUCAAAAUUACGGGAAAAAUACCAAAAUAAUCCUAAACUUUUUGCAUUGGUACCCAAUUCAGUCAUAAACUUUUUAAUUGGAUCAUUUUAGUCUCAAAUAUUUUUGUAUUGAUACCAAUUCAAUUUAUCCGGCUAAUUUAAACCGUAAAUUGUUGACGUAGCUGCCAGCGGUCUUAUGUGGCGCCAUGUGGACAUUUAUAUAUUUUUAUAUUUUUUUCAGAUUUUUUAAAUUAUUAUUUUCCUUUCUUCCUUUUUUUCUUUUUUUCUUUUUUUUCCUUUUCUUUUCUCCUUACUCCUUGGUCCGCGAGGUCACUGGCCAGCCGACCAUCAUCAGCCAUAGGUUGGUUGGGGCGAGGGGCCUCGCACCCUCCCUAGCCCCCGCCCAAAUCUAGGCGAGGGCCUCUGUGCCCUCGUUGGCCACAGACGAGGGUGCAGCUAGGGGUGAGCAUGGUCCGGGUUGGUCCGGGCCACCCCCUAACCCUAGGACUAACCCGUAUAGUGUCGGUCCUCAAUUUUUAGGACCGAUGACCGACCCUAUUGAGCCUGGGACCAAGGACUGGACCGACCCAAUGGGUUCGGUCCGGUUCCAGGGUUAACCCGGAACCGAUCGAUAAUUUUUUUCAUCUUUUUUUUCAUACUUCCUAAAAAAGUAAACCUACAAAAGUAUCUCAAUCAAUGUAUGAAAUUAACAAUGUGGCAUAUAAGACGAAAAGAAGUAUCUCAAUAAUUUUUUUUCGUCUUGUAUAUACAUAACUAGAUCUAAUGAAUUUUUUUCAUCAUGCAUAUACAUAACUAGAUCAAACACAAAGCUUCCCAGGUUCUUUUCCAACAGUAGAUAAGCCACUAGGAUAGAAGGAAAAAACAGGCCUAACGUCUAUCUAAAUGCCCGCAUUCCAAAAUUGCAAGAGCCAAAGUGAUUUGAAUAGAAUAUACAGCGCAAGUCCCCCUGUUGUAAGUGAGAAACUUAAAAAACAAACAGAAAAAUGCGUUCCCAAGUGAGUAAUUAAAACAGAUAAAAAUGCCAAGGAAUGUACCUCCAUUGAGAGCCAACCUAUUGAUCAGCAAAGUAAUUCAAUUGCUGCACUGGAAAAGACAACGGAAUUUACAUCAUAUGGGCCUGACUAUGAUGAAGUUGAUUGUUCUUCUCAAGACGUCUAGCAUUGGGAAUGUUUGACAAUGGCGUUCAUGUUCACCCAUCAUCAAAUGCUUUUCAGAAAAUCCUUUGCAGAGCAAAGGAGAAGAUACUUCAGGUAGCUUUCAUACACUUGCAGCCAUGUUCCUCAGUCAGCAAGCCGUCCCUCCGUUAUUUGCAUGUAAGAAGCAGAGCAAAUAAACCAAAUAUGUAAUCGACCUGUGGUGAUAAUCUGAGUACACAGCUCAACCCAAAUAUUCUCCACUACUGAUUCAAAUACCAUCCACUUCAAGCUAUGCCUCUUCUUUGAAAUAUCUAUGGUGAAUAGGACAUUGUAAGGAUUAGAUUGUGAAAAAAGAAGGUGUAUAACAGAAAACUAGGAUCUCUCUCUCAAAGCACAUACACAAUAGGCUAAUCAGGAUUUAUGACAUAAUAUACUUCAUUACAAAGUAAAGUUAUUGCUAUUAACAUCUAUUUAAUUCAAUAUCAUCCUUAGACUGCUUAAUCAUUUGUAUGAAUUUCACCUAUUUGAAUAACAUUAGGCACCAAAAGCACUAACAAACGAGUAUACAUACCAGUUAAAUACACAGACUUCGUACCGAACCUAGAUAUAUGAGGAUCAAAAUCCACCUUCCACCUGUCCAAAUAUUUGCUGUCUUGGCAGGUUCGAUAUAGUGAACUGUCUCCCAGAUUUAAAACAACUUCAUUAAUGGGACAUGAGACUCAGUGAGAUGACGAUUGGAAGGAAACUUGGCAGUAAUCUGAUUUACUCUGCAUCACAUUUCAGAUGAAAAAGUGGACAGAUCUCAGAGACAAUGGAGAGUUCUUCUAGAAAAGGAAGAAGUUCCAUCUGUCACGAGAUAUUUGACCCAAAAUUCCAUCGUUGCUACAUCUGCAGAAAAACCCCUUUCAACCAUUUCACCGACAAGUUGCGUGGCUCUAGUAUUUUUGUUAUCUCUUAGUAGUCUUUUGGAUGAUUGUGUUAUAAGUGACCCCAUCUGGGAGGUCAUAGGGACUAAUACCCAGCCAAACCAAUCACGUACACGAAGCAAACAUGGAAAAAAAAAAUCAACACAAAAUCAAGAGCAUACAUGAGGUUGAAGAUCUCAAAUGAAGCACAAAGUAGAACUCACUAGCCAAGUUGUGUUCGGAAAGCAAGGGCAAGCCGAGCGUUAGGGUUUCUAAUUAGGGCUUCUACUUUUCCUUCUAAUUUACUCGGCGAUAAGCGAGGUGACCGGCGCGAGUGGCGAGCGGCAAGUGCGAGCAUCGAGUGGGGCGAGCGUCAACUAGCGAGCGGCAAGAGUUGAGCGAGGCCAGCGGCGAGCGGCGAGCGUUAAGCAAGGCUAGCGGUGAGUGGCGAGUGGCGAGGGUUGAGCGAGGCUAGCAACGAUAGCAAAGGGCGAAUAGCAAGCGGCGAGCGGCGCGAGCGGCUCGGGCAACCAGAGGCGAGCAAGGAUGUCGCUACUUUUGAUUUUGGCAAAUUUGAAGAACAAAUAAGACAAAAUGGAAGAGAACAUACUUUGGAGAAGGAAGCCGCGAGGAGAUUUACAGCGUAGACUUUGCAGUUUGGACCGUUUGGACGUUGCGAGUCCGUGACUGUGANNNNNNNNNNNNNNNNNNNNNNNNNNNNNNNNNNNNNNNNNNNNNNNNNNNNNNNNNNNNNNNNNNNNNNNNNNNNNNNNNNNNNNNNNNNNNNNNNNNNNCGGCAUAAACUUCACGCCUUUUGGAUGCUGUUUGUUCGUGACAGUGAGCUGAGGAGUCAACAACUUCAACAUAAUUUUACUUAGGUUUGACCGUUUGAAUAUAUAAAAGAAUUAUUCCUUACCAAAAAAAUAUAUAAAAGAAUUAUAAAUAAUAUUAUAUAAAUAAUAUACAGAGUUGGUCCGGGUUGGACCGACCCAAAACUCUUAGGACCGAGGACCAACCCGCACAGUGUUGGUCCUGAAAUUUCAGGACCAAAGAUCGACCCAGUCCCCUUGGGAACCGGACCAGGACCGGCAGGGUUGGGCCGGUCCAGGAUCGGUCCAGGGUCGACCCUAAACCGCUGCUCACCCCUAGGCGCAGCAGCCCUCACUCUUGGCAGGCGAGGGUGCAGCGGCCCUAGCCCAGAUCCAAGCGAGGGCACGACGUCACAGGCGAGGCCGCCGUGGCCCUUGCCUGGAUCUAGGCGAAGGCCCAAUGGCCUCGCUCGUGGCGAGCAAGGGCCAUGAAGGCCUCACCUAUGGCGCCGUGCCCUUGCCUGGAUCUGGGCGAGGGCUGAUGCACCCUUGCCUGCCACAGGCGAGGGCUGUCGUGCCCUUGCCUGUGGCCGAGGAGGGCGCAAAGGCCCUCGCCGACCAAUAGGUGAGGGUUUGGACCCUCGCUUGGAUUUGGGCGAUGGUUAACGCCCUCACUUGUGGCCGAUGAGGGUGCGGCGGCCCUUGCUAGUGGCAGGUGAGGGCGCGGGGCCCCUCGCCUUGACUAGCCUGUGGCCGGCAAUGGUCGGCCGGUUGACGACCUCAUCCGCCAAGGGGUAAGGAGAAAAGAAAAAAAAAGAGAAAAAAAUAAUUUAAAAAAUUUGAAAAAGAAUUAUAAAAUUUGUUCAGGUGGCGCCACAUAAGACCAUGAAUGGUGAUGCACCUUGCAGUGACUAGAAAUUGGGAUAUGUUGUUAUCGAAGAGAUUGAAGAUGACCUCAACAAUUGUUACAACGAGUAGAAUGGUCGUUUCUAGCAGCCAUAUAAGGGGUAGUAAUUGUUCUUGAGGUUAAAGCUCCUGACCUCUUUGAAAACAUUGUUGAGUGUUGCAGAUUUCCUUCUUUUUUCUCGUGAAUUUCUUUGUAGCUUUCUGUUUGGCCAGUGGGUGGAUAUGUGUCGUUUUACAUUCUUUGCUGGUGUACUAUGUUCUUGUUCAUUUAUCCAUGGGAUAACUUGAUGCCUUGGUGAUGCGAGCACAGCUACAAUUUCAAAAGCUUUGAUCUAACACUAACAUCAUCGAGUGAUUCAAAUCAAAAUGAAACAUGUCAGCUUUUUCCAUCUCUCGCAUAUACACCAUUAUUGCUUACUAGCUAUUCCGAUGAUAAUAUAGGUGGUCUGUCAUUGCAGAAUGUGGGAGUCGUUACAUCAUGUAGUCUUCAUUUUCCCUCUGCGAGGCAACAGCUAGAUCUUUGCUGUGGCAAAUGCAUUAAGUUGCAAUCAAAGACUAUGUUGUCUCCCUGGCUGAUUAAAAUUCAAGCUGCCGAGGCCAAGGUAAGAAAAGAACGCUGAAAUGUUGAUUUUUUUUUUUUUUUUCUGCUGUAGGCUUUAGUUCAAGAUUACUGAAUUUUGGCAGACUGUAGAUGUUAGAACCGAACUUUUCCCAUCUUCAUUUGCUGUAGAAUUUACAGUUCAUGUAUGCAAAGCUAGAUAGAUAGUAUGCAGAUGCUCGAGACAAUUCUGUACAAACUACACUCAUCUGAUGUUCAUAUUUGUGGAAAUAAUUAGACCAGCUAGCUUCCUGACAAGUUGAUUCAUAAUCAAAUUAGGCAUCCCAAUGUUAAUACUUUGAUAAAUGACAGAGCACAAAAGGCUUGCACUUCAAAAAUAUGAUAUUUGUCUGUUUUUACUGCAGAGAACAACAAUCUUGGAUGUCGACGUAGCAGUGAGUCCAAUUGACUUGCAUAAAAACGUAAGUCGAAACAUCAAACAGAAGGGUGUUCUCGUGACUCCCAAAUUCUUUUCGUCUUGAUAAGGGCAUCCCCAACUCUGCAACUAAAUGCACUUCGCUUGCGGCUUUCGGAGACCAGCAUUACACGUCUUUUCUUGAGUACCUCCAAUUAUGUGCCCACUUUUUCCUGCAGAAUUUCAACUUUUUCAUCUAGUUCAGGCUGUUCAGCAAAAGCAGGGUCUUCAGUUAUUUGCACUAUUCUAGCAACUUGUAUUAAACACUGUUUGGUAUUAGCGCAUUUUCUGCUGAUUAUUACUUAUUGUGUAGAUGAGUCUAUAUAUAUGAUGUUAAAAAGGAGCAUGGCUAUUCACCACAUCACAUGGCAGCAUCUUGUAUCCAGUUUUGGCUAAAGGCUGUUUAGCAAGAGAGCACUACUGUGAUACAAGUGCACCAUGGUAAAACACAUUUGAUAUGAGUAAUCAAUGGGCAAGGGCAUUCAUCAGUCAUAAGCACCCAGAAUUGUGUUCCUUAUGAUAUUACGAAGGGCACAAUGGUACUGCUCACUGGUAUUAUCUUCGAUGAACAAAGCAUAAAGUGUGAGUUGAUGGAAUUUAAUGGAAAUUUUUUACUGUAGUGGAAGGCAAUCAGUGAUGAUUAAGAUUGCAUUGCACACAACUGCAAAAGCCGAAGCUGCACAAUUUACCACAGACACUUCAUAGUAGCAUGGUUAGGUAGAUUUAAAAUGAGAAAGAGUAUAUGCUUGCGGAGGUGAUGUUUCAAAGUGGGCCCUUUAAAAGUGCAUGGAGUGUUGAAGUCGUCACUUCCGUGCAGUGAAAGACAGAACAUCCAUGCUCUUCGUGACAUAUGUCAACAGUGCUCCUCAUACGAGAAGAGAAAGGAUGUGCAGGGUGAGCAGGCCGUUGCAUCUGAGGGCAAUUCAGCACAUAAUUUAUGGAGCAGAGAAGAGCAUCUCUGUGCUGCAUGGCAAUACGCUAAACAUUUGACACAUUCGACACAAGCCUUGCACGCACCAUCCUUCUAUGGCAGUUCCAGUGGCGGAGAAUGAUAGUGCAGUGGAGAAAGAAGAGGCAAUCAAGACAACCGUGGACCUCACCUAUAUGUUCCAUUCACAAGCUUCACACCCAAUUUUGCAGUCAAGCUGUGUGUGGAAGACCAGUGGAUGCUGAUGGUCGAAAUGGUAAAAAACCGAGUCCUUUGUGCCUCCAGAAGGACAACUAGCUAUUCUGAUGAUAAUAUUGUUUGUGUUUGUCGUUACAGAAUGACAGAUUGGUUACGUCAUAUAGUCAGCACUUUACCUUUGAGAGGUGAGAACUAGAUCUUUGUUCCGGCGAAUGCAUCAACUUGCUUCAGCAAAUAAGAUUUAUAAAGACAGCGACUUCUUUUGUGAUGUAUCCUGUUUGUAUCCAGAAGCUCUUAGAUCUGAAUAAUGCAAGCUAAGACUAUGUUGUCUCACUGGUUGAUUGGUUUUCACCCAGGAGCUAGAAUUGUUGCUUCAGUCAGAGAUUCAAGUUGCCAGGGCCAAGGUGAGAAAAGAAUGCUGAAAUAUAGAUUUCUUUUUUGGGAGGCUUUAGUCCAAUAUAACCGAAUUUUGGUAGACUGCAGAUGUUAGAACAGAACUUUUCCCAUCUUCAUGUGCUGGAAAAGAAUUUACAGUUCAUGAAUGCAAAGCCAUAUUGAUAGGAUGCAAAAGCUUGAGUCUAGUCUGUUCAAACUACACCUGUCUGAUAUUCAUUUUCGAGGAAAUAAUAAGACCGGCAAGCUUCCUGACGAGUUGAUUCACAAUCAACUCAUGCAUCCCAAUUUUAGUGCAUUAAUUCAUAACAUGAAGCAAACAAGUCUCAUACCCAAAAAUAUGAUAUUUAUCUGCUUUUGAUGCAGAGAAUAACAAUAUCAGAUGUCGAGUGUUAGUAGUGAUUCUGAUUGACUUGCUUGAGAACGUAAGUUGAACUAUCAAACAGGAAGGCUGUCUCCUGCCUCCCCAAUUCUUUUCCUUCUGGAUAGUGCCUCCCCAACUCUGCAACUACAUGCACUUGCUUGCAUCUUUUUGAGACCAGCAUUGGCCCGUUAUUUUUUUUUUUUUGGUAAAUACCAUAUUUUCUGUUGAUUAUAACUUAUUGUGGAGAAUGAGUCUAUCUAUGAUGUUAAAGAAAGAAGAAGAACAGGGCUAUUCACCACAUCACAAGGCAGCAUCUUGUAUCUCUUUGUUGGCUAAUUGUCAGUUUUGUGAGAAAGCACUUCUUUGAUGAAAGCAUACCAUGGGUAAAACGCAUUAGAUAUGAGUAAUCAAUGCACAGGGGCAUUCAUCAGAGCUGGAAGCACCUAGAUUCAGUCUUUUUUCUCUCAAAGGUCACAAUAGUACUCACCGGCAUGAUCUUUGAUGGACGAAGUGUAUAGUGUGAGUUGAUGGAGGUGAUGGUGAUAUUUUAUUUUCGGUGGUAAUUGUGGAAGGCAAUCAUGAUUGACAUUAAGACUGCACUGCACAAGAAUGUGAAAGUUGAAAGUGCAAAAUUUACCAGACAAUGCAUAGGAAGUGCACAUCAGUAGAUCUAAUAUAAGAAAGAGCAUAUGCUCUUGGAGGUGAUGUUUCAAAGUGGGCCUAUUAAAAGUGCAUGGAAUGUUGAAGUCAAAGUUGCAUUUUACGCAGAGAAAGACAGUGUCAAUGCUCUUCACGACAUGCGUUAGUGAGCGUUCCUUCCUGAUAUGGGAAGAAGUGGCUGUGCCAGGGCGAACGGGGUGUUGCAUAACUGAGGGCAAUUCAGCACAUGAUUUAUGGAGCAGAUGAGAGUAGAACUGCUCCAUCGGCAGUGGAUGAUCGUGAAUUGGAGAAAGAAGAGGCAAUCCAGGCAACCAUAGACGUCACCUAGUAUGCUUUGCACUCGAGCUUCACGUGGAGGGACGCCAGUAGAUGCUGAUGGGCGAAAUGGCAAAAAAACUGCACCUUUCUUGCCCUCCAGGUCUUGUGAACCUAGACUAUAGCCGCACAGUCCAUGUCAAGGCUGAAAUUGCACUCGCUGCAGUGGGAGACUAUAUGGCAGGCAUUACAUUGGAGGUCUACCAAUUGACCGAAGGCAAGAGAGAUGGUGAUCAUGGAGAGACGAGCAUUGCAUCUCUGGGGGGAGAUUUGGCCCAGUUCUCAUGGAGAAAGAACACACACGUGUACCAUCGAUAGACCUCCUCGCAGGCUUCGCAUUUGAUUCUACUUUUCGUCUCCAAGAUGAUGGGAUGUGAGCAGAUGCUAAUGAGCAAAACGUUGGAUGGUCGCAUUCUCAGAUUCCUCAUCAGGCUUAGAGUUGUGACUAGGUAGACGAAGCAAUAUCAGGCCGUGCAGCAACGCUUAACCAUCCGAACAGCAAGAAGGAAGCCCGCUCACACGCAUGGCAACUCCGACGAUCCUCCACAUCAUCGCCUACUGGGCGGUCAAGUCGGGGCAGCGGGUGAAACGGGGGUCCUAGGGCGGACAGCAUGCCAAAUUCAGUGCAACUGGUGAAAGAGAAAUUGACACGAUUCACGGCAGCGGGCUGAGCCACGGAGCGAAGACCAGCACGCGAGACAUUCCAAGCAACUACAACUUCCGCUUAGGUUCCGGAGACUCAAUGCAUGAUCGCCAAGGCAAAUUAGGAGAUAAAAAAAACGUUUUAAAUGGAGUUAUAGUUGCGUGAUGUCAACAUGAAGUAAAUGAGGUGACAUGAAUUGUACCCUACUCCCGUAUUAUUUGAUGUUGUAUUUCAGUGUUCAUUUCUACAUUUUUAUUUUAUUUUAUUUUAUUUAUGCUUCAACGCAAUAGUUAAUAAAACUAAAGUGGCCCAUGAAAAGUUUUAUAUCUUGUUCAUUUAAAGUCAGCUGCAAUUAUAUGAGGUCUUAAAAGUGCAUUCACCUUGGGCUAGUCUAUACAUUCGUCAGAGAGUUCUUAUCUAACUUACUCUAAAAGUUACUUACGUAAGACAAUUUUGUGAUAACAGUUUUGUCAUAAUUGUUUAAAAAACCAAAUUCACCUUCUUCUUUUUUUAAAAAAAUUUUACAAGUUAUUUUUUUUAAUUUAUUAGUUGAUUGCAUUUACAUGUAAAAGUAAUGUUUACAUUUGCCAUUAAAUGCAAUUUGUACAAGUAGUAUGAGCCGAAUCUACUUUUUUCUAGUUAUCAAUUUCUCUAUGAAUGCACAUGUUCUGCACCACCCUUGAUAUGUAAACUAGGUCGAUAUGGCUCAUUGAAGCAGCAAUUGUAAUUAAACUUGUAAUUUUCUUUUAAAUCUUUGAAUGGAACUCGAUUUUAUUUUCAAAAACUAAAUAAUUAUCCGCAUUGGUUAUUUUAAAAAAAAAUGCAGAUUGAAGUUGUUACAGACUCUAUUCACAUAUACAACCUACAACUUCAACUAAUUAAACUGAAUUUAGAUCCAUAGAUAAAAGGUUGACAUUUGUAUAAACUAUGAAGACUAAGACCAAGGAGAACAUUUCUAGAAAGAGCAAAACAAAAGAGAGAGGUGCUCUUUCGAGUAAUUACAAGUAAAUCUAUCCAAAUUAUAGAAUGAACUACAUUUGGAUGAAAUAAAGAUUAUGAUGCAUGCACAUUUUUCAUCUAUGGUGAUCAUAUGCUCCUUUUGUUAAAAUUUAGAAUUUAUUAUACUAAUCAAAGUAAUGGUUGGUUCAACCUUGAUUUUAAACCAGGUCACAUCCUUUUUCUGAGGCAAAAAAGUAAGAAGACAAGAUGCUCUCUUUUUUAUCAUAUUUAUUCUCUCCUACUAGGGUGUUUACGUGUAUAUAUAAACCUCUUUUCAAUCUCCUUUAUUGACUCUUACCACUUUUCAAUCUCUUUUAUUGACUCUCUCUCUCUCUCUCUCUCUCUCUCUCUCAUAGAGAGUUACCAAAGGGUCUUAAGGGAACCUUCGGCGUUCACAUUGCAAUGGUUGGACUGUGUGGCGUUACAUGAUGAUCGUAUGGCCACUCAUGGGUAGAAAUGGGGCCUUCAUGAAAGUUGGGAACGUUUUUAAAACAAAAAAUCAAUUUGAGUAGAAUUGCGAUUAAAAUUAAAAUUUGAGAUUUUUUUUUAUAGAAAAUUAGCAAAAUUCAUACUUCCAUCAACAAUCCAAGGUGUCUUAAACCGAAGAAAAUGCAAUAUUUUGUAAGAUAAAAACCUAUUUUUGCAGUAUUUCACCAAGAAAAAAUGUCCGUUGCUCCAAAAGUAUUUUAGUAGGAUUUCAUAUAUCCAAAAAUUAUAGAAAUAGGUAAGUUCGUGCAUAAAAAAUGGUGACACGAGGAUGCUCAUGUUUCGAUAUAUUAUUUGCACAAUAGAUGGGUAAUUAUAGAAAGGGAAGGGCGGCUAUUAUUGCAGUAUGGAAUUGGUAAGAUUUUAAUGAUAUAGAGAAACAAUAAUGUUAUAUUGAUGCAUGUUUUGAUUUUAUUGACCUUGUGAAUAAGAUAGGUCAUUUAUCUAUUAUCACACCCCAACUCUGUAAAAUAAGGAAAACGACACUAUCAUGGUCUUACCCAGAGGAUGCAGCUUCAAAUUAUCAAAAUAUAUAUUCAUCUAUAUACUUGAUAAAUAGUGAAUUGGUUACAAAAUCAAGAGUUUUGAAAUUCAUUAAAAAGAAAAAAGUAUGAGUGUAUCUCCAAACUCAAUUAAACCCCACAAAUAUCAUCCCAGACAUAUACAAGUAUCUAAACUCACAUCCAAAUCCAACUUUAAUUUUUUUUUUUGCCAAUAACACUCAUGUCCUACUUUAGCUUACCUAAAAAAGAUUUAGAAUGAAUAGUGUGAGUAACCAAAGCUUAGUGACUAAUUUAAAUCUCUCCUAAGCAAAUCAAGCAUCUACUGUGAUAAAACAAUACAAAAGAUUCAUUUAUCCAAAUCCAAUAUAUUAUGUAUGAUAGAAUCAAAAUAUGAGUAAUUUCACUAUAAUGCAACUUUAUAUUAAUCAAUUAUAUUCAUUCAAAUUUCAAAUACCAAAAGGGUAGUAAACGCUCCAUCCGAUUUUAUGCAACAAAUAUGUUUUAAACAUUACUUUUUCAUUUUAAAAAAAUCAUAUUGUGCAAUGCUUUUCAGAACUUAUAGUAUACCAAAUCUCGAUCACUUUCAAGACAUGAGCUUAUAAAUUUGUAGAGAAUAACAACCACCCCUAAAUAAAAUCCAAAUCGAAAGUUAUGCCGCUCAAAAAGUUUCAAAGUCCUAUCAAAGAUUAACUAAAUGUCAAACUUACGUGUCAACUAACCUCGACUAAAACUUUAGUAGGCGAUACCAUAUUCUUGAGUCAAAUCAACCACUUGACAAAAGACCUUUGAACAAUUACUUUGCAAAUAGAGUCGAUCUCAUUUAAAACUCCAAUUCAAGUGAGCUUACUUUCAAUAGAAAACUCUUUCGAAUUACUAAGAGACCAUAAAGCCAAAAGAUGGUCGGAGAAGGGUGAAAUCCAUUGCCAAAUACAGUUUUGAAAACUAUUUCUAGCAAUGUGCAAAAUUUUAAAAAUUUAUCCCAAUCAAAUCAUAAACCUAUAUUGACUUUCCUAAAGUCCUAUUAUGCAAUACCCUAAAAUUUCUUUACAACAUAAUUUUAUAGUUUAAAAAUCUCUAUCAACCUAGCAACAUAGAAUCUGCACAAAACCUAAUUUACGAUUUAAUUAUGAAAACUCCUUUAAUUAUAUAAAUAAAAGUUUUGAAUCUUUAACGAUUGCCAAGAAACUGAAUUAAUCCGGUGCAUGCAGCAAGAGCCCCCUUUUUGUCUCCUCUGUCUUUUUCUCGAUUUCUCCGGACUCUGCUUUCCUUCUCUCUCUCUCUCUCUCUUUUCGUGUUCUUCUCUCUUUUCGUGUUCUUCUUGGCAGACUCUGUUUUCAUCUUUUUUCUCUCUUUUCGCUCUAGUAAUUCCCUUACCAAAGAAAGGACUUUAACGAGACACUUGGGCUUGGGCUUGGGCUUACUGUUUUGCUCUUAUUUAUUAUUGUUUGCCAGCCCGGUUAUUGGAACUUUAUUCUUGCCCAUGAAAGUCCCUGCUUUCAUUCCUGCUUCUAGCACUACCAAGGAUUCUCGUCCCUCGAUUCAUUUUUCAAGCAUAACCUGCGAUUCAUUUUUCUAGCAUAACCUGCUUUCAAGAGACGAGAAUCCUUUGCCCUGCGAUUCAUUUUUCAAGCAUAACCUGCUUUCAAGAGACGAGAAUCCUUUGCCCUGCGAUUCAUUUUUCAAGCAUAACCUGCGAUUCAUUUUUCUAGCAUAACCUGCUUUCAAGAGACGAGAAUCCUUUGCCCUGCGAUUCAUUUUUCAAGCAUAACCUGCGAUUCAUUAUUCAAGCAUAACCUGCGAUUUUUUUUCAAGCAUAACCUGCUUUCAAGAGACGAGAAUCCUUUGCCCUGCUUUCAAUUGAGAGGCAAUUGAAAGGAUUCCUGCUUUCAUUCCUGCUUCUAAACUCUACAAAGGAUUCUCCUCCCUGCUUUCGUUCCUGCUUCUAAACACUACAAAGGAUUCUCGUCCCUGCUUUCAAGGAUUCUCUUGCAUUAACUCUUGCAUAAAAGAACCACAAACGAUGUCCCUACCUUCACCCACCCCGCGCCAUGGAUUUUACCUCCAUCGUCUCUAUCCUGAUCAACUUCCUCCAAGUGAAAUUCCAGGGGAAGUUGACUUCGCCCUUUGAAACUCACCCCGUUGCCACUGGAGUUGCCAUCUGCAGCCUGCUCCUGCAUUUUCUGUUGAUGCAUCUCGCUAAUCGGGCACCCCCGUCUAGCGGCCGUGCUCCUCCUUGUGAUGGAGCAUGGCACCUCCUCAUCGACUUCACUGGUUCGAUAUCGGUGGCUUCACUCGCGUGGUUGCUGUUCCACGACUCCUCCCACUCCAUCCUUUGGUUGUUUGCACUGCUCUUGUCUCUUUCUGUGAGUCUGUUGCGCGGCCUCUUUCAAAAACUAUGUCUGUGGCUUUACCGCAGACUCGUUCUCGUGAUUAUCCGUGUGGCACACUCCCCUGUAUGGCAUGGUGGAAGAGCGCAGCCACAUCCGCCGCACCCGGGUGUGGAUCUGUGUUUGUUGCUGGAAGUCUGAGCGGCCUAGUCGUUCGACUGAUUGUUCCCUACUUGGAUAAAGUAAUCUAACUAUAUCUGAAUCCAUAAGAGAAUCGCAAGCCUUCAGCAUCAAAUUAUCUCCAGACCAUAAGAAAGGAGAGCAGGGAACAAGUAAAAACCAUUUGUUAUCGAAGAGAUCAAAGACGACCUCAACAAUUGUUACCAAGAGAAGAAUAGUCGCUUGUAUAGCCAUAUAAGGGGUAGUAAUUGUUCUUGAGGUUAAAGCUUCUGACCUCUUGGAAAGCAUUGCUGAGUGUUGCAGAUUUCCUUCUAUUUUUGGUGUAUCUCUUUUUAGCUUUCUGUUUGGCCAGUGGAUCCAUAUGUGUCAUUUUACAUUCUUUGCUGGUGUACUAUGGUUUUGCUCAUAUAUCCAUAUGAACUGCGACAAAUAGAUGCCUUGGCAACGUGGGCACAGCUACAAUCUCAAAAGCUUUGAUCUAACAUUAACAUCAUUGAGUGAUCAAACCAAAAUGAAAGAUGUCAACCUUUUCAUCUCUGUUCCAUACACACCAUUACUACUUACUAGCUAUUCCGAUGAUAAUAUAGUUGUAGUUUGUCAUUGCAGAAUGUGGGAAUCGUUACAACAUAGUCUCUAUUUGACCUCCAAGAGGUGACAACUAGAUCUUUGCUGUCGCAAAUGCUUUAACUUGCAAUCUAAGACUACGUUGUCUCGCUGGCUGAUUGGUUUUUGGCCAGGAGCAUGAAUUGUUGCUUCAGUGGGAGAUUCAAUUUAGGGCCAAGGUGCGAAAAGAACGCUUGAUUUCUUUUUUUGGGAGGCUUUAGUUCAACAUAGCUGAAUUUUGGUAGACUGCAGAUGUUAGAACCAAACAUUUCCCAUCUUCAUGUGCUAGAAAAGAAUUUACAGUUCAUGAAUGCAAAGCUCGGUAGAUAGUAUGCAAAAGCUCGUGGCUAGUCUGCACAAACUACAUAAACCUUAUCUUCAUUUUCAAGGAAUUAACAAGACCGGCGAGCUUCCUAACAAGUUUAUUCAUAAUCAAAUUAUGCAUCCCAAUGUUAAUACUCCUAUUCAUAACACAGAGCACACAAGUCUUACACUAAAAAAUAUGAUAUUUAUCUGCUUUUGCUCAGAAGAUAAAUAUAUCGGAUGUCAAGUGUUGGCAGGGAUUCCAAUUGACUUGCGUAAGAGGUAAGUUGAAACAUCAAACAAAAAGGCGGUCUUCUGCCUCCCCAAUUCUUUCCUUCUGGAUAAGAGCCUCCCCAAUUCUUUCCUUCUGGAUAAGAGCCUCCCCAACUCUUCAACUACAUGCACUUCGCUGGCAGCUUUUUGAGACCAGCAUUGCAGGUCUUCUUUUGAGUACCUCCAAUUGUGGGCUCAUUCUGUCCACUUUUUCCUGCAGAAAUAAGUCUAGUUCAGCAAAAUCGAGGCUUCAGGUGCUUCCAUUACUUUAAAAAAAAUUUGUCAUUGCCAUAUUUUCUGUUGAUUAUAACUGAUUGUGGAGAUUGAGUCUGUAUAUGAUAUAACAAAAGAAAAAAGAACAGGGUUAUUCACCACAUCACAUGGCCGUAUCUUGUGGCCGUUUGUUGGGUAAAGUCAGUUUAGUGAGAGAGCAUUUCUGCGAUGAAAGCAUACAGUGGGUAAGACGCAUUUGAUAUGUGUAAUCAAUGGGCAAGGGCAUUCAUCACAGACGGAAGCAUCCAGUUUCAGGUCUGUUUCUCUCAAAGGUUACAAUAGUACUCACUGGUAUCGUCUUCAAUUAACAUAGCGUAGAGUGUGAGUUGAUGGGAGGUGAUGGUGAUCUUUAUUGUUGGUGUUAACCGUGGAAGGCAAUCGUGGUUGACAUAAAGAUUGCACUACACAAGAACGUGAAAGUCGAAUGUGCAAAAUUUACCAGACACUGCAUAGGAAGCACGGAUCGGCAGAUCUAAUAUAAGAAAGAGUAUGUGCUCGAGAAGCUGAUAUUUCAAAGUGGGCCUUUCAAAAGUGCAUGGAAUGUUGAAGUUGAAGUCGCAUUCUGCAUAGUGAAAGACGGCGUCAACGCUCUUCAGGACAUGCGUCAGUGAGCCUUCCUUCCUGAUACGGGAAGAAGUGGAUGUGCCAGGGUGAACGGGGUGUUGCAUAACUGAGGGCAAUUCAGCACAUGAUUUACGGAGCAGAAAAGAGCACCUAUGCUCCUGGCAGGCAUGGGCUAUACCUUUAACAUAUUAAUCACGACCCUUGCUCGCAGUAUCCUUCAUUCGACCCAGCUCCAGCGGCAGCGGAUGAUAGUGAAUUGGAGAUAUAAGAGGCAAUCCAGGCAAGCAUAGACCCCACCUAGUAUGCUGCUCUAUUCUCAGCUUUUCACCCAGAUUCUGGUUUCAAGCUUCACGUGGAAGGACACCAGUAGAUGCUGAUGGGCGAAAUGGUUAAAAAAAAAAAAACUGAGCCUUUCUCGCCCUCCAGAUCUUGUGAACAUAGAGUUAUAGCCACGCAGUCCACGUCAAGGCUGAAAUUGCAUUCGCUGCAGGGGAAAACCAGAUGGCAGGCAUUACAUUGGAGGUCUACCGAUUGAUCGAAAGCAAGAAAAAGGGUUGAUUAUGAAGAGAGGGGUGUUGCUUCUCUGGGGAAGAUUCGGUGCAGCUCUCGUGAAUGAAGAAUAUGCGCCAUGUGGCAUCCAUAGACCUCCUUGCAGGCUUUGCAUUUGAUUCUACUUUUCAUCCCAAAAUGGAGGGAUGUGAGCAGAUGCUAAUGAGCAAAAUGCAGGAUGGAUUCUCAGAAUCCUCGUCAGGCUUAGUUGUGACUAGGCAGACAAAGCAAUAUCCAGCCGUGCACAAACGCUCAACCGUCCGAAUGGCAAGAAGGAAGCCUGCUCACACGCAUGGCAACUCCGAUGAUCCUCCUCAUUGUUGGCAGCUAGGCAGUCAAGUCGGGGCAGCGGGUGAGACGGGUGUCCUAGUGUGGACAGCAUGCUAAAUUCGGCAUGACUCGUAAAAGAAGAAACGACACGAUUCAGAGUGGUGAGCUGAGCUGCGGAUUGGAGAUCGCAUGACAUUCCAAGCAAGUACAGGCUUCUUUGCUCAGGUUUCAGAGAUUCAAUACAUGAUCACCAAGGCAAAUUAGGGUAUAAAAAUGCGUUUUGAAUGGAGUUAUACUUAUUUUUAUUUUAUCUUUUGGUCAGUAGAGUUAUACUUGUUAUCAACACGAAGUAAAUGUGGUGAAAUUAAUUUGGUUAAUGCCUUAAAAAAUCUCAAAGUAGUACACAUGUGAUAAAUUUAUCCUAAACUAAACUACACAUUUGACAAAUUUACCUCAAACUGAUAUAUUUGUGACAAAUUUACCAUUUAUCGGUUUCUGUUAAAUUUUACUGUCGAAUUACUAAAUUAAAAGAUACGUGAUAGUUGACUGGUGUACUAGUUUGGGAUUUUACUCCGUUUAUAAUAGUUAUAUAGUUUUUGUAAUUUUUUGUAGCAUUAAUCCAAUUUAACGGAGGGUGUACCAAUUCAGGGUUUUUGACGGCCGAAUAAAUUAAUUUUGAGUAAAUUUGUUAUAAGUAUACCAUUUUGAGAUUUUUUUUUUUUUAUAAUCAAUUGGGGUAAAUUUGUCAUAGGUGUAUUAGUUUAGAGUUUUUUAUGGUAAAAAAAAUUAGUUUUGGAUAAAUUUGUUACACAUGUAUCAGUUUGGAGUUUUUCAAGGUAUUAAUCUAAAUUAAUUUUACCCCACUCCCUCGUCAUUUGAUGUUGUGUUUCAAUGCUAAAUUGGGCACCCAACUCGUGAAAGAAGAUUUGACACGAUUCACAGCAGUAGGGAUGAGCUGCGGAUUGGAGACCAGCACGUGAGACAUUCCAAGUAAACCUUCCAUUCAGGUUCCGGAGAUUCAAUGCAUGAUCACCAAGGCAAAUUAGGAAAUAAAAAAGCGUUUUGAAUGGAGUUAUAUCUGUUGAGUGAUAUCAACACGAAGGAAAUGGGGUGACAUGAAUUGUACCCCGCUUCCAUAUUAUUUGAUGUUCUAUUUUAGUGUUCAUUUGUACAUUUUAUUUUAUUUUAUUUAUGCUUAACGCAAUAGUUAAUAAAACUAAAGUGGCCCAUGAAAAGUUUCAUAUCUUGUUCAUUUAAAGUCAGCUGCAAUUAGGAGGUGACAAAAGUGCAUUCACCUCGGGCUACUCUAUACAUUCAUCAGAAAGUUCUUAUCCAACUUAUAGUAAAAAUAAUUUACGCAAGACAAGAUUGCGAUGACAGUUUUGUCAUAAUUGUUUAAAAAACUAAAUUCACCUAUUUUUAACUUUAUGAAUUAUUUUUUUAAUUUAUUAGUUGAUUACAUUUUUAUGUAAAAGUAAUAUUUACAUUUGCUAUUAAAUACAAUUUGUACAAAUAGUAUGAGUCGAAUCUACUAUUUUCUAGUUAUCAAUUUCUCUAUAUAAGCUAUGUCAGUACGGCUCAUUGAAGCAGCAAUUGUAAUUAAACUUGUAAUUUUCAUUAAAUAGAACUCAAUUUCAUUUUCAAAAGCUAAAUAAUUAUUUGCAUUGGUUAUCCUUUAAAAAAAUAUAUGGAUUGUAGUUGUCAUAGACCCAGUUCAUAUAUAUAACCUACAACUAGUUAAACUGAAUUUAGAUCCACAUAUAAAAAGUUGGCAUUUGUAUAAACUAUGAAGACUAAGACCUAGGAGAACAUUUCUAGAAAGAGCAAAACAAAACAGAGAGGUGCUCUUCUGAGUAAUUACAAGUAAACCUGUCAAAAUGAUAUGAUGAAUGGCAUUUGGAUGAUCAUCUAUGGUGAUCAUCUUCCUUUCACUAAUUUGUAUGCUCUUUUUGUUAAAACCUUGAAUUUACUAUACUAAUCAAAGUAAUGAUUGGUCCAAUCCUGAUUUUGAACCAAGUCACACCCUUUUUCUGAGGCAAAAAAGAAAGAAGACAGAAUUCUCUUUUUUGUCACAUUUAUGCCCUACUACUAGGGGUGUUUGCGUGUAUUUAUAAACCUCUUUUCAAUAAAUUUUUCAAUUUUUCAAUCUCCUCUCUCUCUCUCUCUCUCUCUCUCUCUCUCUCUCUCUCUCUCUCUCUCUCUCUCUCUCUCUCUCUCUCUCUCUCUCUCUCUCUCUCUCUCUCUGAGGGAGUUUCCAAAGGGUCUCAGGGGAAAAUUCAGUGUUCACAUUGCAAUGGUUGGACCAUGCCGCAUUACAUGAUGAUCCUAUGGCCACUCAUGGGUAGAAAUGGGACCUUCAUGAAAGUUGAGAAUUUAAAAAAAAAAAAAUCGAAGUAGAAUUGAGAUUAAAAUUAAUUUUUAAGAUUUUUUAGGAAAUUUGCCCAUAAUAAUUCAUGCUUCCAUCAACAAUCCAAAGCGUCUCAAACCGAAGAAAAUGCAAUCUUUUGUUAAGAUGGAAACCUAUUUCUACAAUAUUUCACCCAAAAAAAAUGUCCGCUACUUUAGAAGUAUUUUACUAGGAUUUUGUAUAUCCAACAAUUAUAGAAUAAGUGAAUUCGUGCAUAAAACAUAGUGACAAGAGAAUGCUCAUGUCAUGAUAUAUUAUUUGCAUAAUAAAUGCGUAAUUAGAGAAAGGGAGGAGUGGCCAUUAUUGUAGUAAGAAAUUGGUAAAAUUAUAAUGAUAUAGAGAAAUAAUAACGAUGUAUUGAUGUAUAUUUUCAUUUUUUUGAUUUUGUGAAUAAGAUUUGUCCUUUAUAUAUUGUCACACCCCAACUCUAUAAAAUAAGGAAAACGACACCACCAUGCUCUUACCCAAAGGACACAACUUCAAAUUAUCAAAAUAUAUAUUCAUCUAUAUACUUGACAAAUAGUCGUUUGGUUACAAAAUUUUAAGAGUUCUAAAAUUCAUUAAAAAAAAAGUGGGUGUAUCUCCAAACUCAAUUAAACCCCAAAAAUAUCAUUCUAGACAUAUACAAGUAUCUAAACUCGCAUCUCAAUCCCACUGUAAAAAAAUUUCCGCUAAUUAUGCUCACGUCCUACUUAGCUUACUUGAAAAGAAUUUGGAAUGAAUAGUGUGAGCAAUCACAGUUUUUCAUUGCUAACCCAAAUCUCUCAUAAAUAGAUCAAGCAUCCGCUAUAAUAAAGUAAUACCAGAGAUUCAUUUACCCAAAUCCAAUAUAUAAUGUACAAUAAAAUCCAAAUAUUAGUAAUAUCACCUCAACGCAACUUUAUACUAAUCAAUUAUAUUCAUUCAAAUUUCAAAUAUCAAGAGUAGUAAAUGCUCCAUCCAGCUUUAUGUAACAAAUAUGUCUUAAGCAUUACUUUUUCUAUUUUAACAAAAUCAUAUUGUGGAAUGUCUUGCACAGCUUAUAAUAUAUCAAAUCUUCAAGAUAUGAACUUACCAAUUUAUAGAGGAUAACAACCCCUAAAUAAAAUCCAAGUUGAAAGUCACACCGACUCGAAAAGCUUCAAAGUCCUAUUAAAGAGUAACUAAAUGACAAACUUACAUGUCUCCUAACCUUGACUAAAACUUUAGUAGAUAAUGCCAUAUUCUUGAGUCAAAUCAUCCACUUGGCAAAAGACCUCUGAACACCUACUUUGCAAAUAGAGUCGACCUCUUAUCUCGGAACUUCAAUUCAAGUGAAUUUACUUUCAAUUGAAAACUCUUUCAAAUUACUAAGAGACCAUAAAGCCAAAAGAUGACCGGAGAAAGAUGAAAUCCAUUGCUAAACACAGCUAUGUGAAAACUAUUUCUAGUAGAGCGCAAAAUUUUAGAAAUUUAUUCCAAUUAAAUCAUAAUCCUAAAUUGACUUUCCUAAAGCCUUGUUUUGAGACACCCUAAAAAAUUUUCAAAACAUAAAUUUUACAACUGAAAAACCUUUAUAAUCAACUCAGCAACGUAGAAUCCAUUUAAAACCUAAUUUAUAGUUUAAUUACGAAAACUUCUUCAAUUAGAUAAAUAAAGUUUUGAAACCUCACCGAUUGCUAGGAACAGAAAUAAUCCACCUUAAUCAAGUCUCUCGAGCGGGCAUGCAGCAAGAGCCUACUUUGCCUCCUCUUUCUAUUUUUGUCCGUUUCUCCGAGCCCUGCUUGCCUUCUUUUCUUUCCUUUUCCUUUUCUUUUUUUUUUCUUGGCCAGACCCUGUUUCACUCUUUCUGCGCCCGUGAAUUCCCUGGGAGCGGCAUGAACUGAAGCAUGACUGAAGAAAGGGCUUACGCGAGACACUUGGGCUUGGGCUUAAUGUUUUGCUCUCGUUUAUCAUUUUUUGCCAAAGCUCGGUUACAGCAAAAAUCUGUAUAGGUUAUUAACUUAUUACGGAUGGAUGCAAAUUAUGCGGAGCGAGAAUAAUGUCACCCUAUCCCAUGAUAAGAAAUUUAGGAGAGAUAAGGACGUUUAAUUUCAAGCGCGAAGUUCGAAACCCUACAUCCUGCUGACAGAGAUAGAAAAAAUUCUCUUCUUAAUUUUUUUUUUAACACAAGAAAAAAUUAAUCGGAAAGUUUAAAGGCCUUCCUCCACUCCACGACGUGAUGAGGGGUGAAGUCAGGAACAUCAUCGAAAUAUUUUAUGGAAAAAUAAGUACCGUGGAAUAAGGAUAUUAUUUAUAUAUCAUAUAUUUUCAUGGAAAGAUCUCUCAAUUCGACUCGGAUAAGGAAUGAUGAUAUGGGUCCCAUCCGAGAUUUCAUUUCUCAGAUAUAUUAUCUGAGAAAUGACACCUUGGAUGGGACCCAUAUCAUAUACUUUCUGAGGAACGACACCUUGGAUGGGACCCAUAUCAUCAUUCCUUAUAUAUAUGAUAUAUACGCGAUGCUCCUGUCUUCACCCCUCCCCGCACCAUGGAUUUUACCACCAUUGUCUCUAUCCUCAUCAACAUCAUCCAAGUGCAAUACCAGGGGAAGUCGAUUUCACCCUUGGAAACCCACCCAGUCGCCACCCGCAUCGCCAUCUGCAGCCUCCUCCUGCAUUUCUCUUUGGGGCGUGUCGCUAAUCGGGCACCACCGUCUCGCGGCCCUGCUCCUUCUUGUGAUGGAGCAGCCCACCUCCUCUUCCACUUCACCGGUUUGAUAUCGGUGUUUUCGCUCGCGUGGUUGCUGCUCCACGACUCCUUCCACUCCCUCCUCUGGUUCGUGCUGUUCCUGUUGCUUUCCGUGCGUCUGUUUCGGGGCCUCAUUCAAAACCUUUGGCUGUGGUUUUACCGCAAACUCGUUCUCAUGAUUAUCCGUGCGGGGGGCUCCCGUGUAUGGCACGGUGGAAGAGCACAGCCACAUUUGCCACGCCCGGUUGUGGAUCUGCGCUUCAUGCUGGAAGUUUGAGCGUCGUAGUUGUUCGACUGACUGCUCCCCGCUUGGAAGAAGUAAUUUUAAUUGUGUGAUCACUUUAAAUCAAAUGAUUAGUACUUUAGGAAGCUAAGCCAGUUUUAUGUAAGAGGCACUUGGGGCUUUCUUCUCUUUAUCUGAAGCCAUAGCCAUGAGGAAUCCCCAAGCCUUCGGCAUCAAAUUAUCUCCCGAUCAUAAGAAAGAAAAGCAGGGAACAAGUCAAAACCACCAAUGUAUCUUUCCUGUUCCUAGCCAUGAACGGUGAUGGACCUUGUAGUGACUAGAUCUAAUUAAGAUAGGCUAAGCUCUCAAAAGAAAUUAGGAUCUAUUGUUAUUGAAGAGAUUGAAGAUGACCUCAACAACUGUUACGACAAGUAGAAUGGUCUUUUCUAGUAGGCAUAUAGGGGGUAGUACUUGUUCUUGAGGUUAUAGCUUCUGACCUCUUUCAAAGCAUUGCUGAAUGUUGCAGAUUUCCUUCUUUUUUUCUGGGGAAUCUCUUUGUAGCUUUCUGUUUGGCCAGUGGAUGGAUUUGUGUCAUUUUACAUUCUUUGCUGGUGUGCUAUGGUUUUGCUCAUUUAUCCAUAUGAACUGGGAUAAAUUGAUGCCUUGGAGACGCAAGCACAGCUAAAAUUUCAAAAGUUUUGAUCUAACACUAACAUCAUUGAGUGAUCCAAAUCAAAAUGAAAGAUGUCAGCUUUUUCCAUCUCUCUCGCAUAUACACCAUUACUGCUUAAUAGCUAUUCCGAUGAUAAUAUAAUUGUACUUUGUCAUUGCAGAAUGUGGGAGUGGUUACAUCAUAUAAUCUUUAUUUUACCUCUUGAGAGGUGACAACUAGAUCUUUGCUGUGGCAAAUGUGUUAACUUGCAAUUUAAGACUACGCCAUCUCGCUGGCUCAUUGACAUUCAAGUUGCUGGGCCAAGGUGAGAAAAGAAUACUGAAAUGUCGAUUAUUUUUCAGGAGGCUUUAUUUCAAGAUAACUGAAUUUUGGUUGACUACAGAUGUUAGAACCGAAAUUUACCACCCUGCAUGUGCUAAGAAUUUACAGUUCAUGUGUGCAAAGCUAGAUAGAUAGUAUGCAGAUGCUCGAGACAAGUCUGUACAAACUACACACAUUUGAUGUUCGUAUCUGAGGAAAUAAUUAGACCAGCAAGCUUCUUGACAAUUUGAUUCAUUAUCAAAUCAUGCAUUCCAAUGUUUGUACUUUGAAAUAUGAUAGAGCACACAAGUCUUGCACUUCAAAAAUAUGAUAUUUAUCUGCUUUUUCUGCAGAGAACAAUGAUCUUGGAUGUUGACUGUAGCAGUGAGUCCAAUUGACUUGCAUAAGAACGUGACUUGAAACAUCAAUCAGAAAGGUAGGUUCUCCUGACUCCUGAAUUUUUUUCUUCUUGGUAAGUGCCUCCCCAACACUACAACUGCAUGCACUUCACUUGCAGCUUUUAGAGACCAGCAUUGCACAUCUUUUCUUGAGUACCUCCAAUUAUGUGCCCAUUUUUUCCUGCAGAAUUUUAAUUUUUUAAUCUAGUUCAGCAAUAGCAGGGUCUUCAGGUACUUCCACUAUUCCAGCAAUCUGUAUUAAACACUGCUUGGUAUUAGCACAUUUUCUGUUGAUUAUUACUUAUUGUGGAGAUGAGUCUAUAUAUAUGAUAUUAAAAAGGAACGUGACAAUUCACCACAUCACAUGGCAGCAUCUUGUAUUCAAUUUUAGCUUAAGUAUGUUUAGCAAGAGAGCACUACUGCAAUACGAGCGCACCAUGAUAAAAUGCAUUGGAUCUGAGUAAUCAAUGGGCGAGGGCAUUCAUCGCAGUCAUAACCACCCACAUUUGUGUCCCUUAUCUUCUUGCAAAGGGCACAAUAGUACCACUCACUGGUAUCAUCUUUGAUGAACGAAACGUGAAGUGUGAGUUGAUGGAAGUUAACGACUAUCUUUUACUGUAGUGGAAGGCAAUCUGUGCACACAACUGCAAUAGCCAAAGCUGCAAAAUUUACCACAAACAUUGCAUAUUAGCAUGGUUAGGUAGAUUUAAAACAAGAAAGAGUAUAUGAUUGUGGAGGUGAUGUUUCAAAGUGAGCCUUUCAAAAGUGCAUGGAGUGUUGAAGUCAUUGUCAUUUCCGUGCAGUGAAAGACAGAGCGUCAACACUCUUCACGACAUAUGUCAACAGUGCUCCUCCUGAUACGAGAAGAAAAAGGAUGUGCAGGGUGAGCAGGUCAGAGAUUCAAGUUGUUGCUAGAAUUGUUGCUUCACUCAGAGAUUCAAGUUGCCUGGGCCAAGGUAAGAAAAGAACACUGAAAUAUAGCUUCCCAAUAUAACCGAAUUUGGUAAACUGCAGAUGUUAGAACCGAACUUCUCCCAUCUUUAUGUGCUGGAAAAGAUUUUACAGUUCAUGAAUGCAAAGUCAUAUAUAUAAUAUGCAAAAGCUUGAGACUAGUCUGUACAAACUACACACAUCUGAUUCAUUUUUUGAGGAAAUAAUAAGACCAGCAAGCUUCCUGGCAAGUUGAUUCAUAAUCAAAUUAUGCAUCCCUAUGUUAGUAAUCCAACUCAUAACAUAGGGUAAACAAGUCUUACAUUCAAAGUUAUGAUAUUUAUAUGCUUUUGCUGCAGAAGAUAACAAUAUCAGAUGUCAAGUGUUAGCAGUGAUUCCAUUGACUUGCAUAAGAGCAUAAGUUGAAACAUCAAACAGAAAGGUGGUCUCCUGCCUCCCCAUUUCUUUUCUUCUGGAUAAGCGUGCCUCCCCAAAUCUGCAAUUACAUGCACUUCGUUUGCAGCUUUUUGAGACCAGCACUGCAUGUCUGCUUUUUUAGUAUUGUUCAAUUGUGGGUUCGCUCUGUCCUUUUUUUCCUGCAGAAUUGCAAUUUUUCCAUCUAGUUCAGCAAUAGCCGGGGGUAUUCAGGUACUUCCAUUACUUUAAAAAAAUUUGGUAUUACCAUAUUUUCUGUUAGUUAUAACUUAUUGUGGAGGGAGUCUAUAUAUGAUGUUAAAAGAAGAAAAAGGAACAGGGCUAUUCACCACAUCACGUAGCUGCAUUGUGUAGCUGUUUGUUGGCUAAAGUCAGAGCACUUCUGUGAUGAAAGCAUACCGUGGGUAAAACACAUUCGAUAUGAGUAAUCAAUGCGCAAGGGCAUUCAUCACAGAUGGAAGCACCCAGAUUCAGGUCUUUUUCUCUCAAAGGUUACAGUAGUACUUACCGUCAUCGUCUUCAAUGAACAUAGCGUAGAGUGUGAGUUGACAGAGGUGAUGGCGAUCUUUCAUUGUUGGUGGUAACCGUGGAAAGCAAUCAUGAUAGACAUUAAGAUUGCAGUGCACAAGAACGUGAAAAUCAAAUGUGCAAAAUUUGCCAGACACUGCAUAGGAAGCACGGGUCAGUAGAUUUUUGUGGAGGUGACGUUUCAAAGUGGGCCUUUCAGAAGUGCAUGGAAUGUUGGAGUCUAACUCACAUUCUGCGCAGCGAAAGAAAGCUUCAACGCUCUUCACGACAUGCGUCAGUGAGCUUUCCUUCCUGAUAUGGGAAGAAGUGGAUGUGCAGGGUGAAUGGGUUGUUGCAUAACUGAGGGCAAUUCAGCACAUGAUUUAUGGAGCAGAAAAGAGCAGCACUGCUCGAGGCAAUGAUGGGCUAAACCUAUUGACAUAUUCAUGACAAGCCUUGAGCGCACCAUCCUUCCUAUGACCCAGCUCCAGCGGCGGCAGAUGAUUGUGAAUUGGAGAAAGAAAAAGCAAUCCAGACAAGCAUAGAACUCACCUAGCAUGUUCCAUCAAGCUUCGCACUAAUUUCUGUUUCAUCCUUCUUGUGGAAGGACACCAGUAAAUGCUGAUGGGCGAAAUGGUAAAAAAACAAGCCUUUCUCACCCUUCAGAUCUUGUGAACGUAGAGUUAUAGCUGUGCAGUCCAUGUCAAGGCUGAAAUUGCAUUAGCUGCAGCAGGAAACCAUAUCGCAGGCAUUACAUUGGAGGUCUACAGAUUGAUUGAAAGCAAGAGAGAUGGUGAUCAUUGAAAGACAGGCAUUGCUUAUUUGGUGUAGAUUUGGCACAGCUCUUGUGAAUUAAGAAUAUGCACUAUGUAGCAUCCAUAGACCUCCUUGCAGGCUUUGCAUUCGAUUCUACCUUUCAUCCCAAGAUGCUAAUGAGCAAAAUGUUGGAUGGUCACAUACUCAGAAUCUUCAUCAGGCUUAGUUGUGACUAGGCAGACAGCAAUAUUGGACCGUGCUGUAAUGCUCAACAAUCCGAAUGGCAAGAAGGAAAGCCUCGUCACAUGCAUGGCAACCGUGACGAUCCUCCUUCUCAUCUGCCUACUAGGCAUUCAAGCGGGGGCAGCAGGUGAAACGGGUGUUCUCGGGUGAAGAGCAUGCUAAAUUCAGCUUGACUAGUGAAAGAAGAUUCGACACGAUUCCCAGCAGUAGGGCUGAGCCGCGGAUCUGAGACCAGCGCGCAAGACAUUCCAAGCAAGUGCAGCCUUCUUUGCGAAUCAAUACAUGACCAGCAAGGCAAUGGAGUUAUAGUUGCUGAGUGACAUCAACAAGAAGCAAAUGGGGUGAAAUGAGUCGUACCCAACUACCGUAUUAUUUGGUGUUGUAUUUCAGUGCUAAUUUGUACAAUUUUUUUUUAAUCUAUGCAUUAAGGCAAUAGUUAAUAAAACGAAAAUGAAAUCUCAGCAAGAGUUUUGGGCAGAUCUAGCUUUCGUUCCUGAGGAAGCUCCCAGGAAAAGCUUCGUCAAAUAUUUACCUUCCAAAUAGUUCCUUCCUAAUGCGAGAAGAGGGUUGUUGCAUAACUGAGGGCAAUUCAGUCAAUAAUUUUUGGUCAAAAUCAGUCUGAAAGAUUGAAUUAGCACUAGGUCAAAAGUUUGAGAUUAGAUUGUCAGAAUUAUAAAGUUUAUGAUUAGAUCGACACUAAUGCAAUAAAUUUAGAACUUUUAUGACAUUUUUUCCAUUAAAAAAGUCCUUAAUCUGGCCAACUGUUUUAGGGGUCAUCCUGGGCACGUUUCUCAUAUGUUUUGAUUGUGUUAUUUGAUAGUUCGAGUUACGGUAUUAGGAAUACAUUUCUUUCGGUGAGCAUUACAUUUAUCUCCUCUAAUUGCUUGAAAGCAAGAGAGAGAGAGGGUGAUCAUGGAGAGAUGGGCGUUGCAUCUCUGUGGGGGAUUCGGCGCAACUUUUGUGGAGAAAGAAUAUGCACGCAUGGUCUCCAUGGAAUUUGGUGUUGUUAAAUUUCGGUAUCGAGUUAAUGACUUUAUAAAACGUGUUACAACACGUGAUUUAUGGAGUCAUCUAAUCGUACUCAAAGUUUGUAAACACAAAGUCCUGGUGGCCGAAGAAUGCAAACCCGAUUAAUGGGACGAUUAUCUUGAGAGACUCAAUCAUGAGAUUGCCCUUAUGAAUUACACUUAAUCCCCGGCGGGCUCUAUACUCUCUCAAGUCUGUAAUCGGCUUUAAAGCGCUAUUAGCCAGUAGAAGGGGAAGGGGGGUCUAGGCAACAUCAAGUCAACUGAGAGAAUCAUCUUAUGAACUUUUUCCUCUUUUUGGUCGUCAAAAGGGCUUUUAAUCUUCAUUCAAACCAUCAAGCCAUGUCCUGUGAAUCGAGCUACGCAUUGUCAAAAGCCUAAAAUCUGCUGCACUAAUCUAUCUGUUGAAGACUGGAAUCCAUGGUGGCACCCCCUCCUUGGGAAGCUAACUCCAAUCAGUGGUCAUUAAAUCCGGAUCGAAAUGUCAAACGUCCAAUCGGGUCCUCUCUUUUCGGCAGAUCCUUCCCCGCGUGUGCGUGAUCAUGCUCGUCUGCUGGCUCUUCCCACCAUGUCAAACGGCUUCUGUGUGGUGUGAAACGAGUGAACUUUCCUCGUCGUGGGAGCCUCUCUCUCCCUCUCCCUCUCUUCGUCUUCGGUUUCGAGGCAUGGAGAGCGAUCGGGUGUUAAAAGGUGGAUUCCGUGUUGUUAAACACUUGACUUCUCCGGUGGUUGAAACGAGUGAGCUUUUCUUUCUCGUUUUGUUCUUCUUGGCCAGACUCUGUUCUCUCUUUCUUUCCGCUCUCGUAAUUUCCCUUGCAAUGAAGCAAGACUAAAGAAAGAACUAAAACGAGACAAUCGGGCUUGGACUUGGACUUAGGCUUGGGCUUAAUGUUUCGCUCUCAUUUAUUAUUUUUUGCUAGCCCUUUUAUUGCAACUUCAAUCAUGGAGAUAAAUCUUUUAGGCUAUUACGUGCUGAUGGAUACUAAACGGAGUGCGGAGCGAGGAUAAGGUCACGGGGAAAAAAAUUAGGAAAGAUCAAGGACUUUUUUUUUUAAUGGGAAAAAUGUUAGAAAAUUCAUAAAUCUAUUAUAUUAGUGUCAAUCUAAUUCUAAACAUUUUAAUUGUGUCAAUUUAGUCUUAUUUUUUUUUAUCUAAUACAAAUUCAGUCAUUCCAACUAAUUUUGACUAACUGACAAAAAAAAAAACUAAUUUUAACUAGAAAUUACUGAUAUUGAUGUUGAUUGUUUUACCUGGCAUGAUUAGUGUUGACACAACAAUUUCUAAUUAUAUUUUAAUAUUUUUCAAAUUUUUAUUAUUUUAUCUUAUUUUUUCCUUCUUUUUUUCUCCUUUCUUCAUCUUUUUAUUGGUGACCGACCACUAGCCAUAGCUAGAUGAGCUAGCCUCUCCAAGGCAAGGGUCGCCAUUGCUCGCCACAAGCGAGGCUUGACUUAGCCAAGCCAGGGACGACAAGCCCCGAUGAGGCCUUGCAAGGGUCAGCCUAGGCUAGAUUUGGGGAGGCCAAUCCACCUAGCCAUCACCUAUGGACAAUAGUCGGUCAUCGACAAAAGCAAGAAGAAAGGAAAAAAAAAAAAAAGAGAGAAAGAAAGAGAAAAAUAUUAUAAAAAAUGAUGAAAAAUCGAAAAAUAUUAAAAUAUUAUUAAAAAUUGUUAAUGUCCGUCCACAUCAGUAAUACCAUGUCAAAACUAACUAAGAGGACUAAAUCGAUACAAUUAUAAAGUUCAAGACUAAAUUAAUAUCAAUGUAAUAAAAAUAAACAAUAAAAUAUAAAAUUUAGGACUUUGCUUUUUUUCCUUUUUAUAUAUAACCAAAUAAAAAAUAAAUCGGACAUUUCAAGGCUUUCGUCCACUCCAUGGUGUGGUGAGGGGGUGAGGGUAAGGACAUCAUUUGAUAUUUGCUUUUUCAUGGAAAGUGGCACAGAACAUCAGUUUUUUUCUUCUUCUUCUUCUUUGGGUUUGGGCAUGGGACAUCAAUUUGAAUUAUUUUCUUUUGGAUCCUCUUUCUUUUCGGGUCCAACCCUGCUUCAACUCAGGGUCGGGUCCGACCCUGCUUCAACCUCGCACCACCCAAAAUGUAGAAUAUUCAAAUUGACCCGAAAGAAAAAGCGUAUAAAACGACAGUCCCAGUCUUUUCAUCCCUCACCUCGCCAUGCGCCAUGGAUCUUUCCUCCAUUGUCUCUAUCCUGGUCAACUUCAUCCAAGUUGGAAUACCAGGGAAAGUUGACUUCACCCUUUGAAACCCACCCCAUUGCCACUUGCGUCGCCAUCUGCAGCCUCCUCCUGCAUUUCUCUUUGGGGCGUGUCACUAGUCAGGCACCACCGCCUCGCGGGCGUGCUCCUCCUUGUGAUGGAGCAACACACCUCCUCUUCCACUUCAUCGGUUUGACAUCGAUGUUUUCACUCGCGUGGUUGCUGCUCCACGACUCCUUCCACUCCUUCCUCCGGCUCGUGUUGUUCUUGUUGCUUUCCGCGUGUCUGUUGCACGGCUCCAUUCAAAAACUUUGGCUGUGGUUUUACCGCAAAUUUGUUCACAUGAUUAUCUGUGCGGUGCGCUCCCAUGUAUGGCAUGGUGGAAGAGUGCAACCACAUUUGCCGUGCCCAGCUAUGGAUCUACAUUUCAUGCCAGAAGUCUGGGUGCCGUUGUUUAACUGUUCCCUACUAAUUUAAUUGUAUCACCACUUUAAGACAAUUUAUUAGUACUUUUGGAAGCUAAGUUAGUUUUGUAUAAGAGGGACUUGAGGCUUUCUUCUCUUUAUGGGAAGCCUUAAGGAGUCCCCAAGCCUUUGGCAUCAAAUUAUCUCCCGACCAUAAUAAGAAAGGAGAUUGGGGAACAGGUACAAAACCACCUUUGUAUCUUUCCUAUUCCUAGCCAUGAAUGGUCAUGCACCUUGUAGCAAUUAAAUCCGCUGAAGAUAGGCUAAACCCUCGGAAAAAAUUGGGAUCUAUUUGUUGUCGAAGAGAUCGAAGAUAACCUCAACAAUUAUUAUGAUAAGUAGAAUGAUUGAUUCUAUUAGCCAUAUUAAGUAGAUAUUGUUCUUGAGAAGAAAGCUUCUGCCCUCUUUUAAUACAAUGCGAGUGUUGCAGAUUUCUUUCUUUUUCUAAUGAAUUUUUUGGGAAAAUUGCCAAAAAUAUCUUAAGUCUUUUAAUAAUUUGUCAAUUUAGUUUUACAGCUAAUUCAACCCAAAAAAAUGCUUAUGUGAAUGUCCAAUCAGCGGCACCCGACUUACUUGGCCAAACCGGCUGAAGGCCAGCACUGAUGUGGUCACCGGAGAUCAAAAUGGCGACGUUUUCCACAAUAAUUAAAAAAUAAAUAAAUAAAGAAAUCGUGGCUGUGCUCUUUUCUUGUCCAAAUCCUCAAACGCUCGCCCAACGCCCCAGUCCAAAGAACUCUAACCCGAAAUUAACUGAAAUCUUGCUGAAAUCUCUUCAAAUCUCAACUCAAAUCGAAUGAUUUUUUGCUCAAGCCCGAGUCGUUUCUUUCCACAUUUUAAGAGAAAACGCGUAUGUUUUGUUUUUGCAAAACCCUUGCUCGCUCGCGCAGUCGCCCAAAUCUCCCCCAAACCUCAACUCAAAUUGCGAAUGGAAGCCUUGCUAGAUGUAGAUGUGUUUUGACGACUUGUUCAUUAGUUGGGGACAGAUGGUUGUUUCACUCUCACACCUAUAUCCCUUGGUUGAAGUGUCUACUGUCUGUUAGCAGUUUGUAAAAAUGCCCAAGCGAACUUUUGUGAAAAUUUCCCUCUGGAUCUACAUCUCUGAACGUUCAUUGCGUAUUCAAAUCGUAAUGAGCACUUUUGAUUCAUUCAUUUACUCUCGGUUUAUGAUAUUUGAAUCCAAAGGUAAUAACAACGGAAGGAUGUUCGCUUCUCUGUUUGAUGUGCUAUGUCUUGGGGCCUUACAUGGCUGUUCCCGCUGUGAGACAUUGUCUGGAAUCGUUGAUACACAAGGUGGUUUUCUGAUGAACUUCACGCUGGUCGCACCCAAACUUCUUUAAUGUUCAUGUACCAUGUGUCUCGGUGAUCUAUGACCUGUGUCGGUAGAGCUAUAAUAGUCGGAUUGUAAACCAAAUUCUAGUGGUACAAUUGCUUUAGCUGCUACUGUCACCAGUAGUAAAAAAGCCAUGGAAAGGUCGAGAGGUACAUUACAUACUUCAAUACACCAACUUACCCAAAACAAGUAAAUUGCUACGAAUAUCAAAACUCCUGGAUCAAAGGCAAGAAGAGAAUCAGAAAACGCUAUGUGGCCAUAGUAAACCUAAUUGCAAGUUAACAAGGAACAUGCGAGAGCAAUUUAGCAAAAAUGUUGCAGUGCUAGUUGAGAUAGCUAGUAUAAUCACCUAGAGGGGGGUGAAUAGGUGCACAAACAAAUUUUCAAGAUACGGAAGCGAUUUUAGGCAAUCGAUAGAAAGGAAAAUAUGAUCAAAGUAAAAUAAAGGUUAGGGAAUAGAGAAAUAAACACAAGAUUUAUAGUAGUUCGGCUUAUUCCAAGCCUACGUCCACUCUUCCGCACUGACAGCCCACCGGCUGGAUUUCACUAUGAACAAGAGAGAAGUUACAACACAUUUUUUCCUUGAUUCCAUAGUGUAGAUGUUCUACCACACUUCCUCAAGGUUUCUCACGAAUAUAGACUCUAUUUUGUUUACACGAUUAUGCUCAACAAAUGAAUUGACUAGAAAUAAUGAGCUUCAGACUUUGGAAUUCUUCUAUCGUGCACACUUUCGAACAACUAGAACGUCUUCCUUAUAUACUCCUUCAUGCCAUCAUACCCGUUGGCACUUACCAAAGGAAUUCCUCCAAUCUACCCGUUGGACGGAAUCAAUUAGGAAGAUCAUUCGAGCUAUUAAAGGAACAUGUCGAUAGCCCAUCAAUCAUGUUCGCCCAUACAAUCAGGAUCUCGGUUUCCAUAAGUAGAACCUUCCAAGUAUACUUCGCCAAUCAUCGGAUCCUUAAUAUUCGAAUCAAUUGUGAUCAAAUAAAGAAUUCCGUUAUGUCAUAUCCAGCCAAGAGAUCUUCUCCAGUCGAUAAGGCCACAUCCUUAAUGAAACAUCUAGUUCUUGAUAGCCUUUCUUCAACGGAUUAUAGACUGUCAAUGAGGAUAGACUUUGAGUCUUGAGUCUGGCUGUCCGGAGGUCUUCAGACUUUAAAUAGCAGAGUCUGCAAUCCUUCAGACUAGCCUGAUGGAAACGUUUUGUCAACUUCAAAACAUUUCAAGAGGAAUUUCUCCAACAAUCUCCUCCUUUUUUAUGGUGACAAAACUUUCCUGCAGAUUUGGAAAACUUUGACCUACAAAACAUUUCUCAAACACAUAUGCAUAUCUUAUAGAUAAAAUGGCUAAAUGAAUAACACUAGAUCUGCAACCACAGAAAAUAGGUUAGUCCAGUAUGCAAUAAAGCCAUCCAUAAGACAUCAAUAGUAGUUAAUAAUAAGCAGUCAAAUCCAAAUCCCAGAUUUAGUCCACAUCCAAACACAAGUCAAGUCAAAACAAACCACAAACAGAACAAGCCAAAAGUUCAAAUUUAAGUUCAAAGUUUUUCAAGUCUCGCAACUCUCCCCCUUUUUGUCAGCAUAAAAAAGAUUGAUAUGAAAAUGAAGUCAAGGAUUCUUGGGAAUACGAACAAGCUGAAAAUCUCCCAUCGACUGAACGAUGCCUUCCAGCCUUUUAAAGUCUUCCUUCAGCUGAGCAACAUCCUCACCCUUAGCAUUAGCCUGAAUCUGAAGAGAAAGGGCUUGGAUUUGAUCAUUUAAUGAACCCGAAGAGACUUGUCCUGCAUUCUGCAAGUUCUGAACUUCACAUCCCAAUGCAUAUAUCUGACCUUGCAUCUCCAAGAGAAUAUCCAUCACUCUGCGAAAGUCUGCUGAAUUUUCGGUCUGCGUACUGGCAUUAACACGAUCUGAUGGAGUAAAUGCAGACGAUGGUAGAUCAGCAUAAUCACGCAGAUUUGGCGAAGAAACCUCAUGACCUUCCUCAGGAAACUGAGAGGCAAAAACCUCCUCUGGAUCUGCUGGGGAUCGACUGACUCCCUCACUGGUUGCAGGAUUUAAGGUCAUUCCUAGUUUCUCUUGGUCUCCCCCUGUGUCCAUGCCUUUAGGUGGAGAGUGCUCCUCAUGUUCUCCUUCUUCUUGAUCUCUUUUCUCUUAUUCUUCUUUUUCAACUCUCUCUUGCUUAGCAUCUCUUUCUUCUUCUUCUUCUUCUCUUUCCUCUGCCUCUUUUUCCUCUGCCUCUUUCUCUGCUCUUUCUUCUGUCUACUCUUUUGAUUCUUUCUCUAGAACAGAUUGAUUGAGAUUCUUCAAAGCAGAGAUAGUGAUGUUAUCCUCAUCAUCUUCAUCCUCAACGAGGAGAGCUAUUCUUCUCUUGGAUGGAGCAUCCAUGGGCUCCUUACCUUUCCUUUUUCUUGCAGAAGAGAAUUGAUGAGAUUUGACUAGAGUCUUCUCGUUAAAUUUCUCCAAUGCCUUGCUUAGUUCCUUCAGACGCAUCUUGGUCACCAUUUUCAGUCCUACCACCAUAUGAUCGCACGAUCGAGCACAAAGAAUUUGCGGAGGCUGAAUGUUUAGAUGUCUGAAUAACUUCGUUACAAAACCUGGAUAAGGAAGUUGUCCUAUGUCUUUCAUCACAGCUUUAUACAUAUGGAACAUAAUAGUGUGAGGAAGUGAAAACCUUUUCCCAGUGAUGAUGGCAUACAUUAGCUUUGCCUCUGAACUUGAGACAUCAGUCUUGGAAGUUGAUUUCGGUCUGAGGCAAUUAAUUACAAUUUUGUGCAGCAAGAUGUUAAAUGCACUGAUCCUUGAAUAUGAAAUAUUUCCCUCUGUUCUCCUGUCUUUAACAAAUUCCAGAGUAGUACGAGCAAUAGAAACUUUGAUCCGUUGAUACCUUCCUCUCUCAACUCCUAACACAUCUGCCAGCAUAUCCAUAUCCACAACAAAGUCUUGAUCUUUGACACUGAAGGAGAAUCUAUUCGAAUCCAAGAAACUAAGAUUUGAAUAGAAAUAUGCAGAUAGUUGAGGAUAGGCUUCUGUGGAGUCAGAGCAGAAUUUCUCAAGUUGAAGAUGACCAAACUUUUCCCUUAAGUUCACAUUUACUUACAGCAUCCAGAAAGUCAAAAUCCACACUCCUAGGGUUUAUCACCCCUCGAUUCAGCAAUUUUGAGUAUAGAUCCAUAUGUUCCUUCGAUCUAAACAACUCUCCCAUUUUUCCUUGAUUUUCCGCCGCAAUUCCCAUUCUUGGCCGAAAUUCGCUGUAUAAUUUGUCAUCAUCAUUUCCAUCCACCGGAUUAACUCCCCAAUCUCGAGGGUCACUUGGGAUAUUCGCAAGGGAUUCUUCUGCCACACCCUUACGAGCAAUUCCCAAACUUUCCAUUUUUCACAAAAAGAUAUAUUCAUUUCCAUAUCCUUUGUCCUUAAGAAAAUCAUCCACAUAGUUCAACGAAGUACCAGUCCCUUUUAAAGCACGAUACAGCUGAUAAAUAAAAGAGGGCCUUUGAACUCUUACAGGGUCUGCAUCUUCAAUGAUUUCUUCAUUUUGAUGAUGAUUAACAUCUUGAGGACUAGAUGGAGGAGAAUGACGCUGCUGAGAAUGUUGUGGGCUCUGCUGCUGAUUUGGAGACACUUCUUCUUCAGUGAGAUCGAAGUGCGUAGGCCCCUCACUCAUUCGUCAUGGUCCCCUGCUUCCGAUCCUCGAAGACUUUCUUGAAGACGACAUCUUUCUUAGUCUUUGAAAGAUUCCUUGCUUGACUUUCCCAAAAAAGAUGACAACUUUUUCGAAGAUUAAACAAGAGAAGAAAACAGGAAUGGAAGAUUGGUGCUUUUUAGGGUUUUGGAGUUAAGCGAGGAGAAACCGAUUAUAUAUAAGACAAUCGUAAGGAGGGGAUACCAACCAGCGUAAUGGUAAGUGAAAAUAUGCCUUUUUUAAAAAAUAAAUUUUUAAAAAAAUAACUGCCCUUUUUCGAAAAAUAGUCACAUCAAAAUAACUUCUUUUUCUAAAGGAAACGAUGCAAUAAUUUUGUCAAUUAAAGAUAGCGAUUGAGAUAACAAUAAUCAACACGGUUGAUCAACGUACCUUUUCAAAAUGAGAUUAGAGAGAGAAUAACUUAUAGACAAAGUCUUGCAGUCAAAGUCUUAUAGUCUGAUUCUGAGAGUCUCUAGACUUUAACUUCUUCAAACUUCAAAAUGUUGAGUCUUGAACGGAUAAUUUCAAAUUGAUUUUUCUUCAAAGGCUUUAUAAAUACAUCCGCCAGUUGGUUCUUUGAGUCAACAAACUGAAUCGAAAUUUCUCCAUUUUGAACAUGAUCUCUAAUGAAGUGAUGUCGAAUCUCUAUAUGCUUUGCUCUUGAGUGAAGAAUUGGAUUUUUGGUGAGAUUGAUUGCGCUGGUGUUGUCACAUUUAAUCUCCGUGCAUGAAUCUUCAAUUCUGAAGUCUCUUAGCUGUUGUUUUAUCCAUAGAAUUUGUGAACAGCAACUUCCAAGAGCUACAUAUUAUGCUUCUGCUGUAGAGAGAGCUACUAUACUUUGCUUUCUUGAAAACCAAGACACUGCCCUGCCUCCAAGUAGUUGACAGGUACCUGAGGUGCUCUUUCUAUCAACUCUGCAUCUGGCUAAGUCUGCGUCUGAGUAUCCAAGAAGAGUAAAGUCUCCCCUUUUAGGAUACUAGAGACCGAAGCUUGAAGUUGAUGCAAUGUAUUUGAUAAUAGUCUUUGCAGCAUUUAAAUGUGAUUCUUUAGGGUUUGCUUAAAAUCUGGCAAAAAUGCAAACACUAAACAAAAUAUCAGGUCUAGAAGCAGUAAGAUAAAAAAAACGAACCGAUGAUACUCCUGUAUAACUUUUAGUCAACUUUCUUUCCUCCUUCAUCUUUAUCUAUCUUCACGGAGCUUGACAUUGGUAUAUCAGCCUUUUUGCAAUUGUCCAGUCCAAACUUCUUCACAAUAUCAUUAGCAUAUUUCUCUUGAUAAAUAAAAGUUCAUUCCUUCAAUUGUUUUACUUGAAGUCCAAGAAAGAAGGUUAACUCACCCAUCAUGCUCAUUUCAAAUUCAUCUUGCAUAGUCUUAGAGAAUUUCUUGCACAGACUUUCAUUAGAGGAUCCAAAAAUAAUAUCAUCGACAUAUAUUUGAACAAGUAGAAAACUCUUGCUUUCUCUUUUAAUGAAAAGAGUAGUGUCUACUUUACCUUUAACAAAUCCAUUUUCGAUUAAAAACUUACUCAGUAUGUCGUACCAAGCUCGAGGAGCUUGUUUAAGCCGUAUAAAGCCUUUUUGAGUCUGAAUACUGAGUCUGGUUUCUUUGGGUCUUCAAACCCAGGUGGUUGUUCCACAUAGACUUCCUCUUGGAUGAAUCCAUUUAAGAAGGCACUUUUGACAUCCAUUUGGAAUAACCUGAAAUUCUUAUAACAAGCAAAAGCAAGUAAUAAUCGAAUUGCUUCUAACCUUGCUACUGGUGCAUAAGUCUCGUCAUAGUCUAUCCCUUCUUCUUGUGUAUAUCCCUUGGCUAUGAGUCUUGCCUUGUUUCUUAUGACUUUUCCUUUCUCGUUCAUCUUGUUCCUGAAAACCCAUUUAGCUCCAAUAACAGACUUACCUUUCGAUUUAGGAGUUAAUUCCCAGACAUCAUUAAUACUGAAUUGCCUGAGCUCUUCUUGCAUAGCUUCAAUCCAGCUUUCAUCAGAUAAAGCUUCUUCUAUACUUUUAGGUUCUAUUUCAGAAAUAAGAGCCACAGCACUAGACUCUUCGCGCCUUUUGGAUCUUGUGCGAAUUCCUUCAUUGAUGUCGCCAAUAAUAAGAUCUUUGGGAUGACUAGACUUAUGUUUCCAGUUGCUGGUUAAUUUGUCAGAUUGAUGGUCACUUUCUCCACUUGAAUCUUCAACAGUCACUUGUUGCUGGUCCUUCAAAGUCUGAGCUAUUUUAGACUUUGUAAAGUCUGGAGCAGGUUUAGAUUCUUCAAGAUGAGUCUGAAUGGAUUCAUUUUGCAUAGAAUCUUGGAAUUUAACAUUCAUUGAUUCUUCCACUGUUUGAGUCUUCUUGUUGUAGACUCUGUACGCUUUGCUUGUGGUUGAAUAUCCAAGGAAGAUGCCUUCAUCUGAUUUUUCUUCAAACUUUCCAACUCGAUUAUUUGCAUUUUUCAGUAUAAAACAUUUGCAUCCAAAUACAUGAAAAUAUGAAACAAUAGGCUUCUUUUCUUUGAAUAGUUCAUAGGGGUUUUUUUUUUCCAAAAUAGGCCUUAGAAAGACUCUAUUUAUAAUGUAACAUGCUGUAGAAACUGCUUCAGCCCAGAAACGUGAAGAGAUGUUACUUUCAAUUAAAAGAGUUCUAGCCAUUUCUUGAAGAGAUCUAUUCUUUCUUUCCACAACUCCAUUUUGCUCUGGAGUAUAUGGAGAGGAGAAUACAUGCUGAAAACCAGAUUCAUCAUAGAAUUUUGUAAAAUCAUGAUUUUCAAACUCACCUCCAUGAUAUGUGCUUAUACUUGAUAUAACAUACCCUUUUUCAUUUUGAACCUUUUUAGCAAACUUUUCAAAGUGAGAGAAGGUUUCAGACUUACUUGUCAAGAAAUAUACCCAAGUGAAUCGUGAGUAAUCAUCCACAAUUACCAGGCAGUAUUUCUUACCUCCAAUGCUUUGCGUUCUGGUUGGUCCAAAAAGAUCCAUAUGCAAAAGCUGCAGUACACGGUUAGUGGAAACUUGAUUUAUUGGUUUAAAGGAAUUUCUUACCUAUUUUCCCAAUAUAUAUGGUGUACAUAGAUCAGACUUUUGAUAUGAUAAAUUGGAUAGACCACGAACAAGCUUCUUUGCUGAGAUUUUGGCUAUUUGCUUCAUAUUGACGUGCCCGAGCUUUCUGUGCAUAAGUUUGCUUCAUCUUGGAUUGAGAUUAGACAUUGUGAUUCAUCUGGUUUCACGUCCAAGAGGUAGAUAUUUCCAUGUCUUUGACCCAUGAAUGACUGAGUAGAAUCUUUACUAAUUCCAGAACAUAUUCCCUCUUGAAAGUUGAUUUUGAAACCAGUAUCACAUAGCUGACUAAUACUGAGUAAAUUGUAUUUGAGCCAUUCCACUAAGGAAACAUUGCUGAUUUUGAGAUUUCCAAUUAUUACAGUUCCAAAUCCCACAAUUUUUCCUUUACUGUUUCCUCCCAAAGAAACUUUUCCACCAUUUACUCGAACAAGCUUUAUGAAGUAAUUUGAGUCUCCUGUCAUGUGUCUUGAGCAUCCACUAUCCAGAUACGAUUUUACCUUUUUCUUGGUAGUGACCUGCAUUUAAAAAAGAAACUCAAGCCUUCUUUGGUACCCAUAUUUUCUUGGGUCCAUUGGUGUUAGUAUGAUAUGCGGUUUUUACCCAUAUCUUUUUAACAGGUUUCCAAAUCAUAGGAUAUUCUUUUUCAAAAUGAUCUGCACUAUUGCACUUUGAGCAUCUGAGAGCAUUGUGACCUACUGGUUUUACAAAGAUUCUUUUUAAAAUGAUUUUUGUAAGCAUCUCUUGUGGGUCUUUGUUUGAUUCUUUCUUUCACCUUAGGAAAAUCAAUUAAAGGAAUAGUUUCAUCAGUCAUUCCCAAACCAGAUUUAUUAAAAUAAGGUCUUUGAACAGAAAGAAUUUUUUCUAGUUUCUCAGAUCCUAUAGAAAAUCUUUUGGAAAUAUUUGAGAUAUCUCUUUUCAAGAAUGCAUUUUCUUUUAACAAAUUAUCUUCACUUUCCUUAAGAGAAGAAACAUUAUUGUCUAAACUUUUCACUUUUUCUUUCAAAAUAUUUUCCUGUUGUUUUAGAGCAGAAUUUUCUUUCUUGAGUUCGGAAAUUCUUUUAAGAGAAGUCUUAAGACUGAAACACAAUUCAUCAAUAUACUUUGAAACCUUAAUAGGGAUUUUCAAGUUACUUACUUCAAAUUCGCUUUCUGAGUCUGAAUCUGUCUCGGAAUUUGAAUCUGAAUCCGAUUGUGCCAUCAGACAUAUAUUGGCAUAAUCAUCAUCACUUUCUUCACACUCUGUAUCACUCCAGGUUUUAGCUUUAAGAGAUUUUCGGUACUUUUCAGUUUUUCCUUUCUUCUUUCUCAAAAGAGGACAAUUGGAUCUGAUGUGUCCUUUUUUCUUACAUUCAAAGCAAACUAUAUCUUUGUUUGAUUCAUCAUCCUCAACAGACUUAGUCUGUUGCUUUUGAAAGCUUUGUUUCUUUGGAUUGAAUCUUCUUCAUUUUCUAUUCAGCUUUCUGAAUCUUCUUAUCAUGAGAGCAAGUUCCUCAUCAUCCAUAUCGUCUUCAGAAUCUGUAGCAUCAGAAUCAUUAUUAGAUUUUAACGCAAUGGAUUUCUUACCUUUAGGGUCUUCGUCUUCAUUGAUUCGUUCCACUUCAUAAAACUGAAGAGUCCCAACCAACUCAUCAACAGAUAGAUGCAUGAUUCUUUGGGUCUCUCUGAUUGAGGUCUUUAUGUGAUUUCAAUCCUUGGAGAGUCCACGCAGUAGCUUGUUUACUUUCAUGGGAUCAGAAAUUGGUUGACCUUGAUUUUCAAGACCGUUCACAAUAUCUGUAAAACGACUAAACAUAUCAGUUAUAGAUUCUCCUGGUUUCAUUUUGAAGGCUUCAUAUUGGCCGAGGAGAAUGUUGAUUCUAGUCUCUUUCACUCGAUCGGUUCCUUCAUAAGUAAUAUGUAAUCUAUCCCAAACUUCUUUAGCUGUAACACAAGAAGAUAUUAUGUUAUAUUCAGUAGGGGAUAAAGCACAAUAUAAGGAAUAAAUUGCUUUUGCAUCAAGAGCUUGUCUCUUGAUUUUCUCUUCCUGAGUCAUUUCGCUAGACUCAACAUCUUUUCCUCUUUCUGAGACAGAUGCAGCUUUAGGAAUGAUUCCUUUUUCUACAACGUCCCAUUCCAGAGGAUCCUUUGAUCUUAGGAAUGCUUUCAUCUUGUUCUUCCAUAUGUUGUAAUCCUUUCCAUCAAAGUAAGGUGGUCUGGUAUUGCUUUGCCCUUCUACCAGCCCUGGAGCCAACAUACUAGCCAUGGAUCUUUAACUCUGAAGUAAAAUACUUCAACAAAAGUGAGUACACAUGCUCUGAUACCAAUUGAGAUGGCUAGUAUAAUCACCUAGAGGGGGUGAAUAGGUGCACAAACAAAUUUUCGAGAUACGGAAGCGAUUUUAGGCAAUCGAUAGAAAGGAAAAUACGAUCAAAGUAAAGUAAAUGUUAGGUAAGAGAGAAAUGAACACAAGAUUUAUAGUGGUUCGGCUUAUUCAAAGUCUACAUCCACUCUUCCGCACUGACAGCCCACCGACUGGAUUUCACUAUGAACAAGAGAGAAGUUACAGCACAGCUUUUCCUUGAUUCCACAGUGUAGAUGUUCUACCACACUUCCUCAAGGUUUCUCACGAAUAUAGACUCUCUUUUGUUUACACGAUUAUGCUCAACAAAUGAAUUGACUAGAAACAAGGAGCUUCAGACUUUGGAAUUCUUCUAUCGUGCAUACUUUCGAACAACUAGAACGUCUUCCUUAUAUACUCCUUCAUGCCAUCAUACCCGUUGGCACUUACCAAAGGAAUUCCUCCAAUCUACCCGUUGGACGGAAUCAAUUAGGAAGAUCAUUCGAGCUAUUAAAGGAACAUGUCACUAGCCCAUCAAUCAUGUUCGCCCAUACAAUCAGGAUCUCGGUUUCCAUAAGUAGAACCUUCCAAGUAUACUUCGCCAAUCAUCGGAUCCUUAAUAUUCAAAUCAAUUGUGAUCAAAUAAAGAAUUAUGUUAUGUCAUAUCCAGCCAAGAGAUCUUCUCCAGUCGAUAAGGCCACAUCCUUAAUGAAACAUCCAGUUCUGGAUAGCCUUUCUUCAACGGAUUAGAGACUGUCAAUGAGAAUAGACUUUGAGUCUUGAGUCUGGCUGUCCGGAGGUCUUCAGACUUUAAAUAGCAGAGUCUGCAAUCCUUCAGACUAGACUAAUGGAAACGUUUUGUCAACUUCAAAAUAUUUCAAGAGGAAUUUCUCCAACACUAGUUUCGGGAAACAAAACACAUUCAGAGAACGUGAAGCAUCCCGGAAUGUCUUCUUCUCCCUUGUUGUUUGCAUAGAAUAAUUUGAAGAAUCAUAAUUUAUAGCUUAAUUACGAAAAUUCCUCCAAUUAGAUAAAUUAAAAUUGCUGCUACCAAAUAUAAUUAAUCAGUCUUGUCGAGCUCUCUCGUAGCGUGCAUGGAGCGAAAGCCCCCUUUGUUUCCACUCUCUUUUCUCGGUUUCUCCGAACUCUGCUUUCCUUCAUUUUUUUUCUUCUUUUUUUUCGUUCUUCUUGGCCAAGCUUUGUUUUAUUUCUUUCUGCUCUUGUAAUUUGUCUUGCAAUGAAGCAAGACUAAAGAAAGGGCUAAAACGAGACACCCAGCCUUGGGCUUAAUGUUUUGCUCUUAUUUAUUAUUUUUUGCAAGCCCGUUCCUUGCAAAUUUAUUCAUGAAGAUAAAUCUUUUAGGUAAUGUACCGAUGGAUCCUAUGUGGAGAGAGGAUAGGUCACUCGAAAUUAAAGUUGGGCACAUAACUUUUUUUAAUAGAAAAAAUAUCAGAAAAAUUAUAAAUCUAUUGUAUUAGUGUCAAUUUGACCUAGUAUCAAUUUAAUCAUCUCAACUAAUUUUGAUCAGAAAUUACUGACAUAGAUAUUGGUUAUCUUGCAUGACAUGCCUGCCCUAACAUGGAUAAUUUUUUAAUAAUAAUUCAAUAUUUUUUAUUUUUUAUUUAUUGUUAUUAUUAUUAUUUUCUUUUUUUUUCUUCAUUCUUCUUGGCCUCACUUGGGCAGGAGUUGGCGUCGCCGACCACAGGUGAGGCCUAGCCAAACGAGAGUGAUCCCAAUCAAGCUUGCCACUUUGUAUCAUUCUUGGAAAAGGUUGAGCCCUCACUUAUGCCUAAAUGAGGCCUUACGAGAGUCAGCCUCACCCAAGGCAGACUUGGUGAGGCCAGCUUGCUCAGUCAUUGCCUAUAACCAACAAAAGGAAGAAGAAAGAAAAAAAGAAAAGAAAAAACAAUAUAUAUAUAUAUAUAUAUAUAUAUAUAUUAGUAUUAAAAAUUUUCCACGGCCCCAAAUCACUUUUUGGUGUCCAGGAGGGGAAUUAGGGGUGAUUGGGUCUAAGAUAGGCAGGAUCUAAACCUGGACCCUGUACCCGAUCCUGUUAAACGGAUUCCUCUUUUCUGGACCCUAUACCUGACCCUGUUUGUAUUGAACCGUAUACCUGACCCACCCUGUUUUUCCGAUCCGGUUGCAAGAUCAACCUUGUUUUCACUAGAACCUGUUUUGCAAUCUUCCGAUAUCUUAUACGACUUCGAAUUUUAUAUUAAUACGUGAGAAAAUAACGUAAUCCUCAUAAUUUGUAUUGAAAUAUUAAGCACUUGUAAUAAAUAAAUACAUAAACUUUUUGACUAAACGAAAAAUUAAGGAUUCACGAGGCUAAUUAUAAUAAAUAAGAUCAUAAGGCAAAGAAUUAGCAACAAACAUGGAUUUAAUAUUAUUCUUAUUCCCACAACUAUUACAUGAAGUUACUUAUUUAUGCAAGCAUAACUCCUCAUACAAAAGAAAAAUUAGGCGGGCCAAUCUAUGUGAUACACAAGAACUUGGCGGUGAUGAACACCGUCCGUCCAUCGGACGGUGUGAGAGGGAGCCAGGGAGGGAGGGAAGCAAGUGAGGAAGAGGAAUGUCCUCCCUUGCAUGUUUAAGAGAGCCAAGAGGAAAAACGUCGUGUGAUUGCAGGGUAAGAAUAAAAAUCGAGGGAGAAAAAAGGGUUUUGGACCUUUACUUACAAAACUGAUUAGGGAAUUGGUUCCAAAACCGGUCCAGGAACCAGUUUCUGGGUGGGUAAUCACUCGGAACCUGUUCUCGGACCAGUUUAAACCGAUUCCAAAUUUUGGGAAUUGGUUCCCAGACCUGUUUCAACGGGAACUGUUUCAACGUGAACCGGUUCUCGACCCUAUUUUCUGGGUGGGCUAGUUCAGGAACCGGGUAUACCUAGUUCGGUUGCACACCCCUAAAGGGAAUCAUGGUCUGUAGACAUCCAAUUUGACUUUUGGUGCCUUGUAUCAAAUUUUGGAGUUCGGUAUUUUGGCAAAACACUCCAUCAAAAGUGAAUUUGGAUGUCUGUGAUGUCUGUGGACCACUGCCAAAAUCAAAUUUUGGAGUCUAGUGUUAUAUCAAAUUUUGGAGUCCGGUGUUUGGGCAAAACACUACCGCACCAAAAGUGAAUUUGGAUGUCUGCAGACCAUUGCCAAAUCGCCGCAUCAAAAGUAAAUUUGGAUGUAUGUGGACCAUGAUUCCCUUCGGUAUAAAUAGAAGUAUAAAUGAUGCUCCUAUCAUCGCCCCUCACAACUCCAUGGAUCUUACCUCCGUUGUCUCUAUCCUAGUCAACUUCAUCCAAGUGAAACUUCCCCGCCUUCACCCUUUGAAACUCACCUCGUCGCCACCGCAUCACCAUUUGCAGCCUGCUCCUGCUUUUCUUUUUCGGGCGUGUCGCUAAUCCGGCACCAUUGUCAAGCGGCCCUCCUCCUUCUAGUGAUGGAGUAGCACGCCUCUUCUUCCACUUCACCAGUUUGAUAUCGGUGUUUUUGCUCAUGUGAUUACUGCUCCACGACUCCUUCCACUCCGUCCUUUGGUUCAUGCUAUUCCUGUUGCUUUACGUGAGUCUAUUGCGGGCCUCAUUCAGAAACUCUGGCUGUGGUUUUACAACAAACUUCUUCUCAUGAUUAUUCGUGCGGCACGCUCCCACGUAUGGCAUGGUGGAAGAGCACAGUCACAUUUGCCGUUAUCUAACAUAAAAACUAAUCAAACCUAGGAUUUAUAAUUUUUCAUUUUUUAAUUAAAAAUUAAAUAUAAUAUAUAUUAUCAGUCUGGUCAAGGUGGGCAAUUCCACACCUAAAACGAGAAACAAACUGAUUUCAUUGGUUUUUAGGCGAUCUAGAUGAUUCUCGAUUCAUUUGCACAACCUUGCUCCUCGUCGUCGUUGUGCUUUCACAUGGUCUCCACCCAUUUCUCUCUCCUCUUUAAGAGUUUCCACAAAUAUUCCUCCUCAAUACCUUGUUUUUUUCUGUUUUCUCGAAAAGAUGACAUUUAUGAUUCAAUUUGAAUGAAAUAACAAUUUUAAUGCACGCACAUUUUUCACCUAUGGUGUAUCAUCUUCAUUCCAUUAAUUUGUAUGUUCCUUUUGCUUAAAUUUUGAAUUUAUUAGACCAAUCAAGGUCCUACCUUGUUUGGCCUUUUUCCAAGGAAAAAAGGAAAAAAAAUGAAGAAGAAGAAGAUGACAACAAAGUUCUCUCUUUUUAUAAUAUUUAUUCUCUCCUGCUAGGGUGUGCGCAUGUAUGGAUGCAUAAACCUCUCUUCAAAAACUUCUGAGUCUCCCUUAUUGACUAUCCCAAUGUAGUUUCUUUGUGAACUAGACUUAGUCACCAGAUUUUCACUCAUGCCCUUCCCGGUUCCUUCCCCCUUUUACUCACCCCUCAUCCCUUGCUGUGCUUUCGCGUGGCCUUCCCCCAUUUCUCUCUCUUCUUCAAAAGUUUCCACAAAUAUUCCUCCCCUAUACCUUGUUUUUUUUUUUUUUCCUAUUUUCUCAUAAAGAUGAUAUUUAUUAUUGAAUUUGGAUUAAAUAAACAUUAUGAUGCAUGCGUAUUUUUCAUCUGUGAUAUAUCAUCUUCAUUCCACUAAUUUGUACGUUUCUUUUGCUAUAAUUUUGAAUUUAUUAUACUAAUCAAGGCCUAACCUAAUUUGAACUGGUUCAAGUCCUUUUUUCUAGGCAAAAGAAGAAGAAUUCUCUCUUUCGAUCAUAUUUAUUCUCUUCUACAAGGCUUUGCGUAUGUAUGGACACAUAAACCACUCUUCAAAAACUUCCUCAGUCCCCAUUAUUGACUACACCUCUGAUAGUGCUAGUAUUAACAAAAUAAAGGAGUUAAGGAAGAGAAUAAGAACACAAGAUUUAUAGUGGUUCGGCUUAAUCCAAGCCUACGUCCACUCUCCCACGAUAACAGCCUUCUUGGCUGGAUUCCACUAUGUAAUCAACAAGAGAUUACAACUUCGAGUGCAAACACUUAGUAGUAGAUCACACCAACUCACUAAGUCACUCUCUUGGUAUUUCUCUCACGAUUACAAACGUUUAAGCUCUCCAAAGACAAGUGUAUGAUCGAAGGUCGCUCAGACUUUGGAAUUAUAAAUUCUACGCUCCGUCUCUCUUACUUGCUCAUCGGUCCAUGAUCUCCUUAAAUACUCCUCCACUUCCAAACUACCGUUGGAUAGUAUCCCGGAGAAUCGUCUUCCAAUAUACCCAUUGGACAGCUCUGUAUUUAGAAGAUUUAGUAGCCGUUGAGUGACAAAGGUAAAAUCCCAAAUUGAUUCCGAUCGCCCAUACAAACGAAAUCUUGGUUUCCAUAAGUAAAGCUUCUUCGUAUAUAAAGUUCUUGUCUUCAAUCAAAUCAAUCUUGAUGUGGAAUCCAAACCAGAUCACUAGCCGUUGUAUGAUUGGGCUUGAGUUACGAUUCAUCGUAAUCUGGAUGUAAAGUCUGAGUCUUUAGACUUUACGAUAUAAGUCUUGAGACUUUACAAUCUGGGUCUGUAGACUUUACAAUCUGAGUCUGUAGACUUUACAAUCUGAGUCUUGAGUCUGGCAGUCUUCAGACUUUGAGUCUCGAGUCUGGCAGUCUUCAAACUUUGAGUCUCGAGUCUGGCAGUCUUCAGACUUUGACACAGAAGUCUGGAAAUCUUCCAAAUAUACUUUGGACAUGUGUUACAUUCAGUCUUCUGGUCGUCUUCUGACUUUGAUAAUAUCAUCUACAUGUUCUAUCAUCUGCAUGGUCUAUUACUCAACCAUCAAACAUGUUAGUAGCCUUUGAUUUAUUUUGUCAUCUUCAAAACAUCAUAAGGGAUUUCCCUAACAACCUCUCUCUCUCUCUCUCUCUUCAAUCUCAUUUAUUGAAUUAGACAAAGCCAAAUAAUCUCGAGAGAGAGAGAGAGAGAGUUUCCCCAGGGUCUUAGGGGAGGCUUCGAUGCGACCGCAACAAUGGUUGGACCAUGUGGCAUCAAAUGAUGAUCCUAUGUCCAGGUGCGCGCGUAUGAAAUCUUAAUUAAAGUUGCGAAUUUUUUUAAAAGAAAAUCAAGGCCGAAUGAGAUUAAAAUUAAAGUUGGGCAUCUUUUCUGGAAAUUAGCCCAUAAAAAAGUAAUGCUUCCAUCAACAAUCCAAGGCAUCUUAAACUUAUUUUUGCAAUAUUUCAUCGAAAAGAUAUCCAGCUGCUUCAAAAGUAUUUUAGGAGAAUUUAAUAUAUGCAACAAUCAUAGAUAUAGAUGAGUUCGUGCUUAAAACAUGGCAACAAACAAAUGUUCAUGUCGCAAUAUAUAUAUAUAUAUAUAUAUAUAUAUAUAUAUAUAUAUUGUAAACUAUGCUAGGGGCGAGGAUAGGUCAUGGGGGGGAAAUGUUUGGCCAGAUCAAGGCCUCUUUAAUGGGAAAAAAUGUCGAAAAAGUUUUAAAUCUAUUGCAUUUGUGUCAAUUUAAUCUCAAACCUUUAAAUCAUAACAAUUUGAUCAUAAUUUUUUGCUAAUUCAAUUCUUCAGACUAAUUUUAACUAAAAGUUACUAAUAUAGAUGCUGGUUAUUCAAUGUGAUUCAACCAAACAGGUUACCCUCACGUGGGUGAGGAUCAUUGGCCUAACUAGGUGAGAGCGAUUCUCAAUGAGGCAGCCUUGGCCUGGUCGAGGGGAGCCCUCGCCCUCGCCUAGGCUAAGAUUUGGUGAGACCAGCCUGCUCAGCCAUUGCCUAUGAAUGGCAAAAGGAAGAAGAAAGAAAAAAAAAUUGUAAAAAAUUGUAAAAAUAUUAAAUUUUUAUUAUAAAUUUUUUUACAACCACCCACGUAAGCAAUAUUCAGUCCAAAUUAAUCGAAAUUACUAAAUUGACACAAUUAUAAGAUUUAGGAUUAAAUUUAGAUAAAUGCAAUAGGCUGAUGAUUUUCUUUGGUAUUUUUCUCCCUUAUGAAUAUAACCAAAUAAAAAAUAAAUCCGACAGUUCAAGGCCUUCGUUCACUCCAUGGCGUCGUGAGGGGUGAGGGUAGGGACAUCAUUUGAUAUUUGCUUUUUCAUGGAAAGUGGCACAGGACAUAAUUUUUGUUUUUUUUUGGGUCUGGGCAUAGGACAUUGUUUUUAUUUUGGGUGCUGCGGGGCGUCGUGAGGGAUGAAAAGACGGGACGUCAUUUUAUACUAUUUCUUUUGGGUGAAUUUGAACGCUCUAUAUUUGGGAUGUUGCAAAACAUUUUUUUAGGUCCAAACCAUUGAUGAUAUGCACCCAAAUGGGAUGGAAAAACGGGGACGUCAUUUCAUACUCUUUCUUUUGGAUGAAUUUGAACACUAUAUUUUGGAUGUUGCAAAACAUUUUAUACUCCUUCUAGGUUUAGGGCACUUUAUAUUUUGGAUGUUGUGAAACAUUUCAUACUCUUUCUUUUAGGUUUAGUGUACUUUAUAUUUUAUAAAAUGUUUCGCAACAUGUUUCGCAAUAUAUUUGGCUGUUGCGGAACAUUUUAUACUCUUUUUUUUAGAUUUAAUGUACCUUAUAUUUUAUAAAAUGUUCCAGAUUCCUACAGGAUUAGAUUUAAUGUACCUUAUAUUUUAUUCCGGAUUCCUACAGGAUAUCCGGAAAAUCUGAUAAAAUACAAGGUACAUUAAAUCUAAAAGAAAGAGUAUAAAAUGUUCCACAACAUCCAAAAUAUAGGUUCUAUAAAAUGUCGUCCCCGUCUUUUCAUCCCCUCACGACGCCAUGGAUCUUACCUCCAUCGUCUCUAUCCUGGUCAACAUCGUCCAAGUGGCUUACCAGGGGAAGUCGAUUUCACCCUUGGAAACCCACCCCCUCGCCACCCGCGUCGCCAUCUGCGGCCUCCUCCUGCAUUUCUCUUUGGGGUAUGUCGCUAAUCAGGCACCACCGCCUCGGAUGGAGCAGCGCGCCUCCUCUUCCACUUCACCGGUUUGGCAUCCGUGUUUUUGCUCGCAUGGUUGCUGCUCCACGACUCCUUCCACUCCACCCUCUGGUUCGUGCUGUUCGUGUUGCUUUCCGUGAAUCUGUUGCGCGGCCCCAUUCAAAAACUUUGUCUGUGGUUUUUCCGCAAACGCUUUCUCAUGAUUAUCCGUGAGGGGGGCUCCCGUGUAUGGCACGGUGGAAGAGCGCAGCCACAUUUGCCACGCCCGGUUGUGGAUAUGCGUUUCAUGCUGGAAGUCUGAGUGCCGUAGUUGUUCGACUGACUGCUCUCUCCUUGGAAGAAGUAAUUUUAAUUGUGUGAUCUCUUUAAAUCAAAUUAUUAGUACUUUAGGAAGCUAAGCAAGAUUAGUGUAAGAGGCACUUGGGGCUUUCUUCUCUUUAUCUGAAGCCAUAGCCAUGAGGAAUCCCCAAGCCUUUGGCGUCAAAUUAUCUCCCGAUCAUAAUAAAGGAGAGCAGGGAACAAGUAAAAACCACCUAUAUAUCUUUCCUGUUCCUAGCCAUGAAUGGUGAUGCACCUUGCAGUGACUAGAAAUUGGGAUCUGUCGAAGAGAUUGAAGAUGACCUCAACAAUUGUUACCACGAGUAGAAUGGUCGUUUCUAGCAGCCAUAUAGGGGUAGUAAUUGUUCUUGAGGUUAAAGCUCCUGACCUCUUUGAAAACAUAGUUGAGCGUUGCAGAUUUCCUUCUUUUUUCUCGUAAAUUUCUCUGUAGCUUUCUGUUUGGCCAGUGGGUGGAUAUGUGUCGUUUUUACGUUCUUUGCUGGUGUACUAUGUUCUUGUUCAUUUAUCAAUGGGAUAAAUUGAUGCCUUGGUGACGCGAGCACAGCUACAAUUUUAAAAGCUUCGAUCUAACACUAACAUCAUUGAGUGAUCCAAAUCAAAAUGAAACAUGUCAGCUUUUUCCAUCUCUCGCAUAUACACCAUUACUGCUUACUAGCUAUUCCGAUGAUAAUAUAGGUGGUCUGUCAUUGCAGAAUGUGGGAGUCAUUACAUCAUGUAGUCUUCAUUUUACCUCUGCGAGGCGACAGCUAGAUCUUUGCUGUGGCAAAUGCAUUAACUUGCAAUCAAAGACUAUGUUGUCUCCCUGGCUGAUUAAAAUUCAAGCUGCCGAGGCCAAGGUAAGAAAAGAACGCUGAAAUGUUGAUUUUUUUUUCUGUAGGCUUUAGUUCAAGAUUACUGAAUUUUGGCAGACUGUAGAUGUUAGAACCGAACUUUUCCCAUCGUCAUUUGCUGUAGAAUUUACAGUUCAUGUAUGCAAAGCUAGAUAGAUAGUAUGCAGAUGCUCGAGACAAUUCUGUACAAACUACACUCAUCUGAUGUUCAUAUUUGUGGAAAUAAUUAGACCAGCUAGCUUCCUGACAAUUUGAUUCAUCAUCAAAUUAGGCAUCCCAAUGUUAAUACUUUGAUAAAUGACAGAGCACAAAAGCCUUGCACUUCAAAAAUAUGAUAUUUGUCUGUUUUUACUGCAGAGAACAACAAUCUUGGAUGUCGACUGUAGCAGUGAGUCCAAUUGACUUGCAUAAAAACUUAAGUUGAAACAUCAAACAGAAGGGUGUUCUCCUGACUCCCAAAUUCUUUUUGUCUUGAUAAGGGCAUCCCCAACUCUGCAACUAAAUGCACUUCGCUUGUAGCUUUCGGAGACCAGCAUUACACGUCUUUUCUUGAGUACCUCCAAUUAUGCGCCCACUUUUUCCCGCAGAAUUUCAACUUUUUCAUCUAGUUCAGGCUGUUCAGCAAUAGCAGGGUCUUCAGUUAUUUGCACUAUUCUAGCAACUUGGAUUAAACACUGUUUGGUAUUAGCGCAUUUUCUGCUGAUUAUCACUUAUUGUGUAGAUGAGUCUAUAUAUAUGAUGUUAAAAAGGAGCAUGGCUAUUCACCACAUCACAUGGCAGCAUCUUGUAUCCAGUUUUGGCUAAAGGCUGUUUAGCAAGAGAGCACUACUGGGAUACAAGCGCCCCAUGGUAAACACAUUUGAUAAUGAGUAAUCCAAGGGCCAAGGGCAUUCAUCAUCCAUAAGCACCCAGGAUUUGUGUUCCUUUAUGAUAUUAUGAAGGGCACAAUAGUAUGCUCACUGGUUAUUAUCUUUCGAUGAACCAAGCAUAAAAGUGUGAGUUGAUGGAAUUUAAUGGAAAUUUUUUACUGUAGUGGAAGGCAAUCAGUGAUGAUUAAGAUUGCAUUGCACACAACUGCAAAAGCCGAAGCUGCACAAUUUACCACAGACACUUCAUAGUAGCAUGGUUAGGUAGAUUUAAAAUGAGAAAGUGUAUAUGCUUGCGGAGGUGAUGUUUCGAAGUGGGCCCCUUAAAAGUGCAUGGAGUGUUGAAGUCGUCACUUCCGUGCAGUGAAAGACAGAGCAUCCAUGCUCUUUGUGACAUAUGUCAACAGUGCUCCUCAUACGAGAAGAGAAAGGAUGUGCGGGGUGAGCAGGUCGUUGCAUCUGAGGGCAAUUCAGCACAUAAUUUAUGGAGCAGAGAGGAGCAUCUCUGUGCUGCAUGGCAAUACGCUAAACAUUUGACACAUUCAACACAAGCCUUGCACGCACCAUCCUUCAUAUGCCAGUUCCAGUGGCAGAGAAUGAUAGUGUAGCGGAGAAAGGAGAGGCAAUCAAGACAACUGUGGACCUCACCUAUAUGUUCCAUUCACAAGCUUCACACCCAAUUUUGCAGUCAAGCUGUGUGUGGAAGACCAGUGGAUGCUGAUGGUCGAAAUGGUAAAAAACCGAGUCCUUUGUGCCUCCAGAAGGACAACUAGCUAUUCUGAUGAUAAUAUUGUUUGUGUUUGUUGUUACAGAAUGAUAGAUUGGUUACAUCAUAUAGUCAGCACUUUACCUUUGAGAGGUGAGAACCAGAUCUUUGUUCCGGCAAAUGCAUCAACUUGCUUCAGCAAAUAAGAUUUAUAAAGACAGCGACUUUCUUUUCUGAUGUAUCCUGUUCGUAUCCAGAAGCUCUUGGAUCUGAAUAAUGCAAUCUAAGACUAUGUUGUCUCACUGGUUGAUUGGUUUUCGUCCAGGAGCUAGAAUUGUUGCUUCAGUCAGAAAUUCAAGUUGCCAGGGCCAAUGUGAGAAAAGAAUGCUGAAAUAUAGAUUUCUUUUUUGGGAGGCUUUAGUCCAAUAUAACCGAAUUUUGGUAUACUGCAGAUGUUAGAAUGGAACAAUUCCCAUCUUCAUGUGCUGGAAAAGAAUUUACAGUUCAUGAAUGCAAAGCCAUAUCGAUAGUAUGCAAAAGCUUGAGUCUAGUCUGUACAAACUACACCUGUCUGAUAUUCAUUUUUCGAGGAAAUAAUAAGACCGGCAAGCUUCCUGACGAGUUGAUUCAUAAUCAACUUAUUCAUCCCAAUUUUAGUGCAUUAAUUCAUAACAUGAAGCAAACAAGUCUCACACUCAAAAAUAUGAUAUUUUUCUGCUUUUGAUGCAGAGAAUAACAAUAUCGGAUGUCAAGUGUUAGCAGUGAUUCUGGACUUGCUUGAGAACGUAAAUUGAACCAUCAAACAGGAAGGUUGUCCCCUGCCUUCCCAAUUCCUUUCUUCUGGAUAAGUGCCUCCCCAAUUCUGCAACUACAUGCACUUUGCUUGCAUCUUUUUGAGACCUGCAUUGCCUCUUUGCUUUUCCUGCGGAAUUGCAAUUUUUUCAUCUAGUUCAGCAAUAGUAAGGUCUUCAGGUACUUCCAUUACUUUAAAAAACAUUUGGUAUUACCAUAAUUUCUGUUGAUUAUAACUUAUUGUGGAGAAUGAGUCUAUAGAUGAUGUUAAAGAAAGAAAAAAGAACAGGGCUAUUCACCACAUCACAAGGCAGCAUCUUGUAUCUCUUUGUUGGCUAGUUGUCAGUUUAGUGAGAAAGCACUUCUGUGAUGAAAGCAUACCGUAGGUAAAACACAUUCGAUAAAGUAAUCAAUGCACGGGCAUUCAUCGCAGCUGGAAGCACCUUGAUUCAGGUCUUUUUUCUCUCAAAGGUCACAAUAGUACUCACCGGCAUGAUCUUCGAUGGACGAAGUGUAAAGUGUGAGUUGAUGGAGGUGAUGGUGAUCUUUUAUCGUUGGUGGAAUUGUGGAAGAUAGUACUCACUGGCAUGAUCUUUGAUGGACGAAGUGUAAAGUGUGAGUUGAUGGAGGUGAUGGUGAUCUUUUAUUGUUGGUGGUAGUUAUGGAAGGCAAUCGUGAUUGACAUUAAGACUGCACUUCACAAGAACGUGAAAGUUGAAAGUGCAAAAUUUACCAGACAAUGCAUAGGGAAGCGUGGAUCAGUAGAUCUAAUAUAAGAAAGAGCAUACGCUCUUGGAGGUGAUGUUUCAAAGUGGGCCUAUUAAAAGUGCAAGGAAUGUUGAAGUCAAAGUUGCAUUUUACGCAGAGAAAGACAGCGUCAAUGCUCUUCACAACAUGCGUUAGUGAGCGUUCCUUCCUGAUAUGGGAAGAAGUGGCUGUGCCAGGGUGAACGGGGUGUUGCAUAACUGAGGGCAAUUCAGCACAUGAUUUAUGGAGUAGAUGAGAGCAGCACUGCUCCAUCGGCAGUGGAUGAUCGUGAAUUGGAGAAAGAAGAGGCAAUCCAGGCAACCAUAGACGUGACCUAGUAUGCUUUGCACUCGAUUCUGGUUUCAAGCUUCACGUGGAGGGACACCAGUAGAUGCCGAUGGGCGAAAUGGCAAAAAAACUGGGCCUUUCUUGCCAUCCAGGUCUUGUGAACCUAGACUUAUAGCCGCACAGUCCAUGUCAAGGCUGAACUUGCAUUCGCUGCACCGGAAACUAUAUGGCAGGCAUUACAUUGGAGGUCUACCAAUUGACCGAAAGCAAGAGAGAUGGUGAUCAUGGAGAGACGGGCAUUGCAUCUCUGGGGGGAGAUUUGGCGCAGCUCUCAUGGAGAGAGAAUACACACGUGUACCAUCAAUAGACCUCCUCGCAGGCUUCACAUUUGAUUCUACUUUUUUUGUCUCCGAGAUGAUGGGAUGUGAGCAGAUGCUAAUGAGCAAAACGUUGGAUGGUCGCAUUCUCAGAUUCCUCAUCAGGCUUAGAAUUGUGAGUAGGUAGACGAAGCAAUAUCGGGCUGUGCAGCAACGCUUAACCAUCCGAACGGCAAGAAGGAAGCCUGCUCACACGCAUGGCAACUCCGACAAUCCUCCGCAUCAUUGCCUAGCAGUCAAGUCGGGGCAGCGGGUGAAACGGGGGUCCUAGGGCGGACAGCAUGCCAAAUUCAGUGCAACUGGUGAAAGAAAAAUUGACACGAUUCACGGCAGUGGGCUGAGCCGCGGAGCGAAGACCAGCACGCGAGACAUUCCAAGCAACUACAACUUCCGCGUAGGUUCCGGAGACUCAAUGCAUGAUUGCCAAGGCAAAAUUAGGAGAUAAAAAAAACAUUUUGAAUGGAGUUAUGUCAACACGAAGCAAAUGAGGUGACAUGAAUUGUACCCCACUCCCAUAUUAUUUGAUGUUGUAUUUCAGUGUUCAUCCGUCCAUUUUUAUUUUAGUUUAUUUAUGCUUCAACGCAAUAGUUAAUAAAACUAAAGUGGCCCAUGAAAAGUUUUAUAUCUUGUUCAUUUAAAGUCAGCUGCAAUUAUAUGAGGUCUUAAAAGUGCAUUCACCCUGGGCUAGUCUAUACAUUCAUCAGAGUUCUUAUCCAACUUUUUUCUAAAAGUAACUUUUGCGUAAGACAAUUUUGUGAUAACAGUUUUGUGGUAAUCGUUUAAAAAGCCAAAUUCACAAUUUUUUUUAAAAAUUUUACGAGUUAUUUUUUUAAUUUAUUAUUCGAUUGCAUUUACAUGUAAAAGUAAUGUUUACAUUUGCCAUUAAAUACAAUUCGUACAAAUAGUAUGAGGCGAAUCUACUUUUUUUUAGUUAUCAAUGUCUAUAAAUGCACAUGUUCUGCAGCACCCUUGAUUUGUAAGCUAUGUCCAUAUGGCUCAUUGAAGCAGUAAUUGUAAUUAAACUUGUAAUUUUCUUUUAAAUCUUUGAAUAGAACUCGAUUUUAUUUUCAAAAACUAAAUAAUUAUCUGUAUUGGUUAUUUAAAAAAAAAAUACAGAUUGAAGUUGUUACAGACCCAAUUCACAUAUACAACCUACAACUUCAACUAAUUAAAUUGAAUUUAGAUCCACGGAUAAAAAGUUGGCAUUUGUAUAAACUAUGAAGACUAAGACUGAGGAGAAUAUUUCUAGAAAGAGCAAAACAAAAUAGAGAGGUGCUCUUCCGAGUAAUUACAAGUAAACCUAUCCAAAUGAUAAAAUGAACUACAUUGGGAUGAAAUAAAGAUUAUGAUGCAUGUACAUUUUUCAUCUAUGGUGAUCAUCUGCUUCUUUUGCUAAAAAUUUGAAUUUAUUAUACUAAUCAAAGUAACGAUUGGUCCGACCUUGAUUUUAAACCGGUUCACAUCCUUUUUCUAAGGCAAUAAAGAAAAAAAAAAAGACAAGAUGCUCUCUUUUGUCAUAUUUAUUCUCUCCUGCUAAGGUGUUCACGUGUACAUAUAGACCUCUUUUCAAUCUCCUUUAUUGACUCUUACCACUUUUCAAUCUCCUUUAUUGACUCUCUCUCUCUCUCUCUCUCUCUCAUAGAGAGUUACCAAAGGGUCUUAGGGGAACCUUUGGUGUUCACCUUGCAAAGGUUGGACUAUGCUGCGUUACAUGAUAAUCGUAUGGCCACUCAUGGGUGGAAAUGGGGCCUUCAUGAAACUUGGGAACUUUUUAACAACAAAAAACCAAUUUGAGUAGAAGCGCGAUUAAAAUUAAAAUUUGAGAUUUUUUUAGGAAAUUAGCAAAAUUCAUACUUCCAUCAACAAUCCAAGGUGUCUUAAACCGAAGAAAAUGCAAUCUUUUGUAAGUUAAAAACCUAUUUUUGCAAUAUUUCACCAAGAAAAAAUCCACGCUGCUUCAAAAGUAUUUUAGUAGGAUUUCGUAUAUCCAACAAUUAUAGAAAUAGGUGAGUUCGUGCAUAAAACAUGGCGACAUGAGGAUGCUCAUGUUGCGAUAUAUUAUUUGCACAAUAAAUGUGUAAUCAUAGAAAGGGAGGGGCGGCUAUUAUUGCAAUAUGAAAUUAGUAAGAUUAUAAUGAUACUCCUUACCAAAAACAAAGAAGAAGAAGAUUAUAAUGAUAUUGAGAAACAAUAAUGAUAUAUUAAUGUAUGUUUUCAUUUUAUUGACUUUGUGAAUAAGAUUUCAUUUAUCUAUUGUCACACCCCAACUCUAUAAAAUAAGGAAAACAACACCACCAUGGUCUUGCCCAAAGGAUGCAACUUCAUAUUAUCAAAUAUAUAUAUAUAUAUAUAUAUAUAUAUAUAUAUUCAUCUAUAUACUUGAUAAAUAGUGAGUUGGUUACAAAAUCAAGGGUUCUGAAUUUUUUUUUUUUAAAAUGUGUGAGUGUAUCUCCAAACUCAAUUAAACCCCACAAAUAUCAUCCUAGACAUAUAUGAGUAUCUAAACUCACAUCCAAAUCCAAAUGCAAAAAAUUUCUCGCCAAUAAUGCUUGCGUCCUAUUUUAGCUUACCUGAAAAAAGAUUUGGAAUGAAUAGUGUGAGUAACCACAGCUUAGUGACUAAUCCAAAUCUCUUCUAAGUAGAUCAAGCAUCUAUUGUGAUAAAGCAAUAACAAAGAUUCAUCUAUCCAAAUCCAAUAUAUAAUGUACAAUAAAAUCAAAAUAUGAGGAAUCACUUUAACGCAACUUUAGACUAAUCAAUUAUAUUCAUUCAAAUUUCAAAUACCAAAAGGGUGGUACACGCUCCAUCUGGUUUUAUGCAACAAAUAUAUUUUAAACAUUACUUUUUCGUUUAAAAAAAUCAUAUGGUGCAUUGUUUUUCACAACUUAUAAUAUUUCAAUUCACAAUCACUUUCAAGACACGAGCUUACAAAUUUGUAGAGGAUAACAACCACCCCUAAAUAAAAUCCAAAUUGAAAGUUCGCCACUUAAAAAGUUUCAAAGUCAUAUCAAAGAUUAACUAAAUGUCAAACUUACAUGUGAACUAACCUCAACUAAAACUUUAGUAGGCGAUACCGUAUUCUUGAGUCAAAUCGUCCACUUGACAAAAGAUCUUCAAACAAUUACUUUGCAAACAGAGUCAACCUCAUCUUAAAACUCCAAUUCAAGCGAGCUUACUUUUAGUAGAAAACUCUUUUGAAUUACUAAAAGACCAUAAAGCCAAAAGAUGAUUGGAGAAGGGUGAAAUCCAUUGCCAAAUACAGUAAUUUGAAAACCAUUUUAGUAGCAUGCAAAAUUUUAAAAAUUUAUCCCAAUCAAAUUGCAAACCUAAAUUGACUUUCCUGAAGUCCUACUUUGCACUACCCUAAAAUUUCUUUACAAUAUAAUUUCAUAGCUUAAAAACCUCUAAAAUCAACCUAGCAACAUAGAACCCAUACCAAACCUAAUUUAUAGUUUAAUUACGAAAGCUCCUUUAAUUAGAUAAAUAAAAGUUUCAAAUCCUUACCAAUUGCUAAGAAACAGAAUUAAUCCGGUGCAUACAGCAAGAGCUCCCUUUAUCUCCUCUGUCUUUUUCUCGGUCUCUCCAUACUCUACUUUCCUUCUCUCUUUUUUUCGUGUUCUUCUUGGCCAGACUGUUUUCAAUUUUUUUCACUCUUUUUGCUCUAGUAAUUCCCUUACCACCACAGCAACUGAAGCAAGACCAAAGAAAGGCCUUUAACGAUACACUUGGGCUUGGCCUUUGUGUUUUGCUCUUAUUUAUUAUUUUUUGCCAGCCCGGUUAUUGAAACUUUAUUCUUGUACAUGAAUCUUCCAGGUAUUACCUAUUGAUGUAACUAUGCGGACACACUGUACCGAGGAAAGGGAAAGGGGAAUUCAAUUGGCACCGGACAAAGUCUAUUUUUUUUUUUUUUUUGGAAAAAAUCACUAAAAAUCCAAAAUUUUGACCAAAGUGAUAAAUUUAUCCUAAGUUUUUUUUUUUUUUUUUGUGAUAUGAAAUAUCCCAAACUUUACCAAUCGUGAUACAUUUAUCUUAAAAAAAAAAAUUAUGACACAAAAAAUCAUGAACUUGUAUCAGUGUAACACAUUUACCCUUAAUUAUAGAACAUUUUGAUAUUUUACUUUUCUUUUUUUCUUCUUCUUCUUCUCUAGGGAAGAGAGUAGAAGAAAAAAGGGCAAAAAAAAAAAAAAAGGAAAAGCAGAAAAAAAAAGAAAAAGAAAAGAAGAAGAUGAAAAUGUCUUUAGUGGGGUAAAUGUGUCACGAUUAGUAAAGUUUGGAGAUUUUCAUGUCAUAAAAAAAUUUGAGGUAAAUUUGUCAUUUUAAGUAAAAUUUGAAGUUUGUGGCGGUCUUUUUUUUUUUUUUUUUUCCUAACACAAGAAAAAAUAAAUAGGAAAGUUCAGGGACAUGCUUCGAAGAGCGAAACCAAGAAUCUCAUGAAUGAUAGCCACGUGGUUCUUUCAUGCAGAGUGGCAUUAUUGUUAUUAGGUGAAGGCUUAUGAAGAGCGAAAUCAAGUAGGGGCAUCAUUCGUCUUCUCUUGUGAAGAGCAUAAGCGAAAUCCCUGGUUCCGAGAUCUCUUAUGAAGAGCGAAACUUAUGAAAGGCGAAGUCCCUGAUUCCGAGUUCUCUUACGAAGAGUGAAGCUUAAGAAAAGCGAAAGAGCACUCGCUCAUCUCAUCGCUUUUCAUGAGAUCACUCGCUCGGAUUCAUAUUCAUGGCUUUUCAUAGAGCACUCGCGCGGAACCAAUUCAUCGCUUUUCAUAAGAGCACUCGCUCGGAACCAUGAGUUGCGCUUUUCAUAAGCUUCGCUCUUCAUAAGAGAACUCGAACCACCAACGAUGUCCGCCAUGGAUUUUACCUCCAUCGUCUCUAUCCUGAUCAACUUCAUCCAAGUGAAAUUCCAGGGGAAGUCGAUUUCACCAUUCGAAACUCACCCCGUUGCCACCGGCGUUGCCAUCUGCAGCCUGCUCCUGCAUUUCUUGUUGCUGCAUCUUGCUAAUCUGGCACCCCCGUCUAGCGGCCGCACUCCUUGCGAUGGAGCAUCGCACCUCCUCAUCGACUUCACUGGUUCGAUAUUGGUGGCUUCGCUCGCGUGGUUGCUGCUCCACGACUCCUCCCACUCCGUCCUCUGGUUGUUCGUACUGCUCCUGUUGCUUUCCGUGAGUCUGUUGCGCGGCCUCUUUCAAAAACUUUGGCUUUGGUUUUAUGGCAAAAUCUUUGCCAUGAUUUUCCAUGUGGCGCCAUCUCGUCUAUGGCAUGGUGGAAGAGCGCUGCCAUAUCCGCCGCGCCUGGUUGUGGAUCUGCAUUUGUUGCUGGAAGUCUGAGCGCCCUAGUUGUUCGACUUACUGUUUCCUGUUUGGAAAAACUAAUUUUAAUCGUAUGACUACUUUAAAUCAAAUUAUUAGUACUUUAGGAAGCUAAGCUAGUUUUGUAUAAGGUGCACUCGGGCCUUUCUUCUGUUUAUCUGAAUACAUGUCCCCAAGCAUUCGACAUCAUUGAAUUAUCUCCAUUGGCCGUAAGAAAGGAGAGCAGGGAACAAGUAAAAACCACCAGUGUAUCUUUUCUAUUCCUAGCUGUGAACGGUGAUGGACCUUGUAGCGACUAGAUCCGAUUAAGAUAGGCUUAUUCCUAAAAAGAAAUUGGGAUCUAUUGUUAUCAAAGAGAUUGACGAUGAUAAACAAUUGUUAUGACAUAGUAGAAUGGUCUUUUCUAGUAGCCAUAUAAGGUGUAGUAAUUGUUCUUGAGGUUAUAGCUUCUGACCUCUUUGAAAGCAUUGCUGAGUGUUGCAGAUUUCCUUCUUUUUCUCUUUGUAGCUUUCUGUUUGGCCAGUGGAUGGACACGUAUCAUUUUACAUUCUUUGCUGGUGUACUAUGGUUUUGCUCAUUUAUCCAUAUGAACUGGGAUAAACUGAUGCCUUGGAGACGCGAGCACAGCUACAAUUUCAAAAGCUUUGAUCUGACACUAACAUCAUUGACUGAUCCAAAUUAAAAUGAAAGAUGUCAGCUUUUUCCAUCACUAUCACAUAUACACCAUUACUGCUUACUAGCUAUUCCGAUGAUAAUAUAGUUGUAGUUUGUCAUUGCAGAAUGUGGGAGUCAUUAUAUCAUAUAGUCUUCAUUUGACCUCUGAGAGAUGACAACUAGAUCUUUGCUGUGGCAAAUGCGUUAACUUGCAGUCAAAGACUAUGUUGUCUCGCUGGCUGAUUGCUGCAGCCAAGGUGAGAAAAGAAUGCUGAAAAGUUGAUUUUUUUCCAUAGGCUUUAGUUCGAGAUUACUGAAUUUUGGCAGACUGUAGAUGUUAAAACCGAACUUUUCCCAUCUUCGUGUGCUAUAGAAUUUACAGUUCAUGUAUGCAAAGCUAGUUGGAUAGAAUGCAGACGCUCGAGACAAGUCUGUACAAACUACACACAUUUGAUGUCCGUAUCUGAGGAAAUAAUUAGACCAGCAAGCUUCUUGACAAGUUGAUUCAAAAUCAAAUUAUGCAUCCCAAUGUUAAUACUUUGACAUAUGACAGAGCACACAAGUCUUGCACUUCAAAAAUAUGAUAUUUAUCUGCUUUUUCUGCAGAGAACAACAAUCUUGGAUGUCAACUGUAGCAAUGUGUCUAAUUGACUUGCAUAAGAACGUGAGUUGAAACAUCAAACAGGAAGGUAGGUUCUCCUGACUCCCGAAUUCUUUUUUUCUUGAUAAGGGCCUCACCAACACUGCAACUACAUGCACUUCACUUGUGGCUUUUAGAGACCAGCAUUGCACAUCUUUUCUUGAGUACCUAUUACGUGCUCAUUCUUUUCAGGUCUAUCCACAAGCCUAAAUGUUUAUUGCCGAAAACGAUUCCCUGGAGAAUUAUCAUGAUACUAAGUCAAAUAAUGAAGCUAAGUAGGUAAUGUACAGUGUAACUUAAGACUGCAGGACUGUCAAAAGCUUCUUCUAAUUCAGUAGCAGAUACUUCAAAAUGUUAAUGUUAAAUGGAGGCCAAAUGUUACUGAAGAGACUGAAAAUAAUUCACCAAUUAUUAGAGAAUAAUGGGGAGAUGUUUAGCCUUUUUUUUUUCGAGGUUACUUAAGAUUCCACUAGACCAAAAGAUUUGGAAGUUUCUUCCCUACUGGAGAGAAACAGAGGGAUGCUCAUGAAAAAUGGCACUUCUACUAGCAUUUUCAGACACCAAUUCUUCAUUAUCAAAUUGCCACCUGUCAAACGUUGUCAUAUGGUCGUUUUAGUCUACAAAAUAAAGUCAAAAUUGUUUUUGAGACUAAAGCUUCUGAACUCUUUGAAAACAUCACAAGCAUCACAGUUUUGCUUUUCUUUUUCUGGCGAGUCUCUUCGUGACUUUCUGGUCAGCCAGUGGAUCUAUAUGUGUUGUUUUACACACUUUUUGAUGGUAUACAAUGGUUUUGCUCAUUUAUCCAUAUGAACUAGGAUAAAUAGAUGCCUUGGAGACACGAGCACAGCUGCAAAGCAGAAACUUUGUUCUAUCAUCAUGGAGUUAUCCAUAUCAAAAUGAAAAAUGAUAGUUUUUGAUCUCUGUCCCAUAUGCAUGGGUACUGCUUACUAGCUAUUCUGAUGAUAAUUUUGUUUGAGUUUGUCAUUGCAGAAUGACAAGUGGUUACAUCAUAUAGUCAGCACUUUACCUCUUAGAGAUGACAACUCGAUCUUUGUUGCUGCGAAUACAUCAACUUGCUUCAGCAAAUAAAAUUUAUGAGGGCAGCGAAUUUUUUAGUGAUGUAUCCUGUAUGUAUCCGGAAGCUCUUGGAUCUGAGUAAUGCAAUCUAAGACUAUGUUGUCUCACUGGCUGAUAGGUUUUCGUCCAGCAGCUUGAUUUGUUGCUUCAGUCAGAGAUUCAAGUUGCCAGGGCCAAGGUGAGAAAAGAACACUGAAAGAUAGAUUUCUUUUUUGGGAGGCUGUAGGUCAAUAUAACCAAAUUUUGGUGGACCGCAGAUGUUAGAACCAAACUUUUCCCAUCUUCAUGUGCUGGAAAAGAAUUUUUACAGUUCAUGAAUGGAAAGCCAUAUAGAUAGUAUGCAAAACUUGAGACUAGUCUGUCUUGAGGCUAGUCUGUACAAACUACACACACCUGAUAUUCAUUUUUCGAGGAAAUAAGAAGACCAGCAAGCUUCCUGUCAAGCUGAUUUAUAAUCAAAUUAUGCAUCCCCAUGUAGUACUCCAACUCAUAACAUAAAGCACGUAAGUCUCAUACUAAAAAAUAUGAUAGUUAUCUGCUUUUGCUGCAGAUAACAAUAUCGGAUGUCAAGUGCUAGCAGUGAUUCCAAUUGACUUGCCUAAGAGCAUAAGUUAAAACAUCAAACAGAAAGGUGGUCUCCUGCCUCCCCAAUUCUUUUCUUCUGGAUAAGUGCCUCCCCAACUCUGCAAUUCUGCGCACUUCAUUUAGUUCAGCCAUAGUGGGGUCUUUAGGUACUUCCAUUACUUAAAAAAAACAAAAAAAUUGGCCUUACCACAUUUUCUGUUGAUAAUAACUUAUUGUGGAGAAUGAGUCUAUAUAUAAUGUUAAAAAAAGAAAAAAGAACAGGGCUAUUCACCACAUCAUAUGGCAGCAUCGUGUAUCCAUUUGUUGGCUAAAGUCAUUUUGGCGAGAGAGCACUUCUGGGAUGAAAGCAUACUGUGGGUAACACAAAUUCGAUAUGAGUAAUAAAUGCUCAAGGGCAUUCAUUGUAGACAGGAGCACCCAGAUUCAAGUCUUUUUCCCUAAAAAGUUACAAUAGUACUUACCGGCAUCAUCUUCAAUGAAUGUAGCAUAGAGCGUGAGUUGACGGAGGUGAUGGCAAUCUUUCAUUGUUGGUGGUAAUUGUGGAAGGCAAUCAUGAUUGACAUUAAGAUUACACUGCACCAAAACGUGAAAGUUGAAUGUGCAAAAUUUACCAGACACUAUACGCAGGUCAGGUGAUCUAAUAUAAGAAUGAGCAUAUGCUCGUGGAGGUGAGGUUUCAAAGUGGGCUUUUUAACAGUGCAUGGAAUGUUGAAGUUGAAGCCGCAUAUUGCGCAGAGAAAGACAGCAUCAACGCUUUUCACAACAUGCGUCAGUGAGUGUUCUUCCCUGAUGCGGGAAGAAGUGGAUGUGCCAGGGUGAACGGGGUGUUGCAUAACCGAGGGCAAUUCAGCACAUGAUUUAUGGAGCAGAUGAGAGCAGCCUUGCUCCAGCAGGUCAGUAGAUCUAAUAUAAGAGUGAGCAUAUGCUCAUGGAGGUGAUGUUUGAAAGUGGGCCUUUUAAAAGUGCAUGGAAUAUUGAAGUCGAAGUCGCAAUUUGCACGGAGAAAGACAGUGUUAACGCUCUUCACAACAUGCAUCAGUGAGUGUUCCUUCCUGAUACAGGAAGAAGGAUGUGCCAGGGUGAACGGGGUGUCGCAUAACUGAGGGCAAUUCAGCACAUGAUUUAUGGAGCAGAAAAGAGCAGCUCUGCUCCAGGCAGUGAUACCUUUGGACUUAUUCAUCACAAGCCUUGCACACAACAUCCUUCAUGUGACCCAGCUCCAGCGGCAGCGGAUGAUUGUGAAUUGGAGAAAAGAAGCGGCAAUCCAGACAAGCAUAGACCUCACCUAGUAUGCUCCAUUCACAAGCUUUGCACUCAAUUCUGGUUUUAAGCUUCACGUGGAAGGACCCCAGUCGAUGCUGAUGGGCAAAAUUUUAAAAAACUGAGCCUUCCUCGCCCUCAGAUCUUGUGAACAUAGAAUUAUAGCCACAGAGUCUAUAUCAAGACUGAAAUUGCAUUCGCUGACCAUAUGGCAGGCACUACAUUGGAGGUCUACCGAUUGAUCAAAAGCAAGAGAGAGGGUGAUCAUGGAGAGACGGGCAUUGUGUCUCUGGGGAGAGAUUCGGCGCAGCUCUCAUGGGGAAAGAAUCUACACGUGUAGAAUCGAUAGACCUCCUCACAGGCUUCGCAUUUGAUUCUACUUUUCGUCCCAAGAAGAUCGUGUGAGGGGAUGCUAAUGAGCAAAAUGUUGGAUGGUCGCAUUCUCAGAAUCCUCAUCAGGCUCUGUUGUGACUAGGCAGGUGAAGCAAUAUCGGGCCGUGCAGCAACGCUUAACCAUCCGAAUGGCAAGAAGGAAGCCUGCUCACAUGCAUGGCAACUCCGACGAUCCUUGUCAUCGUUGCCACCUAGGCGGUCCAGUCGGGGUAGCAGGUGAGACGGGUGUCCUUGGGCGGACAGAAUGCUAAAUUCAGUGUGACUAGACAAUUCACAGCAGUGGGCUGAGCUGCAGAUCGGAGACCAGCACGCGAGACAUUCCAAGCAAGUGCAACCUUCUUCGCUCAGGUUUCGGAGAUUCAAUACAUGAUCACCAGGGCAAAUUAGGAAAUAAAAAAGCGUUUUGAAUGGAGUUAUAAUUACCGACCAGAAAAAGAAAAGAAAUGAGUUAUAAUUGCUGAGUUACAUCAACACGAAGCGAAUAAUGUGAAAUGAAUCGUACCCUACUUCCAUAUAUUAUUUGACUUUUGUAUUUCAGUGUUAAUCUGUACAAUUUUUUCUACAUAUAUGCUUUAAUGCAAUAGUUAAAAAAAACUAAAGUGGCCCAUGAAAAGUUUCAUUUCAUUUUUCAUUUAGUAGUCAGCUGCAAUUAUAAUAUAAUUAUACAUAAAUAACCGAUAAAUAAAACUCCAAACAUUGGAUAAGGUCAUAAAGGUGAAAUGCACCUUCGGCUUGUCUAUACAUUUAUUAGAAAGUUCUUACCCAACUUAAUAUAAAAGUAAAUUACUUAAGACAAUAUUGCGAUAACAGUUUUCUAUGUUGCUAAUUAUUUAUUAAUCUAUAAAAAUACAUGUUUGGCGGCAAUCUUGAAUUCCAGGAUAUCGAAAAAGAGUUAUAUUGAUGCUCCAUAAGCUAUGACGAUAAGGUUCACCAAAGCAAUAAUUGUAAUUAAAUCUGUAAUUUUCUAUUAAAAUCUCUUAAGAGAACUCGAUUUCAUUUGCAAAAAUUAAAUAAUUCUACCCAUUGGUUAUUCUUGAAAUCAAAAUAUAGAUUGAAGUUAUUAUAGACCCAGUUUAUAUGUUUCCAUCCUACGAUUUCGGCUAGUUGAACCAAAUUUAGAUCCGGGGUCAAAAUUUGGCGUUUGGAUAAACUAUAUGAAGACUAAGACCCAAGAGAAACUUUCUAGAAAGAAAAAACAACACAAAGAGGUACUCUUCCGAGUAAUUAUAAGUAAACCUAUCCAAAUGAUAGAAUGCAUUGCAUUUGGAUGAAAUCAAGAUUAUGAUGCAUGCGCAUUUUUCAUCUAUGGUGAUCUCUUCAUUCCACCAAUUUGUACAUUCCUUUUGCUAAAAUUUUGAAUUUAUUAUACUAAUCAAAGUUACGAUUGGUCUAACCUUGAUUUUGAAUCGAGUCACGUCCUUUUUCUGAGGCAGCCAAAAAAAAAAAUGAGGAGAGAAUGAUCUCUUUUCUCCUACGAGGGUGUUUGUGCGUACAUAUUACGAGGGUGUUUGUGCGUACAUAUAAUCCUCUUUUCAGUGUCUUUUAAGGUGUUUGUGCAUACAUAUAAUCCUCUUUUGAGCGACUUUUCAAUUUCCUCUCUCCCCUCAAACCCCACUCCCCCCUUCCUUGUGAUGGAGUUUCCAAAGGGUCUUAGGGGAGGCUUCAAUGUUCACAAAGAUAUGGUUGGACCAUGUAGCAUUAUAUGAUAAUCCUAUGUCUACUCGUGGGCAAAAAUGGGAUCAUUGUGAGAGUUGCGGAUUUUCUGUUAAACAAGAAAAAAAAAUUGCCGUGAAAUUGAGAUUUUGUUAAAGUCAUGCUCUGUGACACUCUAAAAUUUCAUUACAACAUAAUUUAAUGGCUUAAAAACGUCUAGAAUCGACCCAGCAACAUAAAAAUCCGUACAAAGCCUAUUUUACUGUUUAACUACGGAAACUCCUUCAAUUAGAUAAAUAAAAGUUUCGAAUCCUUAUCGAUUGCUAUGAAAUAGAAAUAAUCUGGCUUGACCAAGCCUCUCAAACAUGCACGCAGUGAGAGUCCCCUUUUGUCUCCUCUCUGUCUUUUUCUCAGUUUGUCCAAACUCUGCUUUCCUUCUUUUUUUGUCUUUUGGGUUCUUCUUGGCCAUACUCUAUUUUCUCUCUUUCUGUUCUUGCAAUUCCCUUGCGACGGCAUCAACAGAAGCAAGAUCAAAGGAAGGGCUUAAACGAGACACUUGGGCUUGGGCUUCAUGUUUGGCUCUUAUUUAUUAUUUUUUGCGAGCCCGGUUAUUGAAACUUUAAUCUUGCACAUAAAUCUUUAUAGGUUAUUACGUAUUGAUGCAAACUACGCGGAUUGAGAAUAAGGUCUUGGGUCAUCUUGCGCAGCAGCCCUAAUCCCCUCCCCUCCUCGAGCUCGCGUCCGUGUUGCGCCCGCUUUAGUAGAAAUCUUAGCAGCAGCGCAAUCACCCGGUAGCUACCCAUUGGAAGACCGAGUUACCCAAGUCGUCUUCUCACUUUCCAAUUUUGCGAUAUGCAAAUGUUCAGUAAUGGGUCUGGUGAGACCUCGGGCCUUGCCAACCUCUAGCGAAGUAUACUCAUUGAAUUUUUUUGAUAAUUUUCCUCUGAAAAGUCAAAUUAGAGUUUUCGCACCAACGGCGGAGCACGUUUUUUAAUGCAUAAGUUUAUAACCACCCCUGACUCCUCUCUCUCUCUAUCUUUUCAAUAUUAUUUAUUAUUUAUUUGUCUAAGAUAAUAAUAAAUUGAGAUUUCUACUUUUUUUCUAGUUAUCAAUUUAUCCAUAAAUGUGCAUGUUCUACAACAAUCUUGACUUCCACAUUAUUGAAAAACAAUUACAUAUGAUAUGAUGCUCUGUAAGGCAUGUGGAUAAGGUUCCCCAAAGUAGUAGUUACAAUUAAACUUGUAUUUUUAUUAUCUUUGAAUAAAACUCAAUUUCAUUUUCAAAAAUUUAAUAAAUGUCCACAUUGUUUAUCUUGAAAACAAAAUAUAGAUCUAAGUUGUUAUAGACCUAGUUCACAUAUACAACCUACGACUUCCACUAGUUAGGCUGAAUUUAGAUGCAUAGGUCAAAAGUUGGCAUUUGUAUAAAUUAUGACGAGUAAGACCCAGGAGAACAUUUCAAGAAAGAACAAACAAAAUAGGGAGGUACUCUUCCGAGUAAUCAUAAGUAUAAUAAGAAAUGAUAGAAAGAACUACAUUUGGGAAAAGGAAAACCACAUCGGUGUAGAGCUCAUAUAAAAAGGUUCUUGGAAGUCUUUCUAUCCUAACCUAACUUUACUAGGAGCUAUAAUGGUAAGAUUGUGAACUAAGUAGCAUCACCAUUGACACGCGACACGCAACACAUCAUUUCUCAAAAAUAGAGAAUUUUCACAUGUUGGGACAUGUUGUAUGUAAAAUGAUAAUUUUUUAUUCAUUAUUUUAAUUUGAUAAAUUCAAUUGCAUUCCAUUCCAAUAAUCCAUAAAAGUUGAAGGAAGAAAAAACAAACAAUCCACAUUCUACUAUUAAAUUUAACAUUUAACAAAAUGUCAAAAUAAUAAUAAUAAUAAUAAUACACAUUCCACCAUCAAAUAUAACAAGAAGUCUUUAUUUCCCCUUUUAUUUUUAUAUUUAUAUUUUGACCUAUCAUUUAUUGAAAUUUUUGAAAUUAACCCCAGAAUCACGUGUCGAAAUUCCAUACUCGUAUGUCAGGAGAGUUGAUUACGUCUCAGAUUUUUCGACACUCAUUCACCACAUGUUAGAACGUGUCGUAGUGUCGGACAAGACACAAAUGCUUCAAUGCUUCUUAAAUUGUGAACCAAAUUAUAGUGGUACAAUUGCUUUUGCUGCCAAUGUCAUCUCAGUAGCAAAAAAGCCAUGGAAAGAUCAUGAGGUACAUUACAUACUUCAAAACACCAACUUACCCGAAACAAGUAAAUUGCAACGAAUAUCAGAACUCCUGGGUCAAAUUAUUCCCCUCUGACUUAUCAGUCAUGAGGAAAUGAAAGGCAUGAGGAGAAUCAGAAAUGCAAUGUGGUCAUAGCAAAACCAAUCGCAUAAUGACAAGUUAACAGGGAACAUGCAAGAGCAAUUUAGCAUAAAUAUUGCAGUACUUUCAGCUAGUUUCGGGAAACGAAACACAUUACAGAGAACAUGAAGCAUCCCAGAACGUCUCCUUCUGUUUUGUUGUCUACACUGCAUAAUCUGAAUAAUCAUAAUUUACGGCUUCAUUACGAAAAUUCCUGCACUUAGAUAAAUAAAAGUUGUUGCUACCAAAUAGAAGUAAUCCGUCUUGUCGAGUUCUUCCAAGCGUGCAUGGAGCGAAAGCCCCCUUUGUUUCCUCUCUCUUUUUCUCCGUUUCUUUCCUUUAUUUCUUUUCUUUUCUUUUCUUUUUUUGUUCUUCUUGGCCAGGCUCUGUUUUCUCUCCUUUCUGCUCUUGCAAUUUCCCUUGCAAUGAAGCAAAGACUAAAGAAAGGGCUCAAACAAAACACUUAAGCUUGGGCUUAAGCUUGGGCUUAAUGUUUUGCUCUUAUUUAUUAUUUUUUGCAAGCCCGUUUCUUGCAACUUUAUUCAUGAAGAUACAUAUUUUAGGUUACUAUGUACUGAUGGAUCCUAUGUGGAGUGAGGAUAAGGUCACUCGAAAUUAAAGUUAGCAUAUCACUUUUUCGAGAAAAAUCAUAAAUCUAUUAUAUUUGUGUCAAUUUGAAUUAGUGUCAAUUCAGUCUCUCCCCCCCCUUGGGUCAAAGAAGACCAAGAAAAUCUCGAUUCAACAUAAGCUUGGGGUGCUAAUAAGGAGGACCUUGCUGGGUUCGUUCAAUCAACAAGCCUUAACGCCCUUGAGACGGGAUCAACUCCUUUUAUAAAUAUGAUACCACCAAAGUCAAGCAACACUGACUUCUUCCUAUUACUACGCUCCGUACCCUGGCUAGAGAGCAUGAAUGACUCUUCCCAGGAACGAUCAGAUGCAAACCUGUUAAAAGCGCCUUUCCCAUGUGGAAGAAGUUACUUGUGUGCCUUAUCCUUUUAACUAAUUUUGAUCGAAAAUUACUGAUAUGGACAUUAGUUGUCCUACAUGGCAUGCUUAGCCCUAAUAUGGAUAAUUUUUUAUUUAUAGUAAUUCAAUUUUUUUAUUUGUUAUUAUUAUUUUUUUCUUUAUUUCUUUAUUCUUCCUUGGCCAUUGCCUGGUGGGUUGGCCUCACCUAGGUGAGGGUCGCCAUUGCCCACCACAGGCUAGGCUAGGCUAGGCCAGGCGAGAGCAAUCCUAGGCAAGGCCACCUUGGCUUGGGUGAGGCCUUACGAGGGUUAGCCUCGCCUAGGCUAGAUUUGGUGAGGCCAUCACGCUCAGCUAUUGCCUAUGAUCAACAGAAGGAGGAAGAAAGAAAAAGAAAAAAAAAUUAGAGAAUAAAAAAAUAUAUUAAAUUAUUAUGAAAAUUUUUCCAUAGCCGUCCAUAUCAAUAUCUAGUCAAAAUUAAUUAGAAUGAUUAAAUUGAUACAAUUAUAAGAUUUAAGAUUAAAUGAAUAUAAAUGCGAUAGGCUUAUGACUUUUCUCUCUUGUCAAAAUAACCAAAUAAAAAAUAAAUCCGAAAGUUUAAGGCCUUCGUCCUCUCCAUAGUGCGGUGAGAAGUGAGGGUAGGGACAUCAUUUGAUAUUUAUUUUUUCAUGGAAGGUGGCACGGACAUCAAUUUAAUAAUCUUUCUUUUGACAUCAAUCUAAUACUCUUUAUUUUUGAAGUCCAUUCCAAUCAAGGACGUCCAAAUGCCCUUUUUCCAAGUUCCCUUUCAAAAAUUCUAAGGACGCAACAGUUAUCUUCCUUUGAAAAAUGUUAAGGAUCCUUAACAUUUUUCCAAGGGAGUCAUGAUUAAAGGACAUCCUACUCCAAAAGAAGUCGGAAAAGGAUGUCGGGAUGUCCUUUAAUCAUGACUCGAUGUCCUUUAAUCAUCACUCUCUUUCACAUAGAUGGAAAGUAUAAAUAAUGUCCCCGUCUUUGCCCCUCCUCACGGCGCCAUGGAUAUCCCCUCCAUUGUCUCUGUCCUGGUCAACUUCAUCCAGGUGCAAAACCAGGGGAAGUCGAUUUCACCCUUUGAGACCCACCCCGUCGCCACCCGCGUCGUCAUCUGCAGCCUCCUCCUGCAUUUCUUUUUCGGGCGUGUCGCUAAUCAGGCACCACCUUCUCGCGGCCGUGCCCCUUCUUGCGAUGGAGCAGCACGCCUCCUCUUCCACUUCACCGGUUUGACAUCGGUGUUUUUGCUCGCAUGGUUGCUGCUCCACGACUCCUUCCACUCCGUCCUUUGGUUCGUGCUGUUCCUGUUGCUUUCCAUGCGUCUGCUGCAGGGCCUCAUUCGAAAACUUUGUCUGUGGUUUUACCGCAAACUCGUUCUCAUGAUUAUCCGUGCGGCGUGGUCUCGUGUAUGGCAUGGUGGAAGAGUGCGGCCACAUUUUCUGCGCCCGGCCGUGGGUCUCCGUUUCACGCCGGAAGUCUGAGCGACGUAGUUGUUCGACUCUUCCCUGCUUGGAUUCAAUAAAUUUAAUUGUAUCACUGCUUUAAUACAAAUUAUUAGUACUCUAGGAAGCUAAGCUAGUUUUGUAUAAGAGGCAACUCAAGUCUUUGUUCUCUUUAUGGGAAGCCUUAAGGAGUCCCCAAGACUUCGACAUCAAAUUAUCUCUCGACCAUAAGAAAGGAGAGCAGGGGACAAGUAAAAAUCACCUAUGUAUCGUUCCUAAUCCUAGCCAUGAACGCCGAUGGACCUUGUAGCAGCUAGAUCCAAUUAAGAUAGGCUAAGCCCUCAAAAGAUAUUGGGAUCUAUUGUUAUCGAAGGGAUUGAAGAUACCUCAACAAUUGUUACGAAGAGAAGAAUGGCCGUAUCUAGUAGCAUAUAAAGGGUAGAUAUUGUUCUUGAGGUUAAAGCUUCUGACCUCUUUGAAAGCAUUGCGAGUGUUGCAAAGUUUCCUUCCAUUUCUGGUGAAUCUCUUUGUAGCUUUCUGUUUGGCCAGCUGAUCAAUAUGUGUCAUUUUACAUUCUUUGCUGGUAUACUAUGGUUUUGCUCAUAUAUCCGUAUGAACUAGGAUAAAUAGAUGCCCUGGAGACACGAGCGCAGCUGCGAUUUCAAAAGCCUUGUUCUAACAUCAUUGAGUGAUCCAAAUCAAAAUGAAAGAUGUCAGCUUUUUCAUCUCUGUCCCAUAUGCACCACUACUGCUUUCUAGCUAUUCCGAUGAUGAUAAAGUUGUAGCUUACCAUUGCAGAAUGAGAGUUGUUGCAUCAUAUAGUCUUCAUUUUACCUCUGAGAGGUGACAAUUAGAAAUUUGCUGUGGCAAACGCGUCAACUUGCAAUCUAAGGCCACGUUGUCUCACUGGCUGAUUGGUUUUUGGCUGGGAGCUUGAAUUGUUGCUCCAGUUGGACAUUCAAGUUGCCAGGGCCAACGUGAAAAAAGAAUGCUGAAUGUAGAUUUUUUUUUCUUUCAAGAGGCUUUAGUUCAAGAUAACUGAAUUUUGGCAGACUGUAGAUGUUAGAACAGAACUUUUCGCAUCAUCAUGUGCUGGAAAAGAAUUUCCAGUUCAUGAAUGCAAAGCUAGAUAGAUAGUAUGCAGAAGCUCAAGACUUGUCUGUACAAACUACAGACAUCCAAUGUUCAUAUUUGGAAAGAAUUAGACCAGCAAGCUUCCUGAUAAAUUGAUUCAUAAUCAAAUUAUGCAUCCCAAUGUUUGUACUUUGAUGUAUGACAUAAAGCACAAAAGUCUUCCAGUUCAAAAAUAUGACAUUUAUCUGUUUUUACUGCAGAGAACAACAAUCUUGGAUGUCAACUGUAGCAGUAAAUCCAAUUGACUUGUAUAAGAACGUAAGUCAAAACAUCAAACGGAAAAGUAGGUUCCCCUGACUCCCAUAUUCUUCUCAUAUUGGUAAGUCCCUCCCCAAUUCUGCAACUGCAUGCACUUUGCUUCCGGUUUUUGGAGACCAGCAUUGUGCGUCUUUUCUUGAGUACCUCCAAUUAUGUGCUCACUUUUUCCUGCAGAAUUUUCAUUUUUUUUCAUCUAGUUCAACAAUAGCAGGGUCUUCAGGUACUUGCACUAUUCCAGCGACUUGUAUUAAACACUAUUUCGUAUUAGCGCAUUUUCUGUUGAUUCUUACUUAUUGUGGAGAUGAGUCUAUAUAUGAUGUUAAAAAGGAACAGGGCUAUUCACCACAUCGCAUGGCAGCAUCUUGUAUCCAAUUUUGGCUGAAGUCUGUUUAGCAAGAGAGCACUACACUGUGAUACAAGCGCACCAUGGUAAAACGCAUUGGAUAUGAAUUAUCAAUGGUCCGGGGCAUUCAUCACAGUCAUAAGCACCCAGAUUUGUGUCCCUCAUUGCAAAGGGCACAAUAGUACUACUCACUGGUAUUAUCUUCGAUGAACAAAGCAUAAAGCGUGAGUUGAUGGAAGUUAAUGGCAAUCUUUUACUGUAGUGGAAGGCAAUCUGUGAUGAUUAAGAUUGCAUUGCACACAACUGCAAAUGCCGAAGCUGCACAAUUUACCACAGACACUUCAUAGUAGCAUGGUUAGGUAGAUUUGAAAUAAGAAAGAGUAUAUGCUUGUAGAGGUGAUGUUUCGAAGUGCACCUUUUAAAAGUGCAUGAAGUGUUGAAGUCGUCACUUCCGUGCAGUGAAAGACAGAGCAUCCAUGCUCUUCACGAAAUAUGUCAACAGUGCUCCUGAUACGAGAAGAAAAAGGAUGUGCAGGGUGAGCAGGUCGUUGCAUCUGAGGGCAAUUCAGCACAUAAUUUAUGGAGCAGAGAAGAGCAUCUCUGCUCUGCAUGGCAAUAGGCUAAACAUUUGACACAUUCAACACAAGCCUUGCAUGCACCAUCCUUCAUAUGGCAGUUCCAGCGGCAGAGAAUGAUAGUGCAGUGAAGAAAGAAGAGGCAAUCAAGACAACCAUAGACCUCACCUAUAUGUUCCAUUCACAAGCUUCACGCCCGAUUUUGCAGUCAGGCUGUGUGUGGAAGACCAGUGGAUGCUGAUGGUCGAAAUGGUAAAAAACCAGUUCCUUUGUGCCUCCAGAAGGACAACUAGCUAUUCUGAUGAUAAUAUUGUUUGAGUUUGUCGUUGCAGAAUGACAGAUUGGUUACAUCAUAUAGUCAACACUUUACCUUUGAGAGGUGAGAACUAGAUCUUUGUUCUGGCGAAUGCGUCAACUUGCUUCAGCAAAUAGGAUUUAUAAAGACAGCGACUUCUUUUGUGAUGUAUCCUGCUUGUGUCCCGAAGCUCUUGGAUCUGAAUAAUGCAAUCUAAGACCAUGUUGUCUCACUGGUUGAUUGGUUUUCGUCCAGGAGCUAGAAUUGUUUCUUCAGUCAGAGAAUCAAGUUGCCAGGGCCAAGGUGAGAAAAGAACGCUGAAAUAUAGAUUUCUUUUUUGGGAGGCUUUAGUCCAACAUAACCGAAUUUUGGUAUGCUGCAGAUGUUAGAACGGAACUUUUCUCAUCUUCAUGUUCUGGAAAAGAAUUUACAGUUCAUGAAUGCAAAGCCACAUUGAUAGUAUGCAAAAGCUUGAGUCUAGUCUGUACAAACUACACCUGUCCGAUAUUCAUUUUUUGAGGAAAUAAUAAGACCGGCAAGCUUCCUGACGUGUUGAUUCAUAAUAAACUUAUGCAUCCCAAUUUUAGUGCAUUAAUUCAUAACAUGAAGCAAACAAGUCUCACACUCAAAAAAUAUGAUAUUUAUCUGCUUUUGAUGCAGAGAAUAACAAUAUUGGAUGUCGAGUGUUAGCAGUGAUUCUGAUUGACUUGCUUGAGAACGUAAGUUGAACCAUCAAACAGGAAGGCUGUCUCCUGCCUCCCCAGUUCUUUUCUUCUGGAUAAGUGCCUCCCCAACUCUGCAACUACAUGCACUUUGCUUGCAUCUUUUUGAGACCAGCAUUGCCCGUUAUUUUUUUUUUUUUUUUUCAGUACCCUCAGUUGUGUGCUCACUCUCUCUGCUUUUCCUGCAGAAUUGCAAUUUUUUCAUCUAGUUCGGCAAUAGCAAGGUCUUCAGGUACUUCCAUUACUUUAAAAAACAUUUGGUAUUACCAUAUUUUCUGUUGAUUAUAACUUAUUGUGGAGAAUGAGUCUAUAUAUGAUGUUAAAGAAAAAAAAAAGAACAGGGGCUAUUCACCACAUCACAAGGCAGCAUCUUGUAUCUAUUUGUUGGCUAAUUGUCAGUUUUGUGAGAAAGCACUUCUGUGAUGAAAGCAUACUGUGGGUAAAACGCAUUCGAUUUGAGUAAUCAAUGCACGGGCAUUCAUCGCAGCUGGAAGCACCUAGAUUCAGGUCUUUUUUCUCUCAAAGGUCACAAUAGUACUCACCAGCAUGAUCUUCGAUGGACGAAGUGUAAAGUGUGAGUUGAUGGAGGUGAUGGUGAUUUUUUAUCGUUGGUGGUAAUUGUGGAAGGCAAUCAUGAUUGACAUUAAGACUGCACUGCACAAGAACGUGAAAGUUGAAAGUGCAAAAUUUACCAGACAAUGCAUAGGAAGUGCGCAUCAGUAGAUCUAAUAUAAGAAAGAGCAUAUGCUCGUGGAGGUGAUGUUUGAAAGUGGGCCUCUUAAAAGUGCAUGGAAUGUUGAAGUCAAAGCCGCAUUUUGUGCAGAGAAAGACAGCGUCAAUGCUCUUCACGACAUGCAUCAGUGAGCGUUCCUUCCUGAUACGGGAAGAAGUGGCUGUGCCAGGGUGAACGGGGUGUUGCAUAACUGAGGGCAAUUCAGCAUAUGAUUUAUGGAGCAGAUGAGAGCAGCACUGCUCCAUCAGCAGUGGAUGAUCGUGAAUUGGAGAAAGAAGAGGCAAUCCAGGCAACCAUAGACGUCACCUAGUAUGCUUUGCACUCGAUUCUGGUUUCAAGCUUCACGUGGAGGGACACCAGUAGAUGCUGAUGGGCGAAAUGGCAAAAAAGCUGCGCCUUUCUUGCCCUCCAGAUCUUGUGAACCUAGACUAUAGCCGCACAGUCCAUGUCAAGGCUGAAAUUGCACUCGCUGCUGCAGCGGGAAACUAUAUGGCAGGCAUUACAUUGGAGGUCUACCAAUUGACGGAAAGCAAGAGAGAUGGUGAUCAUGGAGAGACGGGCAUUGCAUCUCUGGGAGGAGAUUUGGCGUAGCUCUCAUGGAGAAAGAAUACACACGUGUACCAUCGAUAGACCUCCUUGCAGGCUUCGCUUUUGAUUCUAUUUUUCGUCUCUGAGAUGAUGGGAUGUGAGCAGAUUCUAAUGAGCAAAAUGUUGGAUGGUCGCAUUCUCGGAUUCCUCAUCAGGCUUAGGGUUGUGAAUAGGUAGACGAAGCAAUAUCAGGCCGUGCAGCAACGGUCAACCAUCCAAAUGGCAAGAAGGAAGCCCGCUCAGACGCAUGGCAACUCCGACAAUCCUCCGCACCAUUGCCUACUGGGCGGUCAAGUCGGGGCAGCGGGUGAAACGGGGGUCCUAGGGCGGACAGCAUGCCAAAUUCAGCGCAACUGGUGAAAGAAAAAUUGACACGAUUUACGGCAGUGGGCUGAGCCGCAGAGGGAAGACCAGCACGCGAGACAUUCCAAGCAACUACAAGACUUCCGCUUAGGUUCCGGAGACUCACGAUACACAUGAUAAAAUUUCUAUUUCUCUUUCUCUGUUUCCCGGAAUAGGUUUAGAGCAGAAAUCCUUUGGUAAUGCAAUUUGAUUUUUUUAUUUCUGGAACAGAUUUCUAUUCCAAAAAUAGAUUUGAAGAAAAAAUCAAAAGUUAAAAUUUUUAAUUUUUUAAUUUCUGAAAUAAAAACUGAGAAAUCAAUUUCUCUUAUAGAAAUUUUGUUAUGCGCACCCUUAAUGCAUGAUCGCCAAGGCAAAAUAGGAGAUAACAAAGCGUUUUGAAUGUAGUUAUAGUUACAUGAUGUCAACACAAAGUAAAUGAGAUGACAUGAGUUGUACACUACUCCCGUAUUAUUUGAUGUUGUAUUUCAGUGUUCAUUUGUACAUUUUUAUUUUAUUUUAUUUAUGCUUCAACGCAAUGGUUUAGUAAAACUGAAGUGGCCCAUGAAAAGUUUUAUAUCUUGUUCAUUUAAAGUCAGCCGCAAUUAUAUGAGGUCUUAAAAGUGCAUUCACCUUGGGCUAGUCUGUACAUUCAUCAGAGAGUUCUUCUCCAACUUUCUCUAAUUAAAAAAAAAAAAAGUAACUUACGGCUUUGCGAUAACAGUUUUGUCAUAGUUAUUUAACUUCACCUAUUUUUAAGUUUACAAGUUAUUUUUUUAAUUUAUUAGUCGAUUGCUUUUACAUGUAAAAGUAAUAUUUACAUUUGCCAUUAAAUACAAUUCAUACAAAUAGUAUGAGCGAAAUCUACUUUUUUUUUCUAGUUAUCAAUUUCUCUAUAAAUGCACAUAUUCUGCAGCACCCUUGAUUUGUAAGCUAUGUCGAUAUGGCUCAUUGAAGCAGAUAUUGUAAUCAAACUUGUAAUUUUCUGUUAAAUCUUUGAAUAGAACUCGAUUUCAUUUUCAAAACUAAUAAUUAUCUGCAUUGGUUAUUUUUAAAAAAAAUACAGAUUGAAGUUGUUACAGGCCCAAUUCACAUAUAUAACCUACAACUUCAACUACUUAAACUGAAUUUAGAUCCAUAGAUAAAAAGUUGGUAUUUGUAUAAACUAUGAAGACUAAGACCGAGGAGAACAUUUCUAGAAAGAGCAAAACAAAAUAGAGAGGUACUCUUCCGAGUAAUUACAAGUAAACCUAUCCAAAUGAUAGAAUGAACUACAUUUGGAUGAAAUAAAGAUUAUGAUGCCCCACAUUUUUCAUCCAUGGCGAUCAUCUGCUCGUUUUGCUAAAACUUUGAAUUUAUUAUAUGGUUGGUCCAACCUUGAUUUUAAACCGGGUCACAUCCUUUUCUGAGGCAAAAAAGAAAGAAGACAAAAUGCUCUCUUUUUUGUCAUAUUUAUUCUCUCCUACUUGGGUGUUUACGUGUAUAUAUAAACCUCUUUUCAAUCUCCUUUAUUGACUCUUACCACUUUUCAAUCUCCUUUAUUGACUCUCUCUCUCCCUCUCUCUCUCACUGAGAAAGUUACCAAAGGGUCUUAGGGGAACCUUCGGUGUUCACAUUGCAAUUAGUAGACUGUGCGGCGUUACAUGAUGAUCGUAUGGCCACUCAUGGGUAGAAAUGGGGCCUUCAUGAAAGUUAAGAACUUUUUUAAACAAAAAAUCAAUUCGAAUAGAAUCGCCAUUAAAAUUAAAAUUUGAGAUUUUUUUAGGGAAUUAGCAAAAUUCGUACUUCCAUCAACAAUCCAAGGUGUCUUGAACCGAAGAAAAUGCAAUCUUUUGUAAGAUAAAAACCUAUUUUUGCAAUAUUUCACCAAGAAAAAAUGUCCAUUGCUUCAAAAGUAUUUUAGUAGGAUUUUGUAUGUCCAACAGUUAUAGAAAUAGAUGAGUUCAUGCAUAAAACAUGGCGACACAAGGAUGCUCAUGUCGCGAUAUAUUAUUUGCACGAUAAAUGGAUAAUUGUAGAAAGGGAGGGGUAGCUGUUAUUGGAGUAUGGGAUUGGUAAGAUUAUAAUGAUAUAGAGAAACAAUAAUGACAUAUUGAUGCAUGUUUUCAUUUUGUUGACUUUGUGAAUAAGAUAUGUCAUUUAUCUAUCGUUACACCCCAACUCUAUUAAAUAAGGAAAACGACACUACCAUGGUCUUGCUCAAAGGACGCAACUUCAAAUUAUCAAAAUAUAUAUUCGUCUAUACACUUGAUAAAUAGUGGGUUGGUUACAAAAUCAAGAGUUUUGAAAUUUAUUAAAAAGAAAAAAAGUGUAAGUGUAUCUCCAAACUCAAUUAAACCCUACAAAUAUCAUCCCAAAUAUAUACAAGUAUCUAAACUCACAUCCAAAUCCAACCGUAAAAUUUUUUUCGCCAAUAAUGCUCACUUCCUACUUUAGCUGACGUUAAAAAGAUUUAGAAUGAAUAGUGUGAGUAACCAUAGCUUAGUGACUAAUCGAAAUCUCUCCUAAGCAAAUCAAGCAUCUGCUAUGAUAAAGCAAUACCAAAGAUUCAUUUAUCCAAAUUCAAUAUAUUAUGUACAAUAGAAUCAAAAUAUGAGUAAUAUCACUAUAAUGCAACUUUAUACUAAUAAAUUAUAUUCAUUCAAAUUUCAAAACCAAAAGGGUAGUCUAUCCGAUUUUAUGCAACAAAUAUGUUUCAAACAUUACUUUUUCAUUUAAAAAAAAAUCAUUUUCUGCAAUGCUUUUCACAACUUAUAAUAUAUCAAAUCCCUAUCACUUUCAAGACAUGAGCUUACAAAUUUGUAGAGGAUAACAACCACCCCAAAAUAAAAUGCAAUCGAAAGUUACACCCUUGGAAGAGUCUCCAAGUCCUAUCAAAGUUUAUCUAAAUGUCAAACUUACAUGUCAACUAACCUCGACUAAAACUUUAGUAGGCAAUACCAUAUUCUUGAGUCAAAUCGUCCACUUGACGAAAGACCUUUGAACAAUUACUUUACAAAUAGAGUCGACUGCAUCUUAAAACUCCAAUUCAAGCGAGCUUAUUUUCAAUAGAAAACUCUUUCGAAUUACUAAGAGAUCAUAAAGCCAAAAGAUGGUCGGAGAAGGGUGAAAUUCAUUGCCAAACAUAGUAAUUUGAAAACUGUUUUUAGCAAUGUGCAAAAUUUUAAAAAUUUAUCCCAAUCAAAUCAUAAACAUAUAUUGAUUUUCCUAAAGUCCUAUUAUGCAAUACCCUAAAAUUUCUUUACAACAUAAUUUCAUAGCUUAAUAAUCUCUAGAAUCGACCUCGCAACAUAAAAUCCAUACAAAACCUAAUUUACAAUUUAAUUACGAAAACUCCUUCAAUUAGGUAAAUAAAAGUUUUCGAAUCCUUACCGAUUGUCAAGAAACAUAAUUAAUCUGGUGCAUACAGCAAGAGGCCCCUUUUGUCUCCUCUGUCUUUUUCUCGGUUUCUCCGGGCUCUGCUUUCCUUCUCUCUCUCUCUCUCUCUCUCUCUCUCUCCCUCUUUUUCGUGUUCUUCUUGGCAGACUCUGUUUUCAUCUUUUUCUCUCUUUUCGCUCUAGUGAUUCGGUUUACCACGGCAUCAACUGAGGCAAGACCAAAGAAAGGACUUUAACGAGACACUUGGGCUUGGGCUUACUGAUUUGCUCUUGGUUAUUAUUUUUUGCCAGCCCGGUUAUUGGAAUUUUAUUCUUGCCCAUGAAUCUUCCAGGUUAUUACGUAUUGAUGUAUCUAUGCGGACACACUGCCGAGAAAAGGGGAAGGAGAAUAAGGAGAAUUCAAUCAGCACCGAACAGUCUUUUUUUUCUGACACAAGAAAAAUUAAAUAGGAAAGUUCAAAGGCCUUCUUCCUCCCCGCCAGUGGUGGGUUGAAGCAGGGACAUCGUUCGUGGUUCUUUUAUGCAGAAUAAUAUUUUAAGGGUGAACUUCGACGCAUAAUUGAUUCUGGUUAUUUUAUGGAAGAGACAACUUUGAUCGGAGAGUGGGUUCUGGAAGUUCGCCCUUCCAUAAAAGAACCACGGACGAUGUCCCUACCUUCACCCCACCCGGCGCCAUGGAUUUUACCUCCAUCGUCUCUAUCCUGAUCAACUUACUCCAAGUGAAAUACCAGGGGAAGUCACCCUUUGAAACCCACGCCAUCGCCAUUGGUGUUGCCAUCUGCAGCCUGCUCCUGCUCCUGCAUUUUCUGUUGCUGCAUCUCGCUAAUCGGGCACUCCCGUCUAGCGGCCGCGCUCCUGCUUGUGAUGGAGCAUCAUCGCACCUCCUCAUCGACUUCACUGGUUCAAUAUCGGUAGUUCGCUCGCACCUCCUCAUCGACUUCACUGGUUCAAUAUCGGUAGUUCGCUCGCGUGGUUGCUGUUCCACGACUCCUCCCACUCUGUCCCCUGGUUGUUCAUGCUGCUCCUGUUGCUUUCCGUGAGUCUGUUGCGCGGCCUCUUUCAAAAACUUUGGCUUUGGUUUUACGACAAGAUCUUUGCCAUGAUUUUCCGUGUGGCGCCAUCUGGUCUAUGGCAUGGUGGAAGAGCGCAGCCACAUCUGCCGCGCCCGGGCGUGGAUCUGCGUUUAUUGCUGGAAGUCUGAGCGCCCUAGUUGUUCGACUGACUGUUCCCUGCCUGCUUGGAUAAAGUAAUCUAACCACUUUAAAACGAAAGAAUAAGUACUUUAGGAAGCUAGCUAGUUUUGUUUAGGAGGCGCUUUGGGCUUGUUGCAACUAUAUCUGAAUCCAUAAGAGAAUCGCAAGCCUUUGGCAGGGAAAGUAAAAACCAAUUGUUAUUGAAGAGAUCAAAGACGACCUCAACAGUUGUUACCAAGGGAAGAAUAGUCGUUUCUAUAGCCAUAUAAGGGGUAGUAAUUGUUCUUGAGGUUAAAGCUUCUGACCUCCUUUAAAGCAUUGCUAAGUGUUGCAGAUUUCCUUCUAUUUUUGGUGUAUCUCUUUGUAGCUUUCUGUCUGGCCAGUGGAUCCAUAUGUGUCAUUUUAUGUUCUUUGCUGGUGUACUAUGGUUUUGCUCGUAUAUCCAUAUGAACUGGGAUAAAUAGAUGCCUUGGCAACGUGGGCACAGCUACAAUUUUCAAAGCUUUGAUCUAACACUAACACCAUUGAGUAAUCCAAAUCAAAAUGAAAGAUGUCAGCUUUCUCAUCUCUCUUGCAUAUACACCGUUACUGCUUCCUAGCUAUUCCGAUGAUAAUAUAGUUGUAGUUUCUCAUUGCAGAAUGUGGGAAUUGUUACAUCAUAGUCUCUAUUUGACCUCCAAGAGGUGACAACUAGAUCUUUGCUGUGGCAAAUGCGUUAACUUGCAAUCUAAGACUAUGUUGUCUCGCUGUGGAUUGGUUUUUGGCCAGGAGCUUGAAUUGUUGCUUCAGUUGGACACUCAAGUUUCUGGGGCCAAGGUGAGAAAAGAAUGCUGAAAUGUAGAGUUUUUUCGGCUGGCUUUAGCUCAAGAUUACUUAAUUCUGGUUGACUGUAGAUGUUAGAACCGAACUUUUCCCACUCUUCAUGUGCUAAAGAAUUUACACUUCAUGUAUGCAAAGCUAGAUAGGUAGUAUGCAGAUGCACGAGACAAGUCUGUAUAAACUACACCCAUCUUAUGUUGGUAUCUGAGGAAAUAAUUAGACCGGCAAGCUUCCUGCCAAGUUGAUUCACUAUCAAAUUAUGCAUUCCAGUGUCAACAAUUCAUUUCAUUACAGAGAGCACUCAAGUCUGGCACUUAAAUAAUAUGAUAUUCGUCUGCUUUUACUGCAGAAAGCUACAAUCUUGGAUGUCGACUGUGGCAGUGAGUCCAAUCGACUUGCAUGGGAGCAUAAGUUGAAACAUCAAACAGAAAGGAAAUUCUUUUUGUCUUGGUAAGUGCCUGCCAAACCCUGCAACUAAAUGCAAUAUUUUCAUGGAGUUCAGAGUAGCAGGGUCUUCAGGUACUUACACUAUUCCAGCAACCUGUAUUAAAAAAAUGUUUGGUAUUGGAGCAUUUUCUCUUGAUUAUUACUUAUUGUGGAGGAUGAGUCUAUAUAUAUGAUGUUAAAAAGGAACAUGGCUAUUCACCACAUCACAUGGUAUUGUAUCCAUUUGUUGCCUAAAGUCUGUUUAGUAAGAUAGCACUUGUGAUGAAAGUGCACGGUAGGUGAUACACAUUUGAUAUGAGUAAUCAAUGGAUAGGGGCAUUCAUUGCAGACAUAGGCACCCAGAUUCAGGUUCCUUAUCUUCUCACAAAGGUCACAAUAGUACUCACUGGUAUCAUCUUUGAUGAACGAAGCUUAAAGUGUGAGUUGAUGAAAGUUAAUGGCAAUCUUUUACUGUAGUGGAAGGCAAUCUGUGAUGACUGAGAUUGCACUGCACACAACCAUAAAAGUUGAACCUGCAAAUUUUACCAGAGACACUGCAUAGGAAGCACAGUUCUGUAGACUAAAAUAAGAAAGAGUAUAAAAUGCUCGUGGAGGUGAUUUUUCAAAGUGGGCCUUUCAAAAGUGCAUGAAAUGUUGAAGUCGUAGUCACAUUCCAUGCAGUGAAAGACAGAGCGUCAACGCUCUUCACGACGUAUGUCAACUACUCUCCUUCCUAGUAUGAGAAGAAAAAGGAUGCGUGGCGUGAACAGUUUGUUGCAUAACUGAGGGCAAUUCAGCACGUGAUUAGAAAAGAGCAGCUCUGCUCCAGCCAGCGAUAGGUUAAACGUCUGAUGGAUUCAUCACAAGCCUUGCAUGGACCAUCCUUCAAAUGACAGUUCCAGCAGCAGAGGACGAUCGUGCAGGGAUGAAGAGGCAAUUAAGACAACCAUAGACCUCACCUGGUAUGUUCUCCACAAGCUUUGCACCUGAUUCUGCUUUCUAGUUUCAUGUAGAAGACCAGUGAAUGCUGAUGGUCAAAAUUGUAGAAAACCAAGUCCUUCUUGCCCUCUAGGUCUUGUGAACAUAGAGUUAAAGCCGCGCAGUCCAUGUUGAGGCUGAAUUUGCAUUCACUGCAGUAGGAAACCAUGGCAGGUGUUACAUUUAGCUCCUCCAAUUGAUUGAAAGCAAAAGAGAGAGAGGGUGAUCAUGGAGAGACAGGUGUUGCAUCUCUGGGGAAAAUUCGGUGCAGCUUUUGUGGAGAAAGAAUAUGCAUGCAUAGCAUCCAUAGACCUCCCCCAAUAUUGCUUGCUCACAGGCUUUGCAUUUGAUUCUAUUUUUCGUCCCGAGAUGAUGGGAUGUGGGCGGAUGCUCAUGAGCAUUUGUUGGAUGGCCACAUUCUGAGAGUCCUCAUUGGGAGGACAGGCAAUCUUGGGCUGUGCACUAAGAAUUGAUGGAUCCGACUGUUAAGAGAAGGUUGUCAAAUAUAUAUAUAUCAAUCGCACGUAUUUCCUUGUGACCAAGUUUGUUAGGAAUAUGGAUGAGCCUCGAUAAGCCAUUCCCUCUUGGGUCCAUCCAUCGAUCACCUCUUACUUCUACCACAUUAGACUUAGUGUUCCACACAAUGAGUGACUAAGUUUGUCAGGAAAUAAAAUGAUAGCACAGCUUCAAGAUGAGUAUUUAUAGAUACGUCUUAGUGAUUUUAGAGCGCUCAAAAUGAGCAAUUUCUCAAGAACAGAUCAGAGAAAGCAUAUAACCUUGGAGCAUAAUCACAUAUGUCAUUAUCUGAAGAGCUAAAGAGAAAUAUGCAAUGUGAUUUGAGGAUUGAACCUAUGAUUUAGAUGCAGAUGGUAAUAAAUUCUUCUCUGGACUCUGAAGGUUAGCCAUUUUGUAUGAGAUAUGCAGGAUUGCAGGUAUCAUAAAGCAAAUCAAAUUAUGUUAGCAAAAAAGUUGGUACCGUCAUCUCCAAUGAAAGCAAAAUGUGUGAUAAAUGUUGUUGGCCAUGAAAACUGGAAGGAGCAAUAGAUGAUUCAUCUUCAGUCAAAGCAUGUGUCACAGAGAACAGCAUCUUUCUCUUCUUGGUUGACCAUUCUUCCUUGUCGGGCAAUUGUUUCUAUCUACUUCAUCAAUUAUGUAUGCUAUCCUUUAAUCCAUAGGAACUUCUCAUCAGUUGCAGGGUUUGGUUGCCCAAAAUCGGCUUGGCUUCGCCAAAACUCCUCUUCUCUAGAAGCCUGGCUGGCAUGGCAUCCCACUGGCAGUAGGGUGGUCAACCUUGCCUCGGCUUCGUGACAUGCUAUCUUUCCCCUCUGCAUUCCAUAGUCAAGGGUGAGUCCCAAGUGUCAGUUUGUGGAUAGCGGUCUCACACACAAAUCCCUACAGAUUCCUCUAGGUAGUCCAAAUUAUAUCUAAUUUAUUUUGAUGUGGUUCGUUCAUCAUUUGAUUUGACCUUGGAAGUUGGUUUUCUUCUUAUUUAUUUACAAGCCUAAAUGCUUAUUGUAAAAAACGAUUCCCAGGAGAGUAUCAUGAUAAUAAGUCAAAUAAUGAAGCUAAGUAGGUGAUCGACUCGAUAAAUUAAGAUGGCAGCACUGUCAAAUGCUUCUGCUAAUUUGGUGGCAGAUACUUAAAAUUGUUACCGACAAUGGAAGGGCAAAUGUUAUUGAAAAGACCAAAAAUACUUUGACAAUUAUUACGAGUAGAAUGGGGAGAUGUUUCAUUGGUUGUUUCAAGGUUACCUAAGAUCCUACUAGACCAAAAUACUUGGAAGUUUUUUCUUUACUGAAGAGAGAAAAAGAGGGAUGUUCAUGAAAAAUGGCACUUUUACUAGCACUUUCAGAUAGCAGCACCUUAUUAUCACAUUGCCACAUGUCAAACGUUGUCAUAUGGUCGUUACUAGUUGCCAAAAUAAAGUCAAAAUUGUUCUUGAGGUUAAAGCUUCUGAAUUCUUUGAAAAUAUCGCAAGUGUCACAGUUUUGCUUUUAUUUUUCUGGCAAAUCUCUUCGUGACUUUCUGCUUGGCCAGUGGAUCUAUAUGUGUUAUUUUACAGACUCUUUGCUGUUAUACGAUGGUUUUGCUCAUUUAUCCAUAUGAACUAGGAUAAAUAGAUGCCUUGGAGACAGGAGCACUGCUGCAAUAUCAGAGCUUUCUUCUAUCAUCAUAGAGUUAGAAGAAUCAAAAUGAACAAUGUCAGUUUUUUCAUCUCUGUCCCGUAUGCACGGGUAAUGCUUACUAACUAUUCUGAUGAUAACAAUUUUUGAGUAUGUGAUUGCAAAACGACACAGUGGUUACAUCAUUUAGUCAGCAUUUUACCUCUGAGAGGUGACAACUAGAUUUUUGUCGCCGCAAAUGUAUCAACUUGCUUCAGCAAAUAAGAUUUAUAAAGACAAACUUCUUCAGUGGUGUAUCCCACGUGUCCGGAAGCUCUUGGAUCUGAAUAAUGCAAUGACUAUGUUGUCUCCCAGGCUAAAUUGGUUUUCGGCCAGGAGCAUGAAUUGUUGCUUCAGUGGGAGAUUCAAUUUAGGGCCAAGGUGCGAAAAGAACGCUUGAUUUCUUUUUUUGGGAGGCUUUAGUUCAACAUAGCUGAAUUUUGGUAGACUGCAGAUGUUAGGUCCACACUUUUCCCAUCUUCAUGUGCUAGAAAAGAAUUUACAGUUAAUGAAUGCAAAGCUCGAUAGAUAGUAUGCAAAAGCUUGUGGCUAGUCUGCACAAACUACAUAAACCUUAUAUUCAUUUUCAAGGAAUUAACAAGACCGGCAAGCUUCCUAACAAAUUUAUUCAUAAUCAAAUUAUGCAUCCCAAUGUUAAUACUCCUAUUCAUAACACAGAGCACACAAGUCUUACACUCAAAAAUAUGAUAUUUAUCUGCUUUUGCUCAGAAGAUAACAAUAUCGGAUGUCAAGUGUUGGCAGGGAUUCCAAUUGACUUGCGUAAGAGCAUAAGUUGAAACAUCAAACAAAAAGGCGGUCUUCUGCCUCCCCAAUUCUUUCCAUCUGGAUAAGAGCCUCCCCAACUCUUCAACUACAUGCACUUUGCUUGCAGCUUUUUGAGACCAGCAUUGCAGGUCUUCUUUUGAGUACCUCCUAUUGUGGGCUCAUUCUGUCCACUUUUUCCUGCAGAAAUAAAUCUAGUUCAGCAAAAUCGAGGCUUCAGGUACUUCCAUUACUUUAAAAAAAAAUUGGUAUUGCCAUAUUUUCUGUUGAUUGUAACUUAUUGUGGAGAUUGAGUCUGUAUAUGAUAUAACAAAAGAAAAAAGAACAGGGCUAUUCACCACAUCACAUGGCAGCAUCUCGUUGCCAUAUAUACGUUAAAGUUUAGUGAGAGAGUAUUUCUGUGAUGAAACCAAACCGUGGGUAAAACGUAUUUGAUAUGAGUAAUCAAUGGACAAGGGCAUUCAUCAGAGACGGAAUCACCCAGUUUCAGGUCCGUUUCUCUCAAAGAUUACAAUAGUACUCACCAGCAUCGUCUUCAAUGAACAUAGCGUAGAGUGAAUUGAUGGAGAUGAUGGCGAUCUUUAUUGUUGGUGUUAACCAUGGAAGGCAAUCAUUGUUGACAUAAAGAUUGCAUUGCACAAGAACGUGAAAGUCGAAUGUGCAAAAUUUACCAGACACUGCAUAGGAAGCAUGGGUCGGUAGCUCUAAUAAAAGAAAGAGUAUAUGCUUGGGUAGGUGAUGUUUCAAAGUGGGCCUUUCAAAAGUGCAUGGAAUGUUGAAGUCGAAGUCGCAUUCUGCGUAGCGAAUGACAGCGUCGAUGCUCUUCACGACAUGCGUCAGUGAGCCUUCCUUCUUGAUACGGGAAGAAGUGGGUGUGCCAGGGUGAACAGGGCGUUGCAUAACUGAGGGCAAUUCAGCACAUGAUUUACGGAGCAGAAAAGAGCAGCUCGGCUCCAGGCAGGCAUGGGCUAAACCUUUAACAUAUUAAUCACGAGCCUCGCUCGCACCAUCCUUCAUUCGACCCAGCUCCAGCGGCAGCGGAUGAUAGUGAAUUGGAGAAGAGGCAAUCCAGACAAGCAUAGAACCCACCUAGUAUGCUGCUCUAUUCUCAGCUUUACACCCAGAUUCUGGUUUCAAGCUUCACGUGGAAGGACACCAGUAGAUGCUGAUGGGCG
rnacentral:lncRNA from 1 species